UCGAGGUGCGCGGCUAGGAAUGCAGCUUGUGAAUGGAGUAGUGGGUGAGGGGCGAAUUUGGAAGGUCUUGGCUGACUUCUGGGCAGAUAUGAUGCUAUAUGUGGCUCCUUCAAAUGAUAUGGCGGCUCAUGCUAAGUAUCUCACCACCGGGGGUGAGUUUGUGACUCACAUUUGGGUUUUGGUCUCUCAUGCGGGCAUUACGAGAGAUCCAUAUGGUGGUGAGUAACAUGAUGAUCCAGAGAGGAGCUGAACUUGGCCUCAUUUUAUGAUAUUAUGCCUAAUCAACUGUGUAAAAUGUCUAUAUGGUUGUGUAUGUUUGCAGUAGUCCCGUUGUCUUGCAUCCAUCCCUGGUCAAAUUCUAGAAAACUUUUUCGUGUAUGAUGCAUGACCUCUUCCUUUACGUGGUGUAAUGUGUAGCUUUAUCAAGGGUCUAUUAGCGAAGACUUGAAUAGGUUGUCCAUUUCUAAGAUUGUAUUAUGUCAAACAUGGGCAAUAUGUAAUGUUUUUGUUGUUGUUUGUUCACACUUUUACAUGUUAGGAUAUACAAUGUCAUGAUCAUGCAGUAGAUAUCUCAUACCUUCACUUGAUAGAUCACUAAGGAAAAGCCUAAGUUUGAGUCUAUCAAUAUACUCAAUUGAAUUCACAUUCACUCAAAAGCUUAAUUCAAUAAAAUUGAUGACUAAAUAUCACACCAAUUUUCCGAUGUGAAACUUUUCUAACACUACUCACAAGUGCAUUUCAAUAAUCUCGCCCUCACAUAUGAUCUUAAUGUUAGGUCUACUCCUUCUUAGUUAGGUAUCCUUCUGUGUUAACAUGUCUCUACUUGAAUCUCCACAUUGUUUGUCAUGUGAAGACCGUAGCAGCAACAGCUACAACCUUCAUCCCUGCUCUCUCCCUCUCUCCAGACCGAAUCAUGAAGUUUGCCAAUGGGGCUACAUUGUUAUAUCACAAUGCCCACCUUCACCGUAGGUCUCUUGAUCGAACCAUAAAGGGUGUGUGGAAAUGACAUUGUUUACAAGAUUCCUUCUUGGAAAUAUUGACCCAAAACGAAUAUGCAUUGGGAGUGGGCAACCAUUCAUUAUCGGAUUUAAUACCAUUUGUUAGGAGCAUGUAGUAAAAAUCCCAUACCUUUACCUGGGGAAAUCGCCAAGAAAGAACUUAAGUUUGAGUCAACCAAUCUAGUUGGAUCAACAAUCAAUUAAAAAUUUAAAUCAAUAAGUUAUGGACAAACUACAAUAUAUUAACUACACAACAUUACAUAAAUUUUCUAAUAUAAGAUUUUUCUAACACAGUUCAUGUGCAUCUCAAUAUACAUUUCCUAGAAACCCCAGCAAAGUAGUGCUUUGAAUGAGGCCAAGAUUGUGGGCGACGGUGGGAUCGAAAUGGCUGGCCACGAACGCUCUGAGCCUGAAAGCUCCAUUUUCUUUGCGAGAUUGCCAAAGACGCUAAUUAACAUGUACAGGCAAGGCUAUGAAGGUCAAUAGAACCUUAAUAUGCAGUGCAAUCCGAGUAAAAUUGCAUGAAGCAUGCAUCCUCAUCCCUGAAUCUCACGCUUUGUGUCCUGUUCUUCUGUUUAAGCUCGUCUUAAGCAAGGACUGUGGAGGAGAGUCUUAUUGGAUGUAGAUGCGGACUGGCCAUUUCCCAUUCUUUUUUAUAAUCUUUUGUCCUGUUCCUUUUUAUCUCUUCCUGACAAUCUAGCAUAAUGUUUUUUUGUUUUUGUUUUGUGAAAAGCCAUAUGUUUCGCUGAAGAUUGUAACUAUUUUAUUCCAGGUGUAUUUCGAAGACAUUUGGUUACAUUGGGAAAUAGCAAAGCGUAGUGCCAUGAGGCUAAUUACUAGAAUCUGAAGAUAACAUGGGGAUCCUCUAGGGGCAAAGUACUCCGUACGUCCGAUGCCAUACCAUCUUGCUGCAAGUUCAGUUUAAUUCUUCUUUACUUCGAACAGUACCCAGCUCAUUGUUGCGAUCCUUCGGAGGCAAACUUGUGGCAGAUUGCUAAAUAGGCGCGAAUGAUUUCUCUUAUGAUGUGCCUAUGUUUAGCACGCGCUCUCCCAAACCGUAUAAAUUGCGACUUGGUUUAUCGAUUAUGUGGCAUCCGAGAAUCUCGACGAUCCGAAAUAUUUAUUUUUGAAGAAAAAGAAAUUUCGUCUUUGAAUGGCCAUAUGGACAAUUGCACCAACGGCCACAUUAUUUUGUCUCUUGGACCGAACCUCCUAUGUACAUUGUCGCGACCCCAUGUAGCCUUGCCAAUUUCUUUCUCCACGCAAGGGUUUCAGUCAUGUACUUGUACAUGAAGCAAAUUGAUUAUGGGAAUAUUAAUUGAUUUCUAUGGAAACCAAAAUGCCUUAUAAUUGUGCAGAAAUUAUGGGCUUAAUUUUUUUAGAUUAUGGGCCAUUUAAUUUGGACCUUUGGCCACAAAUUUUCGGGCCCAAGCAGGCCCAAGAAGCCUCCAAGGUUGUCGACCAAAGGGGGGGGGGGGAGGAACCGGAUAGAGGAGGCCAUGCCACCCUCCACUUGUCCUUUCCUUGAAGCCACUUGUCACCUGCAUGCAAAAGUUAAUUAGUUAACUAAUGAAAGAACAAAGAGGAAUUCGGAACUAAGGAGAGAGAGAGAGAGAGAGAGAGAGAGAGAGAGAGAGAGAGAGAGAGAGAGAGAGAGAGAGAGAGAGAGAGAUUGAUUUGCACUGAUAAAACUACGGAAUAAGCUUUGCUUCGUUUAGUAACUAGCCUAGCAGCACUUCUAGUAGUUAAGGCAUAUCAUCUUAUAUAUACAAACUUUGGAGGCUUGUCUUAAUCCUAUAAAAUAUUAUUUUCCACAUGAUCAUUAGAAAAUAGNNNNNNNNNNNNNNNNNNNNNNNNNNNNNNNNNNNNNNNNNNNNNNNNNNNNNNNNNNNNNNNNNNNNNNNNNNNNNNNNNNNNNNNNNNNNNNNNNNNNNNNNNNNNNNNNNNNUAGUACCCAGUCAGUCAGUGUUGUAGCCGAAUGAAUUGGAAUUUUUCUUCUGGGGGUGAAUAUUACAAACGAUAUUCUAUUACAGAUGGUCAAAAGGGCUCUUGGCAGCAGCCUUCACAAGCUGCCGUAGAAUAAAUUUGGCUUAUAUUAACGGCGGGGAGGUUCGUGCCUUGAUUCUUUCUUAUUUUCUGUUAGUGAGUGGGGGGGGGUAUAAAUAGAGGGCCUCCCCCCCCCCCUCCCUUACCUUUUCUUUUUACCCCUUUCCCGCACACAUAUGUGUUUAAAUUGAAUUUACCAAAAUCCACACACACAGAGAGAGAGAGAGAGAGAGAGAGAGAGAGAGAGAGAGAGAGAGAGAGAGAGAGAGAGAGAGAGAGAAACCGAGAGUUUGAGCGAGCGGCCCGAGCAAGAGAGAAAGAGAGUUUGAGCGAGAGAGUGGGCACGCGGGUGUGAGCCGCGAGGGAGGAAAAGGAGGAUCGCCUUCCGCCGUGUCCGAGCUGCCGCCAUCGACGCCGCCGAUCCCCGUCGCCGAUUGAGCUGCGUUCGAAGUCCCAAGUUUCUGUUUUUGUUUGCCGAUCAAGCUAGGAGAAAUGCUGGUAGAUGUGAGAAAAUGCAGAAUAGGAAGCUGCAUGUUGAGUUUUUGGAUGAUUGAGAUAAAGAUUGAAUGCCGAAAUGUGGAGGAUUGAAUGUGAUGUUGCUGUUUUGUGUUGGAUUGAACUAGAUGAGUACUAGAUCGAAGCUACCAGCCAUUGCAUGUUGUAUUAGGGUCUUGUAUGUUUCGAAAAUUGAGUGUGAGAUGGCUGUGUGGAUCGAGCAAGGUGAGGAAAGGGUUGCCGAGGGAAAGGAUGUGGUAUAUGUUGAGAUGAGUGAGUUUAGGGAUGAAUGUAUGCUUUGAGCCGAGCUGUGGAAGGUUUUUCUGCUAAUAAGAACUUGCUAAAAGUGUUCUUAGAUGCUGUGGAAGAGACUUGAAGUGCUGUAGGAUAGAUUGGUAGGGAAACAAAUGGUUGGACUGAGCUAGAAAUGAAGAAAACCAUAUAUGAAGAAACUGUUUUAGAGGAAUAUGGAUAGAAAGCCUUGUUAUUGGCGUCGCUUUGAUUUAUAAUGAUGAAAAUAAGGAAAGGAGCCAUUUUAUUUAAAUAUUAUAUCCAUUAGAUGGAGUUUGACAUCUAGCUAUAGCCAUAUGAAUGUGAAUUAUGAAGGUAGAAGUGAACCUAUUGAAAACAGUGAACUGUUUCGUAGAAGAUAGCUUGACCUGUGAUAAUUCCGUGAAUUUUCUGUAAUUCUAUAGAUAGAAUUGGACUUCGAACCCUUAAUGAAAGUUUUAGGACACUUCCUUAGGUAUAACGUAUCAAAAUUUGAGAACAAACGGACAAGACUUAGUUGGUGAAACGAAUUUUCUUCUGUAGGUACUGAAUCUGAAAGUUACUGCAGAAUUUUGAAGGAAACAUCAAAAUAUUAUUCUUUAUACACAACGAAUUUGACUUAGUGUCCUUCAUGAAAUUUAUUCCUUUUGGUAUCAUCUAUAACAUAUAAAAAUUUUAGAAUUUUCUGAGUUCAUUAGGGGCUACUCCAAAAUUAUUACUAAAACUGCACAUUGUGAUGUUUGAGCUGCUUUGUUCCGAUUUUGUUCAAUUUGUCCCAAAGGUGAAUGCAUUUUAAAUUGCUAUUUGACAUGAUGAUAUGGGCAUUGGCAUAUUAUGCAAUCUUGAGAUUUGAUGAAGGAUUCUUGGGACAUCUUGUCAUUGCAUUUGAAGGUAUUUUUGGAAAUUAAAAUGUUAAUUGUUGCCGUUGGAUCCUUGGGUCAACGAUGCCCCGGGAGUUGGGAUGCCCAAAAGAUCGAAUGAGUCUAUGCCUUGUGGAUACCCGGUGGCCCUAAGUGGCUGAAUGCCGGAGGUCUUUCCUAGGGAGCUUCGGGAUGCUCGGUUGUAUGCUAGUUGGUACGUAAAUCCGGAGGGCUGGGGUAACCAUUCUCAUGGUGAGCCUCGGAGGUAUUCCUCGUGAUGCCAGGUGGGGUACGAGAUGCCUGGAGGUGUGAUACGCUCCGGAUGCCCGGUGGCCCUAAGUGGCUGAAUGUCGGAGGCUUUCGUGAUGCCAGGGUGGAUGCGAAUGCCCAGAGGGACGCAAAUAUUGGUCCUCUGGGGGAUGAAACCUUUUGAGUGAUAAAAUGGAUGAUUCUACUAUAUGUGUGUGUGGUCUGGUUAAAGGACUAAGUUGUAUGGCAUGGAAUGGGCCAUGUCAUUACAGUUUGGCCCUAUAAUUGAGACUUGUGUAACUGGACAUGAUGUACUUUGAUCCAUGGAAACUGCAUUUGCCAUUGCAUUGAAGAAUUUCAUGAUUUUGAUGCAUGCUUAUUCUUUAACUACUUGUUUUUGUUUAUCUUGCAUGAAUCUGGAUAUUGAUGGUAAUGCUUGAUAUAGUUUGAUGAAUCUUUUACUGCUGAGUGGCUGUACUCACCCCGUGUGGGGACCUAACAUUUCAGAUUAAAAGAUGCCUCUAUUGCCUAUCACUCACGGUACUUUUUACGGUGUCCCAGUCAACGUUGAGUGCAUGUGUUCAAAGCACACUCAUGUAGGGAUUUGAGGAUUGGUUUUCAUCCGAGUACGGGUUCUAGUCAUGUAUGGCGUUGGUUUACCUGAUGGCCCCAUGGUUCAGGAGUUUUUGUCAGUGCACGUUCGUCGUGAUGGGAUCAUGCUAGGGAUGUUGCCGCCGCCGCCAGCCGAUGGACGGGGUUGGGUGUGAUCGUGUGUGACAGGUAGCAGAUGAAACUUUUUGGACUGUCGGCACUGUCUGAUAGACUUUUGUAUAGGGCUGAAUGGAAAGGAAAGAAAAAAAGAGUCGGUUAUCUUUUGAGUAUGUAGCCGGGUAUAGAAAACCACAGCAAAUUUUGGUGUACCAACUUAUGAUGUCUAUCAAGCUUAUGUAAAUAAAAGUGCUCGGCUUUAUCUUAUAAAACUGUCUAGUGGGUGUGCAUCAUUUCAACACUUUUUGUGAUAGGGAGAGGUGAUAUCGCUUCCGCUAUACAUUUAUACGCUGCGCAGGGACCGUUUGAAAAUUAUAAACCCCCAGGACUUAUGGACCUAUUAUAAUUCUAUGGUAUCAGAGUGAUAUAAUAUCAGGUCAAGAGAAAGGCAAGUGGACUGUGGCGACCCUAGCGGAUCGGGGGCCGUUCGAGGGGUGCCACAGAUUAAUUAUACAAUUUAGUUUUACUUCAAGAUCCACCACUAAUCUAUUAUGAGUGGAUUAGAGACAUAUUAGAGACCAAGUAAGAUGCGAGAGCUCAUUUUACUUUUACGAACUAGAGAUUCAUGGGUACAUCAAAUGACUAUUUUGGGACUUUUUCUCUUCUAAUGAAAAGGAUUAUUCAUGUGAUCUUUUCAAUUAUUUUUAUCCAAGACAUGCAAAGCAGGUGAUCAUGCAUAAAUCAUUCAAACAAACACAUAAGUAAAAUCCAAUAAUAUCCAAGCAAGUAAAGUGUGGAUAGGAAUGAAACCGAGCCGUACUCGGCAAAAUUAAACAUAUAAGUUAUAAAUGAAGGGUCAUUUCUUCAAAAUAAACUAAUACUUGAAAAAGGAUAGUGAAUAUGCGAACAUGAAGUGCUAUGACUAUUUUCUAAAUAAAUUACUUCUUUAAAAUGAACUAUUAAAAACAUGUAAAUACAAUUUAAUUAACGCGGUCUAAAAAGAAGUGCAAUAUUAAGAGAAUGAAUCUAUUUGUGAAUAUGCAAAUUUUGCUGAAUGCACUCCUAGACAUAUUUGGUGACAUUUUUAAUGAAGAUGCAAUCUAAAAUUAUUAGCAUACAAGAUAUGAUCUUUUAUAUUUUCUUUUUUUAUGACAUGUGAUUGUGAAAAUAAAGUGUUAAUGCAAUAUAAUGUUCCAAAGAUGCAUCAAGACAUCUAUUCAUGAAAAUUUUAAAUUCUCUUACAAGGCAAUUAUCAUUUUGCAAAUAAAAUAUGGAAUCCUAUUUAUGCAAAAACAUGCAAAAGUAUCAAUAAGCUUACAGAUGCAAAGGCAAACACAACUGGACCUGCAAAUAUGAAUUUUUCUAUAUACGCAAAUAUCAAGACGUAAUUUACUCAUAUAGGUUCCCUAAUUAAUCUAAACAUGUGUUUCUGACCCCCCCCCCCUCAACAAAAAAAAUCUAAACAUAUGAUUCAUGUAACAUUCCCUUAUUAAGACUAUAAAUAUAACAUGUCAAUCUAACAUUCAAAACCUUUCUGACCAAAAAAAAAAAAAAAAAAUUCAAAACCUAGUGAGUAUAUUAUAUGAUAUGCAAAUUACUACAUGGAACUCCAUGCAAAAGUGACAUGAAAUACGAUCACAAACCCAACACAUGAUUAUGUGACGAAUUUUUAUUAUGGAAAUCAAAUGUACACAAAUUGUGUGACCAAAUUAACAUUAUGCAGUGAAAUUGAUCUAAACUAACAUGCAAAUCUGAAAUUUAAAAAAAAACAUGAUAAUGUAGUCAAACAAUGAUCUCAUCAAAUAUCAACAUUGAAAUAAGUUAAAACGAUGCGAGUUACAACGUCAAUUGCAAUAUUUUUAUGAGAAGAUGAUAAACCAAAAUUAAAUAUAAAGGGAGUUGGUUUGGAUAAAAUCAAUUUUUUGAGACGAGUUGCUUGGCAUUAUCGGUUCAGUUUAUGAAUGCACUCGGGGACAAAUAUCUAGACAAAAUCAAAGUAGAACAGUUCACAUAAUUUGAAUUAAUCAAAGAAUGGAAACCGGGAAUUUAGAUUUUUUUACCUUGAAAUCACAACCAAUGUUGGAAAACCGUCCAACUCGGUUCUUCAAUUCUUCAUGAUCUCCUUUUCCAGCGGUGCCUUCUGUUUUCUUUCCUCCUAGUCCACACCGCUUUAUAGGUCUAGGUAUUGAGCUCCAAUAUGUAGCCGAAUAUAUUCUGGACAUAUUUGCUCAAUCGUGUGCACUUUUCAGCCAACACUUACUUCUAGAAGGAAUUAUGGUGUUCUUCUUGACUUGUAGGAUUGGUUAGCUUCAGCGUUAUCUCACAGCGUGAUGUAAGCCGACCAAAGAAGCCGUUGUCUGUGUAGAUAAUAAGACUAUACUGGGUAAAUAAAAAACGAACCGUAAAGAACGCUAGAAAUUAACAUGAAUUGUUGUAAGUGUUAGCACUUUCUUCACGAAAAGAGUCAAAUGUAAAUAGUUCUCUAUUAAGUGAAAGUUAUAGAGUUAAAUCAAUAGCUCACUCCUCACUUGUUCCCCAAGCUCCAACACACAAAAUCCUACAAACUCUCGUAUCUUACCAAAUUUUGCUAGAAAACCCUGCAAGGCACAUUAAAUAACUUUUGUACGUGUUCUAAACAAAAUAGGAGAAAAAACUUACUUAAAAGGGACAUAACCGGUCCGAACACCCUCUCUUGAUGGGUUAACCUGACACAUUCUAAUGAGACGCUCUAACAAUGUCCGAAAACUAGGCUACCGGUCAGUUUACCAAACCAACUCAUGACAAUCUCCUCUCUCUCAUAUUAGACCAUCUUGGAUAUCGAUCCAACUCCAAAAUGAUAGAUUUGGCUAGAGACUGAGCCACAAAACUCCUUGGCUCAAUGCUCUUGGCCAAGGUAUAGUGCUCAUAGUCCAUGCUGGCUCUCCCAACACCUCGACGAGCACUCAUCCUCCAUAGAUGCCAAUCAAGCUCCAAUAACCUUGUCCUUGCAAUGACAUCUGGGAUGAAUAUUUCUUGAUGUUGAUAUGAGUAGUUAAUUUGUGAUAAAUAGGAUUUCUAACCAAAUAUAUCACAACUUUGUUGUCACAAUGGUUGAUAACACUUUUGUUGAGGGUAACAAUGCAACCUAGAGGAGGAGAAACAGGUUGUUUAUAAACUUUGAAAAAAAUUUGUAGAACUUUUCAAAUUAAACAUUGAUAAAUGCAAAAACAUAUUAAUAUAGUCAAAUGCAGGAUGCUUCUAUCAAACAUAUAUUCCUAAUAGUGAAGAGAUAAAAAAAAAAAAUAUUGCACAUAGAUAUAUAGUGAUUCUGCUUAUACCAAGUCUACGUCUACUCUCCAUGACUAAAUCCAUAACAAGGCUGAAUUCCACAAGUAAUUUUAAUAGAGGUUACAAAGUGUCGGUUCAAUAUGAAGCUAAUAGAUGGCUCUAGAACAUCGCCAUCACACUUGUAUACUUCUAAUCACAUAUUACUAGCAUGAGAGCUCUUGCUUGUGAGAGUUAUUGACCUCCGAAUUUCGCUGAUACAUUUUUUUUUUUUUGAGGAAAAUUAAUUCACAAAUUAGGGAUUAUAAUAUUGAUGUCUCAUGCCCGAGCCAUUUAAGCAUCAAAAUCAAUAUUCCCCUAGGAUUUUUUUUUUAAAGGGUUUUUUAGAAGCUUCAAGAAAUCUUGAGGUUUCUCUGUCUUAUAACAAAUUUUCGUUUUCUUUUGGCAAUAACUAAGUCACAUACACAUGCAUAUUCACGUAUAUGGCAGAAAGCCUCAAGAAUGGGUUUUGACCAGAUGGGCAUUUUCAUCUUUGUAUAUGGGAGUAGAAAAGGAAAUUUCCGCUUCCUUCGUCAGAGAGGAAGGUAAUAGAGACGCACACACGCUCAUGCCAUCAAAAUAUUUAGUACAAGACGCGGCAAUGAAAUUAUACAUCAACUUCAACGGACGAUAGCUACAAUUUAUUGAGAAAUAAGUAUUGACGAAGUUGACCUUCUCAUGGUUUCCGUAACUAAGUUCUACACGUUACCUCGAUCAGCUUCUCCGCAUAUCUAUUUCUUUGAAACCACUCGUACCGCACAUAGAUACAUGUACAUGCUAUUUUGUCCUAUUCGGAGAAAAUUCCGACGUUAAAUUGGACGAUGUCGAUGGCAAGGAUCGUAAUUAUCAUAAAGAGCGUUACCAAAGCAUCAGUAUUGGACCUCAUGCUUUCAUUUUGAGAUUUUCGUUAACCUGAUAUCGUAGGCAGAGGGAAAGCAAGUACGGUAUACAUUUGAAGUACCUUUAUUACCAUAAGACAGGACCGAGAUUAACCGAGAAGUUGGUGUAGAAUAGAUCAAAAUGAAAUGCAAGUUCUACCUCCAUAACUCUGAAAACUCGCUCAUGUCCAUUCUCUUCAGGAAACAGGCUAUGUCGAAUCAGGAUCUAUAACGUGUCGUGAGCUUCUCGGGGCAGGGGCAACGUAUAGCCAGCAAAUAUCAGGCAGUUACGCUUGAACAGUGGAAAAGGGAGGCAAACAUCCUUGAGUUCACCAUCUGGGUCUCCUCCACUCGCACUUAAUAGCCUCCCUCUGCAAUUCCAAAUCUUUUCAGCGGUGAUAACGCCAUCCAUGGUAAGUUCGGAUGAUCGGUACUAUGGCGCAUCUCCCUUAAGCCACUAUGAUUGUUGCUUCUGCAGCGCAAGUGCACCUUCUCCCCCUCUCACCAAGUACUUGUACCCCUGUACGCUAGAUGGAUAAUCUUGGGUUAGAUACUGCUUCCGUGCUCGGUGCUCAUGUAGUCAGCUUCUGAAUGAAGUUUUUCUGUACUUCAUCCUUGCUAGCUGACCCUCAAAGCUCGGACUCUUUCGUCAACUUUCAAGAACACCGAAAAUAUAAGAUAAGACAACCUGGAUUAGCUUCUAUGGGGGGCACAUAGGAACCAGUUAGCGACCCUGCUUUACCACAUUCAAUGGACAACUCAGUGGCAAGGGACUUCCAUUGUUCGAUGUCCUCAAGACUGUGUAGAGUGUGGGAAUCGGUGCUUCUUGUUGGAGAAAAUUUCCUUAAAUAUUUUUAAGCUGACAAAACGUUUCCAUCAGUCUAGUCUGAAGACUUGCAGACUCUUCCAUCAAAGUCUGAAGACCUCCGGAUUGCUAGACUCAAGACUCAAAGUCUAUUCGCAUUGACAGUUUCUAGACCGUCGAAGAAGACUUAUCCAGAACUGGAUGUUUUGUUAAGGAUUUGACUUUAUCAACUAGAGAAGAUCUCUUGGCUGGAUAUAGCAUGUCGGAAUCCAUUAUUCAAAUCAAGAUUGAUUAAGGGAUUAUAGAUCUGUUGAUUGGCAAAGUAUACUUGGAAGGUUCUACUUAUGGAAACCGAGAUCCUGAUUGUAUGGGCGAGCAGGAUUGAUGGGCUAUCGUCAUGUUCCUUAAAUAGCUCGAAGAUCUUCCUAAUUGAUUCUGUCCAACGAGUAGAUUGGAAGAAUUCCUUUGGUAAGUGCCAACGGGUAUGAUGGCAUAAAGGAGUAUAAAAGGAAGACGUUCCAGUUGUUUGAGUGUGUGCGCGAUAGAAGAAUUCCAAAGUCUGAAGCUCCUUGUUCUUAGUCAAUUCAUUUGUUGAGCGAAAUCUUGUACGCAAAAGAAAGUCUAUAUUUUUUAGAAACCUUGAGGAAGUGUAGUAAAGUCUCUACACUGUGGAAUCAAGGGAGAGCUUUACUGUAACAACUCUUUUGUUCAUAGUGAAAUCCAGCCGGUGGGCUGUCAGUGUGGAAGAGUGGACGUAGGCUUGGAUUAAGCCGAACCACUAUAAACUCUGUGUUCAAAUUCUCUUCCCUACACUCUUUUACUUUGAUCGUAACUUGUUUAUUUGAAAAGAGAGGAAUUUUCUUUUCAUAAUCCAUUGUUGAUUUGAGCUGCACUUAUCUCGCAAAAUUGUUUCUGCACCUAUUCACCCCCCUCUAGGUGCUUAUACUAGCUUUCACAAUUGGUAUCAGAGCCCGUGUAUUCACUUGAUUUGAAGUGUUUUACUUCAGAGUUAAAGAUCCAUGACUAGUAUGUUGGCUUUUGAAGGGCAAAGCAAUACCAGACCGCCUUAUUUCGAUGGAAAAGAAUACAACAUAUGGAAAAACAAGAUGAAGGCAUUUCUAAGAUCAAAGGAUCCUCUGGAAUGGGAUGUGGUAGACAGAGGAAUCAUUCCUAAAGCUACACCUGUCUCAGAAAGAGGAAAAGAAGCUGUUGAGUCUAGCGAAAUGACUCAAGAAGAGAUAACCAAAAUACAAGCUCUUGAUGCAAAAGCAAUUUAUUCUUUAUAUUGUGCAUUAUCACCUACUGAAUAUAACAGAAUAUCUUCUUGUGCUACAGCUAAAGAAGUCUGGGAUAAAUUACACAUCACCUAUAAAGGAACUAAUCGAGUGAAAGAAACUAGAAUCAACAUUCUGCUCGGUCAAUAGGAAGCAUUCAAAAUGAAAUCUGGAGAAUCUAUCACUGACAUGUUUAGUCGUUUUACAGAGAUCGUGAAUGGCCUCGAAAAUCAAGGGCAACCAAUUUCUGAUCUCAUGAAAGUAAACAAGCUUCUGCGUGGACUCUCCAAGGACUGGAAUCACAUAAAGACCUCAAUAAGGGAGACACAAAGAAUUAUGCCACUUUCAGUUGAUGAAUUGGUUUGGACUCUUCAGUCUUAUGAAGUGGAGCGAAUCAACGAAGAUGAAGAUCCUAAAGGUAAGAAAUCCAUUGCAUUAAAAUCUAAUGAUAAUUCUGAUGUCACAGAUUUUGAAGACGAUAUGGAUGACGAAGAGCUUGCUCUCAUGAUAAGAAGAUUCAGAAAGCUGAACAGGAAAGGAAGAAGAUUCAAUCCAAAGAAAAAGAGUUUUCAAAAGUAACAGAGUAAAUUUGUUGAGGAUGAUGAAUCCAAUAAAGAUGUAGUUUGCUUUGAAUGUAAGAAAAAGGGACACAUCAGACCCAACUGUCCCCUCCUGAAGAAAAAGAAAGGAAAAGCUGAGAAAUAUCAAAAGGCACUCAAAGCAGAAACAUGAAGUGAUACAAAAUGUGAAGAAAGUUAUGAUGAUUAUGCCAAUAUUUAUCUCAUGGCACAAUCAGACUCAGAUUCAGACUCCGAGACAGACUCAGAUUCAGACAGUGAAAUCAAGGUAAGUAAUUUGAAAAUCCCUACUAAAGUCUCUAGAUACAUUGAUGAAUUGUGUCUUAGUCUCAAGACUUCUCUUAAAAGGAUUUCCGAACUUAAAAAGGAAAAUUCAGCACUAAAACAACAAGAAAAUGUUUGGAAAGAAAAUGUUGAAAGUUUAGACAAAAGUAUUACUAUUUUGAAAGAAAAUGAAGACAAUCUUUCAAAAGAAAAUGCGUCUUUGAAAUUGACAUCUCAAAUAUUUCUAAAAGAUUUUCUAUAGGAUCUGAAAAACUAGAAAAAAUUCUUUAUGCUCAAAGACCUUAUUUCAAUAAAUCUGGUUUGGGAAUGACUGCAGAAACCAUUCAUCUAAUUGAUUUUCCUAAAGUAAAUGAAAGAAUUAAGCAAAGACCUACUAGAGAUGCUUACAAAAAUCAUUUCCAAAGAGUUUUUGUAAAACUAGUAGGUCGCAAUGCUCUUAAAUGUUCUAAGUGCAAUAGCUCAGACCAUUUUGAGAAAGAAUGUCCUAUGGUUUGGAAACCUGUUAAGAAAAUUUGGGCAAAGACAGUAUAUUAUACUAACACCAAUGGACCCAAGAAAAUAUGGGUACCAAAGAAAGCUUGAGUCGCUUUUCUAAAUGCAGGUCACUAUCAAGAAAAAGGCUAAAUGGUACUUGGAUAGUGGAUGCUCAAGGCAUAUGACAGGAGAUUCAAAUUGCUUCAUAAAGCUUGUUCAAGUUAAUGGUGGAAAAGUUUCAUUUGGAGGAAACAACAAAGGAAAAAUUGUGGAAUUCGGAACAGUAAAAAUUGGAAGCCUCACGAUCAGUAAUGUUUCCUUAGUGGAAUGACUCAACUACAAUUUGCUAAGUAUUAGUCAGCUGUGCGACACCGGUUUCAAAAUCAACUUUCAAGAAGGAAUAUGUUCAAGAACUAGUAAAGACUCAUCUCAGUCUUUCACGGGUAGAAGACAUGGAAAUAUCUAUAUCUUGGAUGUCAAACCAGAUGAAACCCAAUGUCUAAUCUCAAUUCAAGAAGAAGCAAACUUAUGGCACAUAAAACUUGGGCACAUCAACGUGAAACAAAUAGCCAAAAUUCCAGAAAAAAGGCUUGUUCGUGGUCUACCCAAUCUGUCAUACCAAAAGACUGAUCUUUGCACACCAUGCGUGUUGGGAAAACAAGUAAGAAACUCAUUUAAACCAAUAAAUCAAGUUUCCACUAACCGUGUACUGCAACUUCUGCAUAUGGAUCUCUUUGGACCAACCAGAACUUAGAGCAUUGGAGGUAAGAAAUAUUGCCUAGUAAUUGUGGAUGAUUACUCACGAUUCACCUGGGUAUAUUUCCUGGUAAGUAAGUCUGAAACCUUUUCUUAUUUUAAAAAGUUUUCUAAAAAUGUCCAAAAUGAAAAAUGGUAUGUUAUUUCAAGUAUACGAACUGACCAUGGAGGCGAAUUUAAAAAUCAAGACUUUACAAGAUUUUGUCAUGAAUCUGGUUUUCAGCAUGUGUUCUCUUCUCCAUAUACUCCAAAGCAAAAUGGAGUCGUGGAAAGAAAAAAUAGGUCGCUUUAGGAAAUGGCUAGAACUCUUUUAAUUGAAAGUAACAUCUCUUCACGUUUUUGGGCUGAAGCAGUUUUUAUAGCAUGUUAUAUUAUUAAUAGAGUUUUUCUAAGGCCUAUUUUGGAAAAAACUCUCUACGAGUUAUUCAAAGAAAAGAAGCCCAUUGUUUCAUAUUUUCAUGUGUUUGGGUGUAAAUGUUUUCUAUUGAAAAAUGUAAAUGAUCGAGCUGGCAAGUUUGAGGAAAAAUCAGACGAAGGAUCUUCCUUGGAUAUUCAACCACAAGCAAAGCUUACAGAGUCUACAACAAGAAGACUCAAUCUGUGGAGGAAUCAAUGAAUGUCAAAUUCCAAGAUUCUAUGCAAAUUGAAUCGAUUCAGACUCAACUUGAAGAAUUUGAACCUGCUCCGGACUCUACAAAGUCUAAAUCUCCAGAAGCAGCUCAGACUUCAGAAGAUCAGCAACAAAUGAUCGUCGAAGAUUCAAAUGUGGAAAAAGAUCAACAGUCUGACAAAGCAACCAAUAACUGGAAGCAUAAGUCCAGUCAUCCCAAAGAUCUCAUCAUUAGUGAUAUUAAUGAAGGAAUCCGUACAAGAUCCAAAAGGCGCGAAGAGUCUAGUGCUGUGGCUCUUAUUUCUGAAAUAGAACCCAAAAAGCAUAGAAGAAGCUUUAACUGAUGAAAACUGGAUUGAAGCUAUGCAAGAAGAACUCAGGCAAUUCAGUAUCAAUGAUGUUUGGGAAUUGACUCCUAAACCAAAAGGUAAAUCUAUUAUUGGAGCUAAAUGGGUUUUCAAGAACAAGAUGAACGAGAAAGGAAAGAUCGUAAGAAACAAAGCAAGACUCGUGGCCAAGGGAUAUACGCAAGAAGAAGGAAUAGACUAUGAUGAGACUUACGUGCCAGUAGCAAGGUUAGAAGCAAUUAGAUUAUUACUUGCUUUUGCUUGUCAUAAGAAUUUUAGGUUAUUCCAAAUGGACGUCAAAAGUGCCAAAAUGGAGUUAUCCAAGAGGAAGUCCAUGUGGAACAACUACCCGGUUUUGAAGACCAAAGGAAACCAGACUCUGUAUUCAGACUGAAAAAGGCUUUAUACGGUUUAAAGCAAGUACCUCGAGCUUGGUACGAGAGGCUAAGUAAGUUUUUAAUUCAAAAUGGCUUUGUUAAAGGUAAAGUAGACACUACACUGUUUAUCAAAAGAGAAAGCAAAAGUUUUCUACUUGUUCAAAUUUAUGUUGAUGAUAUUAUUUUUGGAUCUUCUAAUGAAAGUCUAUGCAAGAAAUUCUCUAAGUCUAUGCAGGAUGAAUUUGAAAUGAGCAUGAUGGGUGAACUAACCUUCUUUCUCGGGCUCCAAGUAAAACAACUGAAGGAAGGAACCUUUAUUCAUCAAGAAAAGUAUGCUAAAGAUCUUGUUAAAAAGUUUGGACUGGAGAAUUGCAAAAGACUGAUGUACCAAUGUCAAGUUCCUUGAAGCUGGACAAAGAUGAAGGAGGAAAGAAAGUUGACCAGAAACUAUACAAGAGCAUCAUUGGUUCACUUUUUUUAUUUUACUGCUUCUAGACCUGACAUUUUGUUUAGUGUUUGCAUUUGUGCCAGGUUUCAAUCAGACCCUCGAGAAUCUCAUUUAAGUGCUGCAAAACGUAUUAUCAAAUACAUUGCCUCAACUUCAACUAUGGGUCUUUGGUAUCCUAAAGAAGGAGACUUUACUCUUCUUGGAUACUCAGACGCAUACCUAGCCGGAUGCAGAGUUGAUAGAAAGAGCACCUCGGGUACCUGUCAACUACUUGGAAGCAAGACAGUGUCUUGGUUUUCAAGGAAGCAAAGUACAGUAGCUCUUUCUACAGUAGAAGCAUAAUAUGUAGCUCUUGGAAGUUGUUGUUCACAAAUCUUGUGGAUAAAACAAUAGUUAAAAGACUUUGGAAUUGAAGAUUCAUGUACUGAAAUCAAGUGUGACAACACCAGCGCAAUCAAUCUCACCAAGAAUCCGAUUCUUCACUCAAGAGCAAAGCAUAUAGAGAUUCGACAUCACUUCAUUAGAGAUCAUGUUCAAAAUGGAGAAGUUUUGAUUCAGUUUAUUGAUUCAAAGAAUCAACUGGCGGAUAUUUUUACAAAGUCUUUGGAGAAAAAUCAAUUUGAAGCUAUUCGUUCCAGACUCAAUAUCUUAAAGUCUGAGGAAGUUCAGACUUAGGACUGAAAGACAUUCAGACUUAGACGAUCAAGAAUUGCGACUGUAAGUUAUUUUUAUUUUAGAAAAUUAUCUCACGAAUCAAAUCUCGGAAAUGUACGAUCAUCAACCCAUUAUUAAUUGUUGUUAUUUUUAAUUUCCGUAAUUAUUGCAAUCUUUCCUUUUCGAAAAAGGAGUUAUUUUCUUUUGAAAUGACAGUUAUCUAAUUUUUGAAAAGGCAGUUAUUUUUAAAAAGGCAUCUUUAUACUUUCUUUUUUUUUACGACGUUCCGUAUGCCUCUCUUCGACUGCCUUAUAUACUGUCGGUUCCUCUUCAUUUCACUCACAAAAACCCUAAGAGAGCACCGAUCUUCCAUUUAUGUCUUCUUCUCUUGUUUAAUCUUCUAAAAGUUGUCAUCUUUCUUGGGAAAAACAAACUUGGAAUCUCUCCAAGACUGUGAAAAAUGUCUUCCCAAAGAAAGUCUUCGAGGAUCGCGAACAUGGGACCACAUCAGAUGCGUGAGGGGCCUACGCACUUCGAUCUAACUGAAGAAGAAUAAUUUCCUAAUCAGCAACAUAGCCCACAACAUUCUCAGCAGUGUCCAUCUCCUCCAUCUAGACCUCAGGAUGUUGUAUAUCAAGAAGAGGAAGAAAUAAUCGAAGACGCAGAACCCGUAAGAACUCUUAAGCCCUCUUUUACCUACAAGCUUUAUCGUGCUUUGAAGAGGGGCGGUACUCCUUUGAACUAUAUUGAUGAAUUUUUGAAAGACAAAGGGUAUAGAAAUAAAACUUUCUUUUUACGCACAAUGGAACGAUUGGGAAUUGCCCCUGCUAGGUCGGCGGAAGAGGCAUUCGCAAAUAUCCCAAGCGAUCCACGUGUUGGAGGGCUGAGUCAGCCAGAUGGGAAUGAUGGUGAUAGGUUGUACAGUCAGUUUAAACCAAGAAUGGGUGUUGCAGCAAAAAUCCGAAGCAAAAGGACAGACUUGUUUCGAUCAGAAAAACAUAAGCAACUGUACUCUAAGUUGCUGAAGCGUGGGGUGAUAAACCUUAGAAGUGUGGAUUUUGAUUUUCUUGACUCUGUGAAUGUCAAUCUACGGGAAAAAUUCAGUCUUCUUCAACUCGAACAAUUUUGUUCUGAAAGUACAUAAGCCUAUGCUAAACUUACUGCUUAUUUCUAUUCAAAUCUUAGUUUCUUGGAUGCGAAUAAAUUCUCUUUUAGUGUUCGAGAUCAGGACGUUUCAACCCAUUAAUGUGGGCAAAAGAACGCUUCAAGUGCCUUAACUUUGCACAAAGGGACACUUAAGUGCCAAAAUCGGAGUAAAAUGGAUCACUUGAGUGCCAAUCCGGCCAAAAUCCGGCCAAAACGCUGACGUGUCAAUUUUCCGGCGAAGCGAGUGCAAAACGGCGUCGUUUUAAUGCUGACGUGGCCAAAAAUUUAAUAUAAAAAAUAAUUUAAAACUAAAUUUAUUUAAAUAUUUAACAAAAUAUUAAAAUAUUAAAAAAUGUUAAAUUUUAAAAAAUUAUAAAAAUUUUAAAAAAUUAUAAAAAAUAUAUAAAAAUAUGAAAAAAUUUAAAAAAAUUUGUAAAAAUUUUAAAAAUUGUAGAAAAUUUUAAAAAAAAUUGUAAAAAUUUUAAAAAAAAUUUGUAAAAAUUUUGUAAAAAUUCUAUAAAAAUUUAUAAAAUUCUAUAAAAAUUUAUAAAAUUCUAUAAAAAAUUAUAAAAGUCUAUAAAAAUUUAUAAAAUAUUAAAAAAUUAAAUAAAUUAAAUAAAUUAAAAGUUAAAAAAUAAAAAAAUUCAAAAAUUUUAGAAAAUUUUAAAAAAAUUUCGAAAAUUUUAAAAAAUAUUAGAAAAUUUUAAAAUAUUUUAAAACAUUUAAAAAAAUUAAAACAUUUUAAAAAAUUUAAAACAUUUUAAAAAAAUUUAAAAAAAUUUUGAAAUUUUAUUUAAGAAAAUGAGGCGGGCCUGGCCAACCCUCCCCCACCUUCCGGCGACGGCGGGGAGGCGGCGGCAACGAGGGCUCCGCCCUCAACCGUUGGCUGCCUUUCUCCUCCUCCUCCUACAUUUUUUUAAAAAUAAAAAUAGAUUAUAUUAUUUUUUUGUUUUAAAUUUAAUUUAAUUAAUUUUUCUAUUAUAUUAAAAUUCAACUUAUACCAAAACAACGUUGUUUUGGCCGAUUUAAGUGCUCUAAUCUGGCCAACACCCGAAACGACGUUAAUUUGGUGCUGACAUGGUAAAAAAUUUAAUAUAUAAAUUAAUUAAUUUUAAUAUAAAAAUAAAUUUAUUUUAAAAUUUAAAAAUAAAAUUUUAAAAAUUAAAAAAUUUUGCAAAAUUAAAAAAGUUACAGAAAAAUAAUUUAAAAAAAAAAGGGAGGCGGUGAGGGCUGAAAUUUUUUGUAACUUUUUUAAGUUUUUGUAAAUUUCGUAAAUUUUUUAAAUUUUUUGUAACUUUCUAAAUUUUUUUGUAAACUUUUUUGAAUUUUUGAAAAUUUUUUAAAUUUUACGUAAAUUUUGUAAAUUUUUUAUAAAUUUUGUAAAUUUUUUGUAACUUUCUAAAAAAUUUUGCAAAUUUUUAAAUUUUUGUAAAUUUUUAAUUUUUUUUUAAUUUUUAAAUUUUUUCUAAAUUUUGUAAAUUUUUUGUAAAUUUUGUAAAUUUUUUGUAAAUUUUGUAAAAUUUUUGUAAAUUUUGUAAAUUUUUUGUAAAUUUGUAAAUUUUUUGUAAUUUUUUGCAAUUUUUUUUUAUUUUUUCAAUGUUUUAAAGUUUCUAAAUUUUUUUAAUUUUUAAAAAAUGUUUUUAAAUAAAUUUAUUUUAAAUUUAAUUUAAAUAAUUUUUAUAUUAUUAUAAAAUUCAAAUGAUGUCAAAACGACGUCGUUUUGGCCGAAUUCGAGCUGACUCAGCUCUCCGACGAGACAUAUCAGCGAGAAAUAUUAAUAUUUUAAUGCCACGUAUGAUUUCCGGCCAACUUCGCCGGAGAUGGCACUCAGGUGUCCCACUUUUCUUAAAAUGUGGCACUUAAGUGUACCUUUCGUAAGUUAUGGCACUUAAGUGUCCCUUUGGCCAAAGUUAUGGCACUCCAGGGGUCCGCACGUCCAUUAAUGUGUCUAUUCAAUCUAUGUGGUUGACAUGAAUACAUUGGCUGAUGUGAUUGGGGUUGAAAGAGGGAGAUAUCAACCCAUUAUGUGUCUAUUGCUCGUGCAACGUUGGAGCUUGUUAAGGAUAGAAGGACAGAGGGAAAGAUUUCCUAUUUGAUGAUGAAUGCAUCCAACAUUCCGCUUCACAAAAUUGUGAUUAAUUGCCUCAGACCAAAAUCUACUUCAAAGACCGACGUUUCAAACUCGGAGGCAAAGCUGAUGUAUGCCAUCAAUGCAGGGAAAAAGUUCUCUCUCCCACAUACUAUUAUGUUCCACAUUUACAAGGCAGUGGUGAAGGACAAGGGUCAACUUCCUUAUCCAGCUCUCGUGACUAAGUUAUUCAGACAUUUGAACGUUCAGCCUCCCCGAAUCCUUUGUGUUUGAACGUGCGAUCAAAUGGUGGUGGGACAGAAAAUGGUCUCUAAAAUGCGUUUGAAGGAACUCAACAAGGCGUUGGAGAAAUUCAAGGAGAAAACCUCUGUUAAGACUCAUCAAAUCUCUUCGGCUGCAAAGAGAAAAGGAAAGGAGCCCAUGGUUGCUCCAUCCAAGCAAAGAAGAGCUCUCAUCAUUGAGGAUGAAGAGGAUGAGGAUGAUAUCACAAUUUCUGCAAUGGCAUUGAAGAACUUGAGUUGUUAUGUUCCAGAAUCAACAGAAAGACAAGAAAAAGACACGGAUGAGACAGAACAGAGGACUGGAGAAAAAGAAAAUUUGGAAGCAGAGGAGAGAGAAGCAGAAGAAGGAGAUGAAGAGGAGGAAAUAAUUGAAGAAGAAGAGGAGAGAUGAGAUGAAGCAAAGCAUGAGAAACACUCUUCUCCACUUGAAGGCAUGGAAAUAGGGGGAGAUCCUGAGAAAAGAGGAAUGCCCUCAUACCUUGCCACCGGUGAAGGAGUAAGCCGCUCUCCAGCAGAUCCAGAGGACAUCUAUGCCUCUCAAUUUCCUGAGGAAGGACAUGAUGUUUCAUCGCUUAAUAUGCGUGACCAUGCUGAUUUACCAUCGUCUGCCUUUACAUCGUCAAAUCGUGCAGAAGCCAGUACUCAGACUGAUAAUUCAGUAGACUUUCGCAAAAUACUUGAUGUUCUCUUAGAGAUGCGGGGUCAAAUAUAUGCUCUGGGAUACGAACUUCAAAAUUUGCAGAAUGCAGGACAAGCUUCUUCAGUUUCUUUGAAUGAUCAAAUUCAAGCCUUUACUCUUCAAGUUCAAGCAAAUGCUAAGGGUGAAGAUGUGGCGCAAAUGAAGGAGGACUUGAAAAAGCUGGAAGAGAUUGUCCAGUUAAUGGGAGAUUUCCAGCUUGUUCGUGUUCCCAAGCAACCUUAAUACCAUUCUCUUUUCAUCUCUACCUUUUUAAUGAUGACAAAAAGGGGGAGAGAUGUGGUGCAGAUUUGAUUUGAACUUUUUAACAGAUAUGAUUUGAACUUUUUGUUGAUUAUGUUUGACUUGACUUUUGUGUUGUUUGGCUGUUUUGGAUUUGGACUGGAUUUGGGUUUGACUGUUUAAAUGUUGUUUAUCUCAAGUACUAUUGAUAUCUUGGUAUCUCAUGGCUUCGCUUAUUUAUAGAACUAAUCUAUCUUCUGUGGAUGCAGAUUCUAGUGUUAUUAAGCCAUUUAUCUAUAUGAGAUAUCCAUAUUUGCUUAAGUAAUAUUUUGCAGGUCAAAGUUAUCCAAAUCUGUAGGAAAGUUUUGUCACAAUCAAAAAUGGGGAUAUUGUUGGAGAAAAUUUCCUUGAAUGUUUUGAAGUUGACAAAACGUUUCCAUCAGUCUAGUCUGAAGACUUGCAGACUCUUCCAUCAAAGUCUGAAGACCUUCGGACUGCUAAACUCAAGACUCAAAGUCUAUCCGCAUUGACAGUUUCUAGACCGUCGAAGAAGACUUAUCUAGAACUAGAUCUUUUGUUAAGGAUUUGACUUUAUUAACUAGAGAAGAUCUCUUGGCUGGAUAUAGCAUGUCAGAAUCCAUUAUUCAAAUCAAGAUUGAUUCAAUGAUUAUGGAUCCAUUGAUUGGCAAAGUAUACUUGGAAGGUUCUACUUAUGGAAACCGAGAUCCUGAUUGUAUGGGCGAGCAGGAUUGAUGGGCUAUCGUCAUGUUCCUUAAAUAGCUCGAAGAUCUUCCUAAUUGAUUCUGUCCAACGAGUAGAUGGAAGAAUUCCUUUGGUAAGUACCAACGGGUAUGAUGACAUAAAUGAGUAUAAAAAGAAGACGUUCCAGUUGUUUGAGUGUGUGCACGAUAGAAGAAUUCCAAAGUCUGAAGCUCCUUGUUCUUAGUCAAUUCAUUUGUUGAGCGAAAUCUUGUACGCAAAAGAGAGUCUAUAUUUUUUAGAGACCUUGAGGAAGUGUAGUAAAGUAUCUACACUGUGGAAUCAAGGGAGAGCUUUACUGUAACAACUCUUUUGUUCAUAGUGAAAUCCAGCCGGUGGGCUGUUAGUGCGGAAGAGUGGACGUAGGCUUGGAUUAAGCCGAACCACUAUAAACUCUGUGUUCAAAUUCUCUUCCCUACACUUUUUUACUUUGAUCGUAACUUGUUUAUUUGAAAAUAGAGGAAUUUUCUUUUCAUAAUCCAUUGUUGAUUUGAGCUACACUUAUCUCGCAAAAUUGUUUCUGCACCUAUUCAUCCCCCCUCUAGGUGCUCAUACUAGCUUUCACACUUCUUAGAACCACCACCAUGAUAGCCAUCCUAAAUGGGAGCAACAUACUGAAAAAUGCAGCAUACUCCAUGAGGCCCCGAACGCCAGCAUUGUGAAAGCGCGCUUUGAGCAACAUCGCCUGAAUGCCCCGAAGACAGCCAAAUAGAUUAGGCAGCCAGCUAGGAGGACCAGCGGCGCCUUGACUCGAUAGACCCUGGACUGGCGACUCUCCUGCGUAUUCACCGAAUAAUUUAUGUAGAAAUGCUCUUCUAUUUCCGGGAUUGGCGCUGGGACCAACCAAAUUAACAUGUUAAUGGAGGGAAAAUUUGUUCAAAAAUUUUUAAACCUAUUUCACUUUUCUCUGCUCUUCGUGUGCAUCUCUGCUCUUCUUGCCCUAAAUGGCAAGGAACGAAAUCCUUAAUUUCAAAAAUUAGAAAAUCGUAGCCCCAAAUCAGUCAAUCAUGCUCAGGAUUCAUCAAUCUUGCGAGGGGAUUUGUGGGGAUUCUCGUGAGCAGCUCGUGAGGGACCUCCACGACACUUGUGAGGGGAGGGGAUCUCGUGUGACGCUCGACGAUGGCCGUCCGAUGCUCGGAAAUGCUCAGGAGGAACCGGGGGAUUUCUACGAGCAGCUUGCAAGGGAACUUGACAACGACGACUUAGCCUAGCAAGAGGAGGACAAGCCACAAUUGCGCGGUUCUGCCACUUUGCAAUGCAGUUUGUUUCAGCUUUUGUAUACACAAGUAGAGCCUGAGAAUAGUAGUUUCAUUUGUGCGAAAAUCAAUCACGAAUGAGGCUGCUUUGAUAUAUUGAGCUUCUAUUUUAGUAUGUCUGUGAAAGAGUGAGUUUUACAGUGAUAUCAUUCGAUUUUAACCAUCCAAUAGCUAUUGGAUCAUCAAUUUGAAUAGAACUUAUCGAAACAAUAUGUCAUAGUUUAUGGAUUUGUUUUUGUUAUGCAUUGUCUUUACCUUUUUGAUUCUAUGUUCUGUAUUGCCAUCAAGAUGAGUGUAGUUCAAGUCAACGAAGUUUCAGAUUAUUAGAGGCUAAUCUACUUAUCUAUGUUACAUUUUCUUCUCAUAGCUUUAAAUUUUUAUUGUAACUGCUUCCCAAAUCUGUUGGUUAUUGGGUUUGUAGCAGCUGGUGGUUCAAAUUUUGUUCGCAUGCUGAAGCAUUAAAUUAUUUUUAUUGCUUGAUUUACUUGCAUUGCUGGGGAUACGAUCUCAAGAAGUGUGGGGAAUGUUUUGUUUUGUUAAGUAGUAGAACCAAUGCAAGAAUAGAGCAAGCACACUUUAUUGGAUAGCAUCUUCAUCUUGACCUUCAUUAGUGGCAACGUUUUCCAGAGUUGCUUGUUGCAAAAUUGAAUUGAAUUUUCACAUGCUAUUAACUAAUUUUGCAUGUAUCUGUUCACCUAUUCAUCAUGUUUGUAUAUUGCCUUGAUUAUUGAAAGAGGUACUUCAAAUUGUCAGUGGGAAUCUAUAUGGAUCGAAUCUGUAAUAGGUUUCUAAAGAUAGCUGAAUCACAGCAUCAGGAAAUCAGGUCAAGCUCAAAGAGAUAUUUCUUUUAUUCUUCCACACUUUGACAAUAUGGACCUCUUUAGACAGAUUUGCACAAGAUCUUUAAAAUGUCAUCCUCAUUAGGCUUUGGCACCAAAGGUUUCCUUGAUCUAUUAAGGCUUUGCAUCUCUCGAAUCAAAGAGAGAUUUCAAGGCUUCUCGGACUACCUCCAACCAGUCAAGUCCAGUGGAUAACCUUUCUCAGAGUUCCAGUGAACACAACUCCGAGGAGGCUCUGGUUGAUAUGAACCAUUGUCAUUGGUCUCAGCUACAGGAAGUAAGCAGAUGCUCUGUCCUUGGAACUAUACACACACACACACACACACACACAUAUUGGCCUGAAUGACACACCAUAAAUGUUGUGAAUAAUAUUGAUUGCAUACUUAGUCUAAACAUACACAUUCGAAGAUAGUUGAUGUCCCCAAUCUUUGUUCAAUUAGGAAGAAGAUGGUUUUGCACAAGAAGUUCCAGAUGCAUCAGAAUUGAUGGAAAGUGGUAAGCCCAAGCUAAUUGUGGCCUUAGGGUUCUGAUAUGUGCAGAUAUGUUGUCAUGAAUUGGCUUCCAUUAUCUACUUAAUAAGUUAAAAAGGGCAGGUGAAUUGGAUGAGGUUGGAAGACCAGGACCCUCAUUACUACAACAAUCCAGGCUUCCAAUUCAUAAACCUUGCGUGUCAUUCAAGGAGCAUCAACCCAAAAGCCCUGUAAACAGAGUUGAUGAAAAAACAAGAAGAGAGUGCAAAAAGCCCAUUGUAAGGAGUUCCUACUUUAAGCAUCAGUUUUGGAAUGAAACUGAUAGAGACAGGGAGAGAGAAACUACCCCGGUUGGAAGUGACCCAACGAGUGUAGGUGAGACCGUAUGUGUGAAAGGAAUGAUAAAAAAGAAGACCUAUGCCGAUGACACAGUAAAAAAUGUAGGUGUAAACAGCAUUGAGAAAAAACAAGAAGAGAAAACAGAGAGGUUAUUGUAAGGAGCUCUUGUUUCAAGCAUCAUGCUGCAAAGGAAACUAAUAGAGAUGAUGGAAAGGAAAAUAUCCUGGUUAAAGGUGAUCAUCCAAUCAGUCUAGGUGAGACUGACUUUAUGAAGCAAGUGAUCAUGAAGGGGAAAGCCUCCCUUGAUGACAUGUCGGAGAAAGGUGUAAACAGAAAUGAGGACGAAUCAAGAAGAGAGAACAGGAAGUUUAUUAUAAGGAAUUCCUAUUUUAAGCAUCAGUCUGCAAAUAGUGCUGACAAAGAUGACGAAAAAGAAAACAUCCCUGUUGAAAGUGAUCAUCCCAUCAGUCUAGGCGAGACUGGCUUUCUGGAAGGAAGGAUCAUCAAGAGGAAGGCCUCCCUUGAUGGCACAGCGGAAAAAGUAGGUGCAAUCAGGUUUUUACGAAAAUUCUAGCAAUGCAAAACAAAAGCGUAUGCAUGUGGAUGAUUCUCUUGUCAAUGAUGGUAUGUUGUCAACUGAAACCGCGUUAUUAAUACCAGUACUUGUUUAGCAAUUUUCUUGGUUCUUAAUCUUAACAUACUAUCAUGUUUGGCAUAAAUCUAGAUUGAUGUUGCUAGAUAUUGUACAAGAUACAACCUUCAAAGAAUUAAGGAUGAAAUUGCAAAAGCCGUUUAUUAUCUAAUUAAUGAAGAUGCAUGCAUCAACAUGACAAAGCCAAUGCAUUUUCUUUGUAGAGCUAAGCUGAGCUUCUAAUUGGUUUGGAACAUUCAAGGCCGAGCAUGCAUUUCAUGUUUAGCGCAUAAUUUGACUUUUUAAAACCGGAAAUCUUUUGCAUCAUUUGGUAUUUGAGUGUACAUGGAAUAAAGUCGGCAUUACUGGGAAGCCAGAAAAUCUUGGGGUUAUGCCAUGUAUCAAGAGGAACCAUAAUGAUUUGACUCUACAUGUUACAAUACAUUAUAGCUCUGAAAAAAGGCCUCCUGCUUUAGCAGUGAGUUACAGUCCAUUUCUAGGCUCAUACUCUGAUGAAUUGAAUUCUAAAUCCACGACUCAUCUGCAUGUACUUCCAUUUUGAAAGUGAAGGCUCUUCAUCGGAGGGUUAUCUUAAUUGCUUACCAUUAUUUGGGAGUCCACCUUUUCUUUUGGGUUCUGGGGUGGCCUCUUUGGCAUUUUGAAGACUACAGGAUGAAGUUUGAAAUCUGAUAUCUCUUGGCUUCGGGAAGCCGUGCCCCUGGAUUAGACAAGUCAUUCACUAGUUCUGAAGGAAAAUUUGGAGCCGACAUCUCCAAUUUAGGCCGCUAUUCUGACAUAGCAGGAAGUUCAUUGGAGAGAUUCGUCUCGGUAAUAUCGUCAUUUAGAUUCACCGCUUCUGGUUCUCGUGCCAGUGGUCUCCGUGCUCCUUUGAAGGUUGUGCACAAUGCAUGUACGAAUAGGUAGGAGGAUGACAGCAAAGAGAUUCUCUACUUUUCCGCGAUCUUAUUUGGUUAUCCCUCAUUGAUUUCGUUCAAUAGUAGGUCAACUACUGCCCCGGAUAUCAGUCAAUUUGAUGUAGAUCGAUGCAUCUGCCGAACUCCUAGUCAAAACAAUUGAACGAAAUAUGUGGCCAAGAGCAGGAAGCCCGUGAUUCCAACCCGCAGGAGUUGAUUGUGUGCAGUAUAUUUCGAUGUAGAUCGAUGCAUCUGCCGAACUCCUAGUCAAAACAAUGGUUGCCACCUUUAUGUUUCCCAGGCAUGGCCAAUUAAAGUGAACAUAUGCUUGUGUUUUAUGAUAAUGUGGAAACUGUACUUGUUAUGAUCCUUUGCCAUCCAACUGUUAUGAGCAGGGUCGAUCCAGUAACAUGUUCUGCACGAGUCGAAAUCAUCAAUGACGUUGCUAUCCCUGCGACUCGUGUCCAUCAUCUUCGAUACUGUUAAUCAAGAUGUUACUCCCUCAUUUCAAGGCGGUGGAGGACCACAUCAAGGUUGAUUUUUUGUUUUUUCCCGAUAUGUUGGUUGAUUGAUUUUGGGGGAAGGAGAUCCAUUUCAUCAGGUUGAACUAGCAUGCUAAAAUUGCUAGAGACCUCUUGUUUACAUUUUUUAUUUCUGGAUCACUUUGAUUGGAAUUAUCUUUGGAUUUCAUUCCGGAAAGGCUCAAAAACAGAGUUAUGAUGGAUUGGGUUACAUGAUCAGUUUUGCUUUCCCGGUUGCAAGGGGCAAUAUGGGAUUCACAAUCACAUAGUAUUAUGUAAUGCAAUUUUUGCGGGGAAUUGUUUCGUGGAAUGUGUAAGUGAUCCAGACGACAGGAAUUUGCUAUGCAUUCUCUUUUCCAAUUCAUCUGCAUGCCACGAGGUUUGUUUUCUUCUUUUAAUUUUUUAUUUUUGCCAAAAACACUUGAAAGUCAUUCAUUAAUAAAAAAUGUCAUUACAAGCUCAAAUAGGUUUCUCCCCCAAUUUUGUAACAAAUAAAUUGCAAAAAGUUAGACCAUCAAGUUGAUCCUUCGCGCUCACUGCUCGACUCCUCAACAAAAAAGCCAUGAUCUCCUCAAUCCAGGCUGAGGAGUAAAGUGCCAUCCCUUAUUUACAGUGUCAUUAGAUCUAGACUAGUGUUCCACCUUCUUAUCCAUCAAGAACUCCCUUAUAGCGUCCUUUAUCUAUCCUACAUCCAUCUCAUGUAUUGGUCUUUUGCCUUGAAAAAGCUGCUGCAUUCCUACCCUCCCAAAUAACCAACAGGUCUAGGUAAUCAAUCUAAGCAAGCAUUUCUUCUCAACGGAGCUUAUUGCCUGCUUUCAACUUGUCGCAAGAGUCGUCUGUCAAAAGACAUUGCCUGUGUCUUCUCAAUCUUGAUCCGGCUUGCCCCAAACCAUACUAACUCUACAAUACUCACAGCAUAAACUAAGGUGUUCAGCUAAUUCAGCAAGACUUUAAAUCAACCACUCAGAUGAUUGCUUAAUUCUCCUCCUAUUCGAACUCUCUUCUGCAGCUAAUGCCCAAGUGCAGAGUCCCCAAAUGAAAUGCGUACCUUUUGGAAUAUAGUCAAUACCCCAAAUAAUCUUCUAGACCUUGUUGUCUUGUCUACCCCAAUAGAGCAUGAAGCCUGGAUUCGUCUACCUUCAAGUCAUUGGAAACAGGGCCACUUGGCAAGCUGAUUUGACUGAGGAGCUGCCGUUCUUACAGCAAGGCGAUAGUAGUUUGUUCAAUUGCACUUGGUUCCAAAGCAUUUAACCCUUGAUCAAUCAAACUACCCACUCAACUGCUCAUCAACCUCCUGGAAACAUUGCAGGCUAGUUUGCACUUAGCUUCUGUAUAGAUUUUUUUUGUAACAUUUCCUUUUUCGUGCUUUUAGGAUUUGGAAUUAUGCACACUAUGGAUAGAAGAGUGAAAAAUGAAAAUUUAAAUAGAAAUGAGAGCAAUUAACAUUGGAGUCAAGGCGCUCCAAAGAAAGGUGGUAUAAGUUCCACGCCUUGCCAAGAACGGUUCAAGUCGAAACUCUCACGUGGGGUCAUCCAUCAAUCUUCCCUCUUUUGAUAAUGGUACGGAACAUCUGCUCACUCUAUAUUUUUACUAAUUUUAACAAAUUUUUUUAACAAGCAAUGAUUAAUUAACUAAACACGCUGCAAAUUUGUAUUACAUCCUGAAUUUCAAGUUUUGUCUUCAAUUGAAUAAGUAGAGCUUUUCAUCGACGCGCCUAUAGUUCUUUCCAUUGAGUUAGUCACUCACGAGAUAACUAGUCUAUCAGGUGAAGCCGUUAAGGAAUCUAAACGCAAUAGACUUGAGAAUUCAACUAGGAAUCGAUUGCUUGACCAUGUUAAUCUAAUAAAGGUCAUUGCAACACUAUCAAAAUCAAUCAGAGGCUGGAGAUAGGUCGAUUUGAUAGAGAUAUGUGAUUAGUGUGUGGAUGAUUCCACCUAAUUGCAAAAUUUCUGCCGAACGAUACUAAACUGAUUUUUCUGUCAUUUCUGUACCAUAUGCUCGUAUUUAAAAUCUCGAGAUUUUCACGACAAUCGAGAGUCGUUAAUGUGUCGAAAAUUUACAUUGUGGCUUGAAAAUAUAUCGAUCACGGGUCAAUUGCACAAAAAAUUCAUAAAAGUUACUCGAUAGGUUAGGUCACGCUAAAAUCACACCUGAUUGAAAUUAACCACGAAUUUGAACCUGAUCUAAAAAAUUGAAAGUUCUGUCAUAUCACAAUUCAUUUUAAGACUAUUGACUCACAUUCCAAAGAUUUUUUUGCAAACUAAGAUUUUUGGCAAAAAUUCAAAAUAGAGCCGUUUUUGAUCAAGAAAACUAGAGGACCAUUUUUGGUCGUGUUUUUGGGAUUCAAGUUAGUUCAAUUGACAAGGAAAAAUCCUAAGAGGGAUGAUGGCAUCUUGAUUGAAUUUAUGGGGACCGGAUUGAGUUCAAUUGGAGGAUAAUUGGAGAGUAAUUGAAGCAAAUUGGAUGGAAAUUGUACAAAAUUCGUAGGCCAUGGGGGACUCAACAUUUUGGACCAUUUGGGAAGUGUGUUGAGGAAGCUUGGGUGCUGCAAAUGGCUGAGGAUGGAAGACAGCGGUUGGUGGGGCUUGUGUGAUGAUGAAAAUGUAUAUUUUGUGGUCAAAUGGGACCCCUUUCGGCUGAGCUCUCUUCUUCUUCCUCCCUUGCUCUGCCUUUCUCCAUUUUAGAGCAAUUUGAGAGCUAAGAAUUGUAGAGAAACCGAGUAGCACACACCCCCCCUUGCUGUUGACCACCGCCUAGAGCUGUCGAGCGCCGUCAUUGCCGUCGCAAGCCGCCCGCGCACUUAUCUCACUCGUGUGCCUGUUCGCGCGACCGUGCGUUGUCGUUCCCACCCUGGUCGCUGUCCCGAGCCAUCGUCUAGCUUCGCCAACCACUGUACGUGGCCAUCCAAGCCGCCGAAAGUCCCGCCAUUCCCCGCCUAGCCCGCUGCAGCCAUUGCCAUCCAUCUUGUGCUAUUUCAACUGCUUGAGCAGUCCCUCAGUCCAAGGAGCAGAAGCCAGAGAUCUUAGCCCAGCUGAGACUUCGUGUGGCUUUUUCCUAGCCCUUCCGGACCCAUUUUUCCCAGCAGAAGCCGAAGAUCUCAGCCCAGUUGAGACCGUCGGAGUUUUUUUAUGCAAAAUAUUGAAAAUGAAUUUUCUAUAGAGUAAAAGGGAUUUUUCUCUGACAAAUCUUCGUUCUAUGAUUUCACCUGACCUUAAGGGUGUUGUGAUCUCCAAAAUGAUAAAUCGGUUGAAAAUGAAGCUUUUAAAACUCAUUUUUCCCAGCAAAUUUCCAACAAUCAGAGUUUUUUAAGUAAAAUAUCGAAAUGAAUUUUCUAUGGAGUAAAAGGGAAUUUUCUCUGACAAUUCUUCAUUCUUUGAUUUCACCUGACUUUAAGGGUGUUGUGAUCUCAAAAAAUGAUAAAUCGGUAGGAAAUAAAGCUUUUGGAACCCAUUUUCCCAAUAGAUUUCCAACAGUUGUAGUUUUUUAGGCAAAAUAUCGAAAAUGAAUUUUCUAUGGAGUAAAAAGAAAUUUUCUCUGACAAAUCUUCGUUCUAUGAUUCACCUGACUUUAAGGGUGUUGUGAUCUCCAAAAUGAUAAAUCGGUUGAAAAUAAAGCUUUGGAACCCAUUCUUCCCAGCAGAUUUCCAACAGUAGGAGUUUUUUACGCAAAAUAUCGAAAAUGAAUUUUCUAUGGAGUAAAAGGGAAUUUUCUCUGACAAAUCUUCAUUCUAUGAUUUCACUUGACUUUGAGGGUAUUGUGAUCUCCAAAAUGAUAAAUCGGUUGAAAAUAAAACUUUUGGAACUCAUUUUUCCCAGCAGAUUUUCAACAGUCGGAGUUUUUUUAGGCAAAAUAUAGAAAAUGAAUUUUCUAUGGAGUAAAAGGGAAUUUUUUUUUUUUACAAAUCUUCGUUCUUUGAUUUCGCCUGACUUUAAGGGUGUUGUGAUCUCCAAAAUAAUAAAUCGGUAGGAAAUAAAGCUUUUGGAACCCAUUUUUUCCAUCAGAUUUCCAAUAGUCAGAGUUUUUUACACAAAAUAUCGAAAAUGAAUUUUUUAUGGAGUAAAAGGGAAUUUUCUUUGAUAAAUCUUUGUUCUAUGAUUUCACCUGACUUCGUGUCGCCGUCGACGUGAACUUAUCGGAACGCUAAACCGGUGAGUUUACUUGCUAAACUCUAUUUUUGGAGUUAAUGAUGCUUAAUGGAUGAUUAGUUUAGGCUAAUUAAGGUUUAGGUGGAUAGUUAGAUUAGAUAAGUGAUUUAAUUAUUCAAUUAUGCAUGUUAGGUAGUUAGAUUAAAUGAAUUAAGGGCUAGAUAAGUUGUACUAUUUAUCUAGGUAGUUUUGAAAAUUUUCGCGGCCCGUUUGGGCGGUUAAUUAAGCAUUUCUGGCCUAAGUUGUUUUUUUAUUGCAUUUAAAUUAAAUUAUUUAAUUAAUUUUGGUAUUUAUUUAUUUAUUUAUUAUUUUUCGAAAAUUAUACCGAGAUGGCCGGUGACCGGAAUUUUGUGCUGAUUGCAAUGGUGUGGUUAAUUCUACAAUUAAGUGUUAAAUUGUGCAAAUUGAGUGGUAAUCGUAAUUUUGAGUAUCUAAGUCAAAAUUUGGGAAUUUUGGUAAUUAUUUAGAAAUUACCAGGUGACGGGUUUUGACACCAAAAAUUAUUUUAAAUACUAUAUCAAAUGGUGGGAUUUGAAAAUGAAUGGUAUCAAUUUUUCUGGUCCGAAUUGACCGUGUACCCACACACGACUAUUUUACUGUGUGUUUUUAAUACGAAGAAAAUAGGCUAGGAUUACUAUUUUAAUUGAGGCAUUUGAGUGCAAUGCAUGGUGUCCUAGGUCGAGAUUGAAUGGUCAUGUAUUGGUUAAGAGAACCUGUCCUGAGCUGUUGAGCUGGACGUGUCCCUAUAUGGGAUGCGCUACCAAUGGAUACCGGUUAUAGUAGAUUCUGAACCGAUGCUCCUUUAUGGAAUGCCGUCGACGUAGUGACGUUGCCAAGCUCGAUGGGGCGAGACAAUGCCUAGUUAUGCCAGAAGACCGUCGAGCUUCAAGUAGACCCUGCCCAUGUGUGACCGUGAUUAACAAUUGGAACACCUGCUGAGUGAAAUUGAUGCACCGAAUUAUGGGACAAAAUUGUGUGGCACGGAAUGAGACGUGUCAUAAUGAUUUGGUCUUAUAAUCGAGACCCCUUGUGUUGUUGAGAUGAAAGUGUUGGCAUUCCAAUUGUUUGAGCAUGAAUACUAUUUAUGUUUGUGUUAUGAGUUGUGUUGACAUGCAGGAAGGAUCUAAGACGAGGUAAAUCUCCGUGAUUGUGUGGCUGUAUGGUUAGGACGCCCAUAGGCGUAUUUCCUUCCUAAUUAGAGUUUAGGGGGUGAACUUGUUGAGACAUUGUCUCACCCCGUCAUGGGCUCAUUUCUUUUUAGGUCCUUAGAUGGAGCAGCGUCAUGUACACUAUGAGGUUUCGAGGGAGGUAGACUUCCAGCAUUUCUAUUUCCCAGUUUCCAGGACCGACUUGACCCAUGAGCUUGUGGAGUCCACUAUUUGGGUUGAUGAGGGUCUACCCCACCUGGUACCUCAUCGUUUCAAAGCGCGGUACCUUCAUAAGCAUGAUAGGAGUCGAGAGGGUCCUAUAGGUGGUUUUGACAAGCCUCCCAUUGAGACAGGGGAAUGGGAGAUAGGGCACCCCUUGGAUAUUGACACCCCUGAUAGUGCUGUGGAGGAUUCGGAGCCAAGGACUGGAGAGCCUGGAGUUUAGAAUCUCCGUAGCCCUUUUUUGAUCUAGACUUCUGUAUAUAGCCCUUUUAGUAGACUUUUGUAUAUGACUUAGCUUGUGUAUAAAGGUGUUUGGUUUGAUGUGAUUGUCCUGCUUUCCUAUCCUAUGUUGUUUGUUGUCAGGAGUUGUUUAUUCGCUUUUGCAUGUGCAAUAAAAUGAAUGGGUUGGCGACGCAUCUUAGGACGUCGCAAAUUUUAUCGACCAUCGAGGGAUGGGCAUGCACUCAAGGAUCAAGGCGUGACAAUUUGAGUCUAACCUUCCAUAAAAAUUGUAAUCAACUUGAAUUUACCAUAAAUCUCUUGUUCUUAUUCUUAGUAACUUUUUUUUCUCGAUAAUCAUAGCUUUCUUUCACAAUUCAUAAACUUAAAGACCCUAUUGGUGAGUAAUGGUCGUUAUAUGUUGUAGUUUUCCUUAAUCAAUAGUGACAAUGACAAUGUUUAAAUGUUUUUAAUUAUUGCCUUUUAAAGAUUAUCUAGGAAAAUUGUCCAAAAUGUUUUAAACUUAUCGUAUAGCGACUAAUUUAAUCUUAAAAUUUUUAAUUUGUACAAUUUAAUCAAAAUCUUUUUGAAGAUUAUCAAUGUAAUCCUUCUAACUAAUUUUGGCUAAAAAUUGCUAAUAUAUACACCGGCCACCUAAUGUGGCGUAGCCGGCGCCGAUAUAGAUAAUUUUUAAUUUUUAAUUUUUAACAUUUUUUUCUCUCUUCUGGUUUGUCGCCUCAGUGGUGGGUGGUGGAGGUAUCUGGUCACGGGCAAGGGCAUCAGUCAUUUUGGCUUUCACUGGGAUGAUGGACCACCGAGGGAAAUAGAGAAAAAAGAAAAAAGAAAAAGGAAAGAAAUGAAAAGGAAAAAAGAGGAAAGUGAAAAGAAAAAAAAAUGUACAAAUUGUCUACGUCAAGGUUGGUUGUGUUGCGUAAAAUGAUCAUUAAUCAUUUCUGGUAAAAUUGGCCAAAAGGAAUUGCCGAAGCCUUACUCCACUCGACCCUGCGAACCAAGUAACGUCCGAUCUCUUGAGUUGCCCUGUUUUAGUUAAAGCUAAGUCUAGAUUUAGUGUCCUUCGUUAGCACACGUUGCGGGCUGGACUGAGAUGUCUUUCACCAAUUCUGUGCUUUAUUUGUUAUCCCAUUUUGAUAUCGAGUCAUGAAUCUGAUUCUUAGAGAGCCGUCCUUCUCCCUAAUCUACACUCAUAAUCUGUUCGACAGGUUCAGUCUCAUUUUUGUCUAAACCGUGAGCAUAGUUGUCCAGAUCAAGUCAUGUUAAUUGGUUUUCAAAGUCUUUUCAAUGAUCGAGAGUGCUUUUUCUGCAUCCUCGUUUUCUUUGUCUUAAGCCUCCGGGCUACUAAUGGCGGUUGUCGGUGAGAUGACGAUCCUAGAUCCAGGGCCUAAAUGAUGAUUGUUAUAGGCAUCGGCAUUGGAUUGCUGGUCGUGUUUCUUCCCUCUAUUUCUUUUACUCGUGUUGUGGCUAAAAGAGAGGUGCUGGCCGAUGAGGGAGGUCAACACUGGUUAUUGGUGCAGGUCUUGCGAUGAACGUGGGCUUUUCAGUGAGUAGAGACGUUCGAGGUGGUGACCGGUAUUGAUGGUCGAGUAUGGUGGCCGACAGCGGGGGUCUGAUGAACGAAACUGUACUGACCGAUCGAGAAAUGUGAAGUUCUUGGCUGGAAUUUCUGGUGAUCUGGCGUGCUUGAAUAGAAGACAAUAGGAAGGGGAUGAUGAUGGGCCAGAAAGAAGGAGGUGAUAGUAUGAAAAUGGCCUUAGUACAGGCUUGUGUGCUGAAGUGUUGAGAUGGAUAUUCAUAUUGGUAGGCUGGGGCUUGAUUUGAUUUCAGUGAGUUUGGGCCUAAGAUAAACUUGGUGUGAUUAGAAGGUAAAAUGGGCUUGAUGGGUUUUCUUUUGGGAAUGGUUUGUCUAAAAUAAGCCCAACCACGUCCAUGGCCCAAGCCUGAAAGUCCAAGUUUAGCCCGGGUCCUUAUUUUCAAUUAAAUAAAAAAUAAAUAAAAAUUUCCAGAAAAUUAUAAAAUUUGGUUGGGAAAAUGUUAGGUUUUGUUCUCUCAGUGGAGUUCAUGCCAUUGAUCGUUUGUUGAUUCUUGUGCCCAAUUGCAUGCUUACUUGUGAGUGUUUUGAUAGAUUACACUUAAUUUUGUUUAGAGAUGAGAUGGGGGACUAGAAUUUAAUAAGGGGUUGAUGACAUUAGCCUACUGCUUUGUGAAUGCAAGUGAGGGUUGAUAAUAAUUGAUUUUAAUUAAUGAACCCUUAGUUUGAUUAGGAGGUGGUUGGGGGAAUCAAAUUGCAUGGGCGAAAUCAAAUUCUCAAGCCGGAUUGCUUGAUCGUUUGUUGAUCGAUGAACUUGCUGAUUGACUGUUUUGAUUGAGUGCAUGAUGGGAAUGUUGGAUGAAAUGGAUGUUAGAAACAAUUAAGGAUGGUGGUGAUCAUGAGCUUCUCGAAUACCGAUGGGUGAGAUUGGAGGUCUCUAGUGGUCAAGGCGACACUUAGUUUAGCUUGGUGUAAUUUAGUUAAUUUCCAAUUAGGCUAGUUAUCUCGGUUUUCACUCAAUAAAACCAAAUUAAACCUAGAAUCAUUUUUCUAAAUAAGGAAUUGGAAUAGCUUACAUUAGCUUCAACAUCAUAACAUAGCUAAAUAACAAAGCCAUGUAUAUUCUUUAUCCGACUCGUAUCGAGUUUUCUUUUCCAAAUUUACUUUAAAGUCAUUCAAUAUUGGAGCCCGCAUUUCAAUAAAUUGUUGUUAAUUUCCUUACUAAAAUUGUUAGGUCCAGUUUAGAAUCAAAUGAAAAACCACAAAAACAUUUCCUUGAUCACCUAGCGCCUUUGAUGCCUUUAUGAUCAUAAUUGAUAAUCAAGAUUGCAUGACCACUUAGAUAACAAUCUUCUAAGUUAGAGAUACCGAAAUGGCACUAAUAGAAGUUAGUGUAAUAGACAAACCUCCUUGUCUUAUUUGGUUCUUAAUCGACUCCAAAUGGCUAGUGGCUACUCCUAAGAUUACAUAGAAUAUUAAAAGAACUUUUAAAUGAAAAAACCAAAAUCAUGUGAGAUAUGGGUGUGGGAGAGUCCACUUUCCUAAUCAAUGGACCCCUUGGAUCAUUAGAAUCAUUUGGUUCGAUGCACCAUUUGGACCUUUUUUUUAAUAGCAAUACCUCUAAAUCUAUUCUCGAGGUCCUUAGACCCCUUGAGAGGGUUUGUGACAAGUAUGACUAUAUCAGACACAUUGAGGUAGAUCAACAUUUCAUCAAACAAAAUCUUGAUUCCAAGAUAGUUUGAUUUUCAUUUAUUAAAUCUGUAGACCAACUGGCGAAUCACUCACGAAGGUUAUUUCUAGCAAGAUCUUCUACAACUCACUUGGCAAGUUAAGCAUUACUGAUAUCUAUGCACCGACUUGAAGGGGAGUGUUGGUGUGAUUUGUCAAUUAAGACUAAUUGAAGAAAUUGUAGGGCUGAUUAGUUGCUAAAUUUGUACUGUUAAUGUCCUUAUUUUGAGGAUCAACCAUAUUCUUAGCCUAAGAUAGUGCAUAGUGGUAGUUAUUUCUCUCUACAAAUAUAUAUGCUAUCGUAUUCAUUCAGAGAGGGAUAAUGAAAAGGGACUAAUUCCUUAAAAUUAUCCAACUUGAGGUCCAAUCCAUAUUUUUCUCCCAAGUUAUAUUGUCUUGAAAGAAAAUCAUAAACUUUAGGUCCAGUCCAAAUUCACCCCAAACUUUUCUUUGUUUAGAAGAAACCCCCAACUUUACAUUUAGCCCCAAAUGUACUCUAGUCCUAAAUCAUCCUCUAUUAACCCUUUGUCCAAAACUCGCUGUUAGUCGUCUCUAAUUUUCAUAUCCUAGAAUAAUUUCAUUUUAGAAAUAAUUUUUCAUGUCACCUCGUUGAUGUGGAAAUGCCACGUGAAGUUUGGAUUGGAACACAAGGGUAGGUUUUAAGAACAUAUUGAAAAUUUUGGUGUUCUUUUUUAGAAAAACGAAAUUCGGGGUAGAUUUGAGAUUGGACCUAAAGUUUUGGAUUUUUUUCUGAGACAAAAAGAGAUUCAAGGUAGAUUUGAGACUGAAUAUAAAGUUUUGGUUAUUUAAGAGAUAAAAAAAAGUUGUGGAAAAAAUUGAGAUUGAACUAAAGUUGAGGGCUUUUUAGAGAAUUAGACAUAAUGGAAAGAGAAAAACGUAUUUGUUGAUCUUUAACAUCCUAUAUUCACAAACUAAUUCAAAAAUCAACUAUUUGUCUAAUGAAUCAGCUACAAUUCUCGACAUUAUGUUUAAUGGACUUCGAUGUCGUACACCGUCAGUUGGGAACAAACCUCGACCUCGAGUUUUAAAAUGUUCGAUUAUCCUAUCGCACAAACAUCUCUCAAUCUACGUAGGCUUUGGAUCAACGCCUUCAAAGGCAGCGGCUUUUCAUAGCUUUAGAAAGCAUUCCACCGAAACUCAGCAAGUGAUUCUUCAUAUUUUAUUAGUAUGACAAAUGCUUGCUUCUCUUCUGCAACUUCUAACAGAAUAUCAAAGUCCUCAAAUUCGAAACCAUCUAUCUUUCCGAGUGGAAAUUCGAGGCCCUCGACUUUUUGCUGUCAAGACUCGUGAACAAUACUUUAAAGGGGCGAAGUUUAAAACCAUCGGCUUUCCACGAAGUUAUUGUUGAGAAAAUCUGGCCCGUGCAUGGACAUGCUUGAUCCUCGAAUUUGUCGCGAAAUAUUACAGUCCCCAAGGCUCGUACGCCCAAAUGCUAUUUUGCCGCCGUAAACACGUCUGAUUGUAUAGUCCCAAUGCCAAAUAUGGUCUCCUUAAAAGCCUUCGCUUGUUCUCCCAAAACCAUUGGCAGAGACUCUUCAUCUAGGUGACGAUCUUCUAACAAACGCUUCUACGAGGCCAAAGCACCACAAUUUCAUCCUUCCGUUCUCGAGAAUCCGUGUACACGAGAAAUCUAGGAUGAGCAUUGGGUCCAGUUUGAUUCUAGCACCUGCCUGGUCGAUUCGAUCCCAAGCUGAUUCUCGGGAGAACUGGACAACGACCAAUUUGAUUUCCAUACUAGGGCCAGAACAGCCAGUUCCGGAAAUUGGUUUUAAACAUGUUAAUACUUUUGCAACCAUCGAGAUUUGAAUCAUGAUUUCAGUUUGAUCAACUAACCACAAAACCAGGGAUCUCCUUGUAAUGAAAUAAUGCAACUUUUCUUUUUUGUCGUAAAAGUUCGAAUUUUUACCCAAAACAUAGUGAUAAGUUGGCUUCCGGGGUACCCAAGAACCGGACUAGAACCCAAUUGUUCCCGAUUUUUGGAGCUGAGGGUCGCUGGCUCAGGAACUGACACACCUAGAAAUAUCAAAUCGCUUCAGUUAGCCAAUCCGAUGUCUAUUAUAUUUGGACUUCCAUAGAAGGUCGGAAUGUCCACUUUCAAAUUGAACUCCUGUCUUGCAUGUUCAUGAUCAUCAUCACCACUAUUUCUUUGAUCAUCGUCAAAAUCAUAACGACGAUCCCACUGCUCGUCGAGUUUUUUCAUAAUCACCCCAUCGUCCACAUUUGCAAUUCCACCGACAGCCAUCCCCGCCCAGACAACUUCUCCCUCACUGUGCAUUAUACACAUUCCGAUCGAGGGCUUCAUCGCAAUACUCAUCCUUGUCGUGGCCAAAGCCGCAACCUUUGUAUUGAAUUCCAAAUCGACUCCCUACCUAUCCCCAUAUAAAUCGAGACAGGAAAGUAGCAACUCAUAGAUUAUCUUUCCCUAAAAAAUGUGUUUUUAAGUACCAAGACGUGCUUAACAAAGUUGAAGGCUAAUUUGUUCGAUUAACACAAAAGGGAUGUGUUUUAGCUAAAAACAUUUUUAAAAUAGCACCCCAUUCGUAUCACUUAGAAAAAUUAUCCAAUUGGAAUAUAUGUUUAUUAUCAACACCAAUAUAUAUCUACUUAUUUUCGUUUGAUGAUGAAAAUAUUUUUCGUUAAUUUACUUUGUAAGCAAUACAAUAAAUUAUUAUUAGGAAUUUGUUUUUCAAAUUAUUGAUUUAAGCGAAUCAAACAUACCCCAAGACUCCCUUUGUUUUGCGGAAAACAAUUUUUAGGAAAACGUUGUCUGGAUUUUCUGAAAUUUGUUUCAUGGAAAAUGAAUUGGUCGGGGAAAAUAUUUUCCAUCAAUGGAAAAAAGUCUUCUAAAAUAGCAGGAUAACAUUUUCCACUUUUCAAGAAGGAGAAAACAAUUUUUUUUUUUUGGUAAAGGUAAUAUAUAUAUAAAUGGAGCUAAGGCAAUAUACAAAAGAUUGGCACCAAAAACCUACACUCAAUCCUCAGAAGGAGACAAAGUGUGGGGGAGCCAAUGUAAGAGGCCACAUAGGCAAACAAGAAAGCCACAAGGGCACAACAACAAAACAAACAAGCGGGAAAGAGAAACAACAAGGCUGACCAACCCUCAGCCCCCCAAGGAAGCGGCUAAGAACGGCGAGCCAAGAAAGAAAGGAGCAACUCGCGCAAAGCAGCAACUAAGGAGCACUAGUCAGACGAGAGAACACCGCAGGGUCGAACCCCCAACCACGCUGAAGCCUCUUAUUCCUCGGGGUAGGAGGAACAUCUUUGAAUGUUAUAGCUUUAUCCCUCACAACCUUAAUAAGGUGGUUUUUUAGAGCCGAGACCACUAAGGAUUCGCCCCGAAAUAUAAUCGCAUUCCUCUUUUUCCAAAUAAGGUGACACAUAGCUCCAAACGAGAACCGCGCAAUGCAAUGGAAGAAGUCCUUACCAGAUAAGAACUUUAAGGCCCAACUGAGGAUAUCUUUCCAACAUCUAUUCCGCCACGGGAGGUUACACCUGGCAGCCCAAAAGUAGGCCAGAGAAGCCGAGGUGCGACACCCGAAGAAUAAAUUUUCGACAGAAUCUGGAACAUCAUUGCAGAAGGCACAAACAUUAUAGUGGAUCCUUCCAUGAGAAAGAAGCAGCAUCUGGGUCAGUAGGCGAUUUUUGGUUAUAAGCCAUAAAUUAAACUGGAACCGCGGGGCUACAACAUUGUCCCAAACAAAAGACGCCCAAUCAACACGAUCCUUCUUGACUCUAAUGGAAUUCCAUGCUGAAGUUACAGAGAAUGAUCCAGAAGUGUCACAGCACCAGGUAAACCUGUCACGAGCCGAAGAGAGAACCGGGAGAGAGAUCCCCCAUCUUUCCAAAAAGGAUUUAAAUAAACAACCCAUAGAGGUAAACAGAUCCGCAACAACAGCAUUGUCAGGAAGACAUAAGCCUUCACGGAAUGAGCAAGGGAUAAAGGCAUCAAGGGGGCCACAAGAAAGCCAGUGAUCAUGCCAAAGAGACACUGAUAGGCCAUUUCCAAUCUUCCACACAAAGGAUAAGCGAAAGUAAUUCCUCAGUUGAAGGAUUUUUUUCCAUGCCCAAGAACAACAACGAGGCUGGGAAGAAAUUCAAAAGUUUCUUUUCUUUAAGAAGUUAGAGUGUACCCACCGACACCACAACGAUUCUUUAUCAGUGAAAAGAAUCCAAAUAAAUUUAAGCAUGGAGGCUUUGUUGCAAUCUUUAAGUUUCCGAAUGCCUAGACCGCCCUCAACCUUUGGGAGACAGACAUCGUCCCAGGAAACUUUGGCCCCACCCCGGCCAAGGGUCGUGCCCUUCCAUAAAAAUUGUCUGAAAAUGCGCUCAAUAUUAUCUAUCACCGAGGACGGAAGGUUGAAGACACUAGUCCAAUAUGUUUGAAUUGAAAGGAGUACUGACCUUAUAAGUUGCAGCCUCCCAGCAAAGGACAGAAAGCGUUGCGCCCAAGAUUGAACCCUGGCAGUAAUACGAUCAGUCAAUGCAACACAGUCUGCUUUGCCCAAUCUAGUAGUAAUAAUCGGAACACCCAAAUAGCAAACCGGCAGUUUCCCUUCUUGAAAACCGAAGGCCCUUAGCAUCAUAUUACGAAGAGAUGAAUCCCCUCCUGAGAUGAAGAUCUCACUCUUGUUUUUAUUUGGGUAGAGGCCGCUCCAAGAGGAGAAAAUGUCCAAACCCUUUUUUAACAACGUCACCGACGCCCAAUUAUCUUGACAGAAAAGGAAUACGUCAUCAGCGAAAAAGAGGUGAGUCAGCUGCACAGAUUUGCAUCUCCAGAAAUAUUUGAAGUCAUUGCUAGCAGUACAGGAGAGCAAGAUUCUAGAGAAAAUUUCCAUGACUAAGGUAAAUAGGUAAGGUGAAAUAGGAUCACCUUGCCUAAGUCCUCUUCCAGCAGGGAAAAAACCAUGCAAAUCACCAUAGAUAGAGAUGGAAUAUUUUGGCGUACGUACGCAAACCAUAAUUAGCGAAAUAAUCCACUCAGGAAAACCAAAGGCACGGAGAGCAAGCUCCAAGAAAUCCCAAUCAACCGUGUCAUAGGCCUUAUGGAAAUCAACUUUAACAGCACAUUUUGGCAGAUAAGGCUCUAAGUGAAAUCCAGCAAACAACUCUUGAGCGAUGAUGAUAUUAUCUCUAAUCCUCCUACCCUUUACAAAAGCAUUUUGUGAAGGGCUUAUCAAAUCAUUUAAGACAGCAGCAAUGCGAUUAGCAAGGAUUUUCGUAAUGACUUUAUAAAUGGUAUUGCAACAUGCGAUAGGCCUAAAAUCAGUGACUGCACUUGCGUUAGGGACUUUAGGAACUAGGGCGAGGAUAGUGGUAUUUAGCUCCUUUAGGAGCAGUCCCGAAGAGAAGAAAUCCUGGAUUGCUUCCACCACCAAUGGCCCCACUAAGUCCCAAUUAGUCUUGUAGAACUCUACCGAGAAUCCAUCAAGACCUGGGGCCUUGCCUUUGGCAAGGGAGAAUAAAGUAUUCUUAAUCUCAGAUGGAGAAACCGGCUCACAUAGGGACCGCACUUGAGCAUCAGAAAGUGGGUGACGAACAAACGUCUUCAACUCCUGAAGCGAAGGUUUAGAUAAAGCCUCAUGAUGAGAGAGCAGAUUCGAGAAAAAACUGACAAAAACUUGCGGCACAAGAACAGGAUCAGUGAUAAUAGCCCCCGACUAAUCCUUAAUGGAAAGGAUCCUAUUAGUAAGCUGCCUCCUCUUCACCGAAUGGUGGAAAAACUUAGUAUUCCUAUCACCUUCUUUUAGCCAUCUCACUCUCGACUUUUGUCUGAAGAAGGAUUCUUCUUGAUUCCUCAGAUCAAUAAAAACACGACGCUGAGAUUUUUCCAACUCAGCAAGAGAAAGGUUGUAAGGGUCCGAUUGAAGACUAACCUGAGUGCUUCGAAGGGCCUCUCUUGCUUCGACCGCCCUCACAGAGAUAUCCGAGAAGGCGUCUUGGUUAAGUAACUUAAGUCGAGCUUUCACAAUUUUCAGCUUGGAAACAAGAAUGUACAUUGGAACGCCUAUGAUGGAGGAGUCCCAAGCCUGAUGAACAAUUGAGUUAAAGUCCGGGUGGUCAGCCCAAAAUUCAAAAUACUUAAACGGCUUCCUCCUCUGGACCGGCUGAGGAACUCUGACGAUCAUAGGAGUAUGGUCCGAGAUACCAGGGUUCAAAAACGAAGCCUCAGAGAACGAGAAAUGAAGGUUCCAAUUGUUGUUAACCAGAACACGGUCGAUCUUCCUCAUCUUCCUAGCGUCUCCUACUGAGGUGGACCAAGUAUAACGGAGGCCAACAUAUCUGAGAUCCAUUAGUUCUAUUUGUGCUAAGCAUUGGACAAACUCAUCAAAAUAAGGGAUCUAGUUGUUGGAACCUCCAACUCGAUCGGAUGGGUCUUUAAUGGCAUUGAAAUCACCAGCAACAAGCCAAGCCGAAUCCUGCAUCAAGUCAUUAAAGUGGAGGAGGUCCUCCCACAAAGGUCUACGAUGCAGAAAAGUAUGUUCACCAUAAAUAGCAGAGAUGUAGUAGCUCACACCAGACAUAUUAUGCUUCAGACUACCAUGCAUAGCCUGGUCAUUGAUAGAGAUAGGCACAAAAGAAACAAAAUCCAGGUUCCAACCCACCCAGAUUCUACCACGAGAAGAAUACUCAUAGUUUGCAAUCCAAUUCCAACCACUAAUUAAGGAAGCCGAGAUAGAAUCAAAAUGUUCCUCAGGAACUUUAGUCUCAAAAAGGCCAAUCAGGCAGAGUUUAUUAACAGCAGCGAAUCUCCUGAUCUCUGCCCGCCUAAGAGGGUUGACCAUGCCUCUAAUGUUCCAAAAGCCAAAAAACAUAUCAAAAAGGAUAGAUGGUAGAAUUACCUCUUCUUAGCCCUGCGACCUGUGGCAGGCGCUUUUGAAGCCACCGAGGGUGGUGGAUCAGGAAGAAGCAAGAGGAGCUGUUCUUGCAUACUUCUAACACCAUCCGGAGCCGGGCCCUUUGGCGAAGGGGAACCCACAGACAAAACAUCUUCAUCAUUUACUUCCAUUUGAGUACUAGAGUUGCAUAUUUCAUCCGAGCUUCCACCCUGAAGUGAAGAGGAGGGAGCUUCCUUCUCAGCAUGCUUUUUCUUUUUCUUACCUUUCCUUUUCACUUGCUUCCACUCUGGAUCGGCAGCAGGAGCUGAGGACAUAGCCACCAAUUCACCACCAUCCUCAGAUGUAGAAACCUUAGCAGUAGAGAUCUUCGAAGGCUUAGGAGGAACAAGUGCGGUUGCCUCCAGUUGCAGCUGAGAAUCAAUCUCAGGAUCGAUCAUAUCCAUGCCUGGGGUAGUAAGUGGAACUUGUAAGUCCACCAUAACCUGUUUUUGACAAUUUUGAGAGAGAGCAGGACCAUAUGGACAAGUGGGGGAGUUAGGAUGCACAGAUUUGUCUUGAGCAGGAUGGAUUCCAACACCAGCAUUGAAGACCUGAUUAGCUUCUGCAGAAGGAACAGCAGAGUUUGUAGGAGCAGCUGUUUUACAGCUGUGACCAAAGAUACCGCACACAGGGCAAGCAAGCGGUUUCCAUUCAUACUCAACUUCCACUUCCACUGAUUUACCAUCAAGGAGCAGCUCAAUAGAUUCACAAGUUGGUUGCUGGGCUGUUAUUUCAACACAAACCCUGGCGAACGUUAGCAUUGUCAUAUGCUCUGUCCGCUGAUCCACAUAGAGUGGUUUACCCACUGCACUGGCCACCUUUCCAAUGGAUUGAGCUGACCAAAAUGAAAAAGGUAAGUUCCGAAGUCUCACCCAAACCGGAACUGAACGAUGGAUGUCUUUACUGAGUUCCAAACCUGGUUUCCAUUGCUGCAGAACCAGAGUAAUCCUUGCAACUGUUAUAUGGCCUCCUUCAAGGAUUUUCCUUCGGAACUCCCUAUCUAGUAUGCGCAAAACAAACAGUCCCCGCCCAAUGGACAUGACUUCAAACAGAUUCGGACCCUAGGCUUUUUUAAGAGCCUCUUCAAUAACUUUCGCCUUCCAAUGAAAUACCCCACAAGACACUCAAAGAGCUUGGGAUCAGCAGCUUCAAGAUCAGAUUCUGUCAUCUGUAUAACUGGUUUAUUGUUCACAAAGGUCGGAGGAGUAUAUUCAAGAUCAUAACCUUUAUGCACUCCACUAGCAACAGCAGCCCAAGACCGAGUUACCGGGUAUUCCAACUCACCCCUGCGUUGAGGGCGCUUGGAUGUCGAUCUACCUCUACUCUUUCCACGCGCCUUAACAGGAGCAAGAGGAGGUCGCGAGUCAUUGUUCUCAAUCGCAGCAGAUGGGGACGAAGGAUUCGGCCUCUGUUUGCUCAAAGAAGGAGCAGCCAACAAGGGUUGUCCAUGAACAGGAUGAACAGGAGGGGAAGGGCUUCGAUUACUCGGCCCCUCAUCAUCAAAAUGGGCCCGGAAGGGUCCGGACUCCAUCAACUCAGCAGACUCGAAACAGCAGAACCGCGAACCAAAAAAAAAACCCUAACCCAUCGCAACCAAAUUAAACCCACUGGAGAGCAUGUACCAAGCAGCACUUAGAGGGUUUGAAGAGCAGUCGAUGGCGCCCAAGAUUCCCAAAUGGAGCAGCAACGUGAUGGUGGGUCACUAGUUCGGCAAGGGAAGCUGCGGCGAGGGCGGACCGGCAGGAAUAGGGCAGCACCCAGAUAGCAGGGACAACCGGCGGAACAGGGGUGUCGCGGUCAGAGCUACCGGAAACUCAGCCGAAAACACCUAUUGGAUCUCCCUAAACGAACAGAAGAACAGUCGGAAACCAGAGGAGAGAAACUGGGCAAAAAUUCGUAACCUAGGCCAGUCGAUUUCUCUGCAUGGAGGGCAUCUUUUGCGAAACCGUUCGGUGAAAACGUAGAGGGGACUGAGCUGAAGCUUCCCUUCGAAAAUCAGCCGAAAACACCCAUUGCAGCUCCCCAAACGAACAAAAGAACAACCGGAAACCAGAGGAGAAAAACUGGGCAGAAAUUCGUAACCUAGGGCAGACGAUUUCUCUGCUUGUAGGCCAUCUUUUGCGAAACCGUUUGGUGGAAGCGUAGAGGGGACUGAGCUGAUGCUUCCCUCCGAAAAUCAGCACAUUCCGAUACCCACAGCCACGGGAAUCAGCAACUCACCAUAUGGAUGAACAGUGACUCGGGAAUUCGAAUUGAGAGCAUCCGAUGAACAGUGACUCGGCAAGGUGAUUACUUAGAAUUGAGAAAACAUUUUCUUUACUCUCUCUUAUCUCACCCCCCCUUCAUAUUCUUUCUUUUUUUCCUUUUUUAAAAAUUAUAAUUUUUAUAUCUUUUUUUAUUUUUUCUUCGGAAGAUAUUUUCAAACUCACUUUCAAGUUUAGGUGAACAACAAAAAAUGUUAUCAUUAUUAUGAAAAAUGGAUUCCUCAAAAAUAUUUUCUAGAAACACAACAUUCUCCAUGAAAUGAAUGGAGCCUGAAAAUAUCAUCUACUUGAUCCUGCUCAAUACAUGGUGAUUAAUGGUUAUGAAUGAGAUUGGCUAAUUGGGGAGUAUAUAUCCCCUUUUGUCGCAACCUACCCCUAGGGGGGUGGUGGGGGAGUAAGUUUAGGAGUAUUGCCGAAAGGACGAACCAAAAGCCCAUGAUUAUGUGCGGGCUCUCCUAAGUUCAUAUCUCGCGUGACAUUGGGGUACUUUUAAGAAUUUUGCAAUAAGGAGUCACUACUAGCCUAUUGGGGUCGGCUAGAAACCAAGUUGGGCAUGAGAGUAUGCCUCGCUUCCUACGUAACCAGAGAAUGUAGGGUCGGGGACUUGAUUACACUAAUUGACCAAUUAGUACCAUUUCAAUACUUAAUCUUGUUCAUUUUAAAAGAAAAGAUUUUUGUCAAGCAGUUUGGAUUGAUUUUAUACCUAUCCACUAACAUGUGAGGUGAUCAUGCAGGUGCGCAAUCAUUAAAAUAAUAAUUAUAGCUACCGAGAUCUUAAUUGCAAUAAGAUUAAGCAAGUGCAAUUAAACAUAAUAAAAUAUGCAAACUAAACAUGCGAUAUAAUCAAAAUACAAGCAAAUAAAGGCCUAAUUACAUUAAGAAGGCAAGAUAUGAUAAUUCCUAACCAAACCCUACAUUUUUUAAUUUUUGAAAAUUUAUAUUUUUUUCGAAAAAAAAUAUUUUUUUUGGGUGAAUUGAGUUGGGUCCGGUCUAACCUGGUCGGGCGAGUGGGGCCCAAUUCAGGACAAACCUGCCCGGGUCCGACUUGCUUGGGGGUGGACCGGUCCGCCGCUUGUAAGGGCCAGGCCUGACCAGAGAUGGUUGGGCCUUUACCUGGUUGAAGGUUGGGCCUGACCGAUGGGCCCGACUCCCCUAAAAAGUGGCCGUAGGCCCAGUUGACUAGCUCAGGCUUUCUAAAACUAAAUAGGGCCCAUGGAAGAAACCUAAAUUAAUCCUAAAGCUCAAACCUAAAUUCAGUCCAAACCCGACUCAGGUAUGCCCGGCCCGAUUUGCCCAAAACCCUACCCGGUUGACUACACUCAGCUCAGCUCUUUUGACCCAGUUCGUGUCUCCUCUCUCUCCUACUCUUUCGCGGCUCUGAAGGAGGAUGGUCGGGACGCCGUCGGGCGGUGGCUCUGUGUUGACGGUGGUGGCGAUGCGGCGGGUGGUGGCUGCGGGCAGUGAGGGGUGACAACAUUGUCGGGGUUUGUGAGGAUGGGCGGCGGCUGUGUUGGAGGCGACACUAAUGGAGUCAGGCAGCAAUAGGGACGGCUACGUUGGGGAUGGAGUCGAGACGGAGGUGACAUCGACGGGCCAGCGAGUAACACGACGAGACUUGUGUUGGAGGCCGAUGGACGCGGCAACGAGUAACUCAACACGACGUUGGGAGGAUGGGUAGAGACAGUGUCAAGCCCAGGCAUUGUCGCAGUCGGGGUCGGACGGUGGCAGCUUGGUGAGCAACGGUGAUUCUGCGCGGUUGCACAGCUUGGGGCGACUAGUAACUCCCGCAAAACUCUAGAUCUGCUUUCAGCUCUCGACUUCUCCUCUGGUCGGCUGGCUUGAUGUCGGGACUACGUAGAAGCAGAUUGUGGCAGGCGACAACGACGUGGCGGAGAUCUAGUGCAGUGACGGCGUUGGGGAGUGUCGACGGCGCCUCCUUCCUCCUCGAAUUUUCCCUUUCUCAGUCUGUUUCCCCCUCCGUUCUCUCUACUCUGCUCUACCCCUCUGCUAUUGCUCUUGGUUCCCCCUUCCUCUCCUGUGGUGCCCCUCCCAUUUUUCCUCUGCUCCACUGCUUUUCUUCCUUUUUUGCUUUCCCUCUCUUUUUCCUUUUUUUGCUUUUUUUUUCUCUCCUGCUGCUGUCUAUCCCUUAUCUUAUCCGCUCUACCCAAUGUCCCCUGCUGUUGCUGCUUUUGCUUUCUGCAGGUUUACGCUCGAAGGUGGCUGGAAGAGGAAGAGCUAGGGCGUGGGCCGAGCCGAGAGGAGAGUGAGGUUGGGCCAGUGUAACAUCCUAGAUUUUCAGUCCUGUUUUCUACUGAAUAAAUCAGGCAUUUCAUUGAUGUGCCUAUAAGGCUGUUCUCAAAGCUGAUCACUCUUGAGAUAACUAGAUUAUUUGGGAAAGCCAUUAAGGAAUUUUAAUGCAAUAGAUUUGAGAAUUCGACCAGGAAUCGGCUUCUCGACUGUAAUUAUCUUUAGAGGCCAUUACGGCACAGUUAAAAAUCGAUUUGAGAUUAGCGAUAGGUUUGUUCGACUAAGAUGUGUGGCUAAUCGUGGGUGACACCACUAAAUUAGAAAAUUCUCAUCGACCGAUCCUAGACUGAUUCUUUUGUCGUUUUCGUACCUUGUGUUCGUAAUUGAAUCAUCGAGAUUUUCACGACAACCGAGAGUCGCCAAUGUGUCGAGUGGGUUCAUUGUGGUUCGAAAAAAAUCGACCACGAGUCAUUUGCAUUAAAAAUCUCUAAAAACUAUCCGGUAGCCUAGGUCACGCUAAAAACGCGCCGAAUGGAAAUUAACUGCAAAUUCAAGUCAGAUUUUAGAAAUCGAAGAUUUUGUCAUGUCACAAUAAAUUCUAGGAACGUCGACUUAGUCUUAGAAGAUUUUUCUGCAACCUGAGACUUUUUGAAAAAAAGUUUCAAAAAGUAGGCGUAGGACCCUUUUUGUUCAGAAAAAGGGCGGGAUUAUUUUUUAUUGCAAAUUUGGGAAGCAUGAUGGAUCCUUAGGUGGGGAAAUAUAUCAAUUGGAACAUGGAGAUGUCAAUUGAAUUUAUAAAUGCCAUAUGAGGUUGGAUUGUGAAGGAAUUGAGUUCAAUUGAAGCCAUUUGCUUGCAAAUUCGUGUGCCCCCAUUCCUUAUAGUCUUUGGACCAUUUCAAGAAGUUGUGGAGAGUGUUUUGGUGGCUCAAUGACAGCCAUAGGACCUUGGCUUGAUGGACAAGCUCAAGGGGGACAAAAAUGUGGAAAUUAAGGAUGGUAGGCCCCCAUCUUUACUUCUUUCUCUUCCUCUCCUCCAAGGCUGCCGUCCACCCUACUUCUCUCUCCCUCCAUUUGCCUUGUGUGACACUAGCAAGCCAGAGCAGAACCAGCUGUAGCCCGUCGCACACUGGAACACCGUUGCCACCGCACACCCUCGCCGUCUCGUCGGAGCUGCGCCGCUUGGCCCAUUCGCAUCCGUCGCCCUUGCUCGCCCCUCACGCCAUUCCAGCCUCUGUCCAACUGCCCGUGGAGCCAAACCGGAGCUUGUCUAGCUACCGUGAGCCGCUGUGGACCGCCUUCCAAGCCAACGAAGUCCCCCACCGGUCCACCGUUGUCCUCACCGCACCAAGCUAGCUUGUUUUCUUCUGUUUUGCAGCCCCUUUUAGCAAGCAGAAAAGUGGGUUUCAGAGCAACUCCCAGGCCCAUUUUGAGGUGUUUGUGGACCUCGGAUCCUAGGCUCACUUUGGAAAAAAGCGACCCUCGCUUCGUUCCCGACGUUUCGAUCCAAACGGAUUGUUAAACAAGUGAGUUUUGCUCACUAAUCCUUGCUUAGUAGAAUAAUGAUGUUUAUGGGUUGAUUAAAUUUAAUUAAGUGCAAUUAAAUGGAUAGAUUAGAUUAGAAUAAUUAAAUUAGGGAAUUACCUAUGCAUGUUAGACAAAUGGUUAAUGUACUUAGCAAGUAGACAAGUCCUAUUAUUUAUUGAACGAGUCUCAGUAAUUUUUCAGGCUCGUAUCGGCUUCCAAUUGGGCAUUACGGGCUUAAAUUGGAUUUAUUGCUAUUUAAUAAUUAAUUUUUGUAAUUAUUUAAUUAUUUAAUUAUUUUCCGAAAAUUAGACUAGGAUAGUCGGUGACCGGAAUUUCGUGUUGAUCAUAGUGGUGAUCUCUAUUUAUUUAAUUGAGUACCUGAUUGCGUAAAUUGAAUGAAAUUGUGUGGAUGAGUGUUUUACUUUAAAAUUGAUUAAUUUUGGCAAAUAUGAGAAAUUGAUUUCAUUGUAUCAUGUCGGCUCAAUGACUGAGGAUGUCAUCUAGGAGAAAGACAUAGUAUUGGCUUGAUGAUUCAAUCUGUCAUCUCGGAGAAUGCACGUGGCUCGUUGAUAAGAUAUAUCGACUUGGAGAAUGCAUGUCGCUUGAUGAUUAGUUAUAUAUAUCACCUCAGAGAAUGCACGUGGCUCGGUGAUAAGGAAUAUCGUCUUGGAGAAUACACGUGGCUUGAUGAUCGGUUCCAUCACCUUGGAGAAUGCAUGUAGCUCAGUGAUAAGGAAUAUCGCCUUGGAGAAUGUACGUGGCUCGGCGAUUGGUUCUAUCAGUUGAGACUGGAUAGUAAUGGCUAGAAUGACUGGGAAAUGGUCAGAUUGACAUGUAAUCAACCAUGUCGAUUGAUCGAUGUUUUGAUUUGUUGUGAUUGUUUGGGUGCCUAUUGAAUUGUACUGAUUUGCAGGUGGAAUCUAAGGCUAAGGUAAGUCCUUUGACCCGUGUGUGCAUAGGUAGCCCAUAUGGCAUAUUGGCUUCCUAAUCGAGUCUUAGGGGGUAGAACUUGCUGAGACGUUGUCUCAAUGGUUAUUAUAUAACCAGUUCAAGUUCCUAAAUAGCAACACCUCCACCUCCUUGUCCUCCGAUGCACUUUGGUAUACCUGAAGAAGUCACCGAGAUAAAAACUCACUUCCCUAUACACCCUCACCCGGAAGGAUUAGAGUAUGUUUUAGUUAAGUCAACCGUCUGGGUUGAUGUGGGUAAGGACACCCUGAGGCUCCACGAGUAUCGGUCAUGGUAUCGUGAGUAUCAUGAUGGGUGAAGGGAGGGUCCCAUGCUAGAAAGUGAAGUACCUCUGUUCAUUUUAGAGGAAGCGUUUGGGGAAGGAACAAUAGAUCCCAAGGAUGGAGCGGUGACCGAUGCUAAAUAUCUUAAGCUCGAGAGUGACAUCGACUCUCCCAAGCAAUCGGCAGUAGACUCCAGCUGGAGUAUGCCAGAAGGAGAGGUUGAACAAGAAGAGGUGUACCUAGAGGAGGAACCCGAGGAAGAGGAACCCGAGGAGGAGGAUCCUAAGGAGGAAGAACCUGAAGAGGAGGAUCUUGAUGAGGAACCCGAGGAGGAUCUAGAGGAUGAUCCAGAGUACGACCCGGAUGAGGACUGAGGUCUCAUCCUGUUUGCAAACCCUGGGUUGGGAACUGAUGUGUGAUAGAUCAGACUUUAGUGAAUAGUAUUGUAAUAUAUACUAUAUGGUUUGCUUGUGUAAAAGUGUGGUUACGGUGGGCACGUACUUGAGGAUCGGGGCAUGAUAGCCAGGCUGCAGCGUGCGCGCGCGCGAGAGAGAGAGAGAGAGAGAGAGGAAAAGAGGAGGGCCGGGUUGGGCCAAGGCCAGAUUCGGCUCGACUUGCCCCCUCUCGCGUCCCUUUUUUGUUGUUUUUUCUUUUCAUUUUUUUUUUGUUUAAAAAUAGGCAUCAACAACUGCCCCUCUUUGAAUGUAACCUCGAAGAGGUUGCAUUCAAAGACAGAAGACACCUAAAUUAUUUUAGUAGUUGAGAGACCCUUAUUGCAUAGGCUCGCACUAGGUCGAGUUAUGGAAACAUGUCGUGUCAAUAAGAGGAAGAAAUACCUUGGGCUAUAGAAGCACGCUGUGUCAUAAGAAGAAAGAGAGACUCCAAGCUACAAAAGCACGCCGUGUGAUAAGAAGAAAGAGAGACUCCGAGCUACAAAAGCACGCCGUGUGAUAAGAAGAAAGAGAGACUCCGGGUUACAAAAGCAUGCCAUGUCAUAAGAAGAAGGAAGACCCCGUGCUACAAAAAAAUGCCGUGUCAUAAGAAGAAGGAAGACCCCAGGCUAUAAAGCACACCGUGUCAUAAGAAGAAAGAGAGACUUGGGGCUACGGAAGCACGCCGUAUCAUAAGAAGAAGGAAAGACCCUGGGUUACAGAAGCACGCCCAUGUUAUAAGAAGAAAGAGAGGCUCCGGGUUACAAAAGCACGCCGUGUCAUAAGAAGAAUGAAGACCCUAGGUUACAGAAGCACGCCGUAUCAUAAAAAAGAAAGAGAGAUUCCGGCAACAAGAGCACGCCGUGUCAUAAGAAUAAGGAGAGACUCUGGGCUACAAAAGCACGCCAUGUCAUAAGAAGAAAGAGAGACUUCAGGCUACAGAAUCACGCUGUGUCAUAAGAAGAAGGAAAAACCCCGAGCUACAGAAGCAUGCUAUGUCAUAAGAAGAUAGAGAUGAAGUCUCAUUGUGUAACAAUGGGUUUUGACCGAAUUAAAAAUACAUGGUUUGAGGAAAACUCAUGAACCUUUGUAGAUGACAUGGUUUAAGGUUGAACAUGAACCUUUUGAAAAUCGUAGUUCAAAGACGGACUCAUUAACAAUUUAAAAUUGUGGUUUAAGGAUAGGCUCACGAAUCUCGUGAUUUAAGGAUAGACUCGCCAACCUUGUGGUUUAAAGAUGACCCACAAACAGUGUGGUUAAGGAUAAACCCACGAACCAUGUGGUUUAAAGAUAAACCCCGUAAUCGUGUGGUUUAAGGAUGACCCACAAACCUUUGGAGACGGCAUGGUUUAAGGCUGAUCAUGAACCUUUGAAGAUGACAUGGUUUAAGGUUGACCAUGAACCUUGUAGGCUUUUGGGAAACAUCCGCUAAUCCCUUGAAAACUGCAUGACUGCACUGGGGAAUCCUGUCAAACUCAACUUGAGCAAAUGUCAUUAGGGACGACAUCAAGAGAUGUGUAAUAAAUAAACAAGCUAAUCAAGCUAAGUCCAACUGCUUUAAAAAACAUUCGAUGUCAAUCACCAUCAUGUGGUGCAAAAUUGUCAUCUUGCUCGGGGAUGUAUUGAUAUGGCUAGUAUAAGUACCUAGAGGGGGGGUGAAUAGGUAUAAAGUGUAAUUUCUUAUGAUAAUCGCACAAUACUAGACAGUUGAUAGAAAUGAGACAAUUUUUCUCGUCAAUAAACAAACAACAAACAAAAUAAGACUGAGAGUAGGGAAGAGAAAAUUGAACACAAGGUUUAUAGUGGUUCGGCUUAUUUCAAGCCUACGUCCACUCUUCUGCACUGACAGCCCACUGGCUGGAUUCCACUAUGAACAAAGAGAUAUUACAGUACUGUUCUUCCUUGAUUUCUCGGUGUAGAAGAUCUACCACACUCCCUCAAGGUAUCACUAAGUAUAGACUCUCUUUGCGUGUACAGUUUCGCUCAAUAUGAAUCGACUAAUAAUCAAGGAGCUUCAGACUCUGGAAUUUCUCUAUCGAGCACACCCUAGAACAACUGGAACGUCUUCCUUUUAUACUCCUUUAUGCCAUCAUACCCGUUGGCACUUACCAAAGGAAUUCUUCCAAUCUUCCCGUUGGACAAAAUCAAUUAAGAAGAUUAUUCGAGCUAUUAAAGGAACAUGUCGAUAGCCCAUCAAUCCUGUUCGCCCAUACAAUAAGGAUCUUGGUUUCCAAGAAUGGAACCUUCCAAGAAUAUUUCGUCAAUCAUCGGAUCUUCAAACGAUCUUGAUUUCGAAUAAAUAAUCCGUUAUAUCAAAUCCAGCCAAGAGAUCUUCUCCAGUCGAUAAGACCAAAUCCUUAACCAAACACUUUAGCUCUGGAUCGCCUUCGUCGCUGGAUUAGAAACUGUCAAUGAGAAUAGUCUUGAGUCUUAAGUCUUGUGUGCUGAGUCUGAUGAUCUGAAAGUCUUAAGACUCUAAGUACAAGGGUCUGCACAGCUUCCAGACUAGACUGAUAUAAACGUUUUGUCAGCUUCAAAACACUCUAGAGAGAUUUCUCCAACAUGUAUCAUUAAUCAUCAAAUUUUCUAGGAGUCAAGUUCUUAUCAUAACGGCUAUGACUCGUGAAAGAGGCUCAUUAAGCACGCAAAACUAGAGCUUCUUAGUUAGAAAGGGUUUCUUACACACUCUCAAUAAAAUGGUUGCUUUAUCCCAUCCAUUCACGUGGGAAGUAACUGAUUGUUGAGGGUAUUUCACAUAACCUAUAUCAAAGGCUUUCAGAAACAUCCACAAUGAGCCCAAUUUGAUCGAUCAAGAAGGUUUUUUUUUAAAGGACUGCAAUAUAGGUUUGGUCAUGGGCUUACACAAAGAGAUUAUUGCUUUGAGGCCAAAAAAGGAACAUUUGUCGCUAUCUUCGUUGGGUUUACAAAUCAAGAACUUGGAAGAUAAAACAAGAUAUAAUUGCUGCCACUCCUUCAAGCGGUAGCUUCUUUGUGGCAUUCUCAUUUUCACUUGAACCAUCUCAAUCAGAAGAGAUUUCGAAAGAGGGUUGUAAUGUUGGCUCGGGAGAGGCUCGAAAGGCUUAAAAUUUUUAAGAGGGUUUUUAAGAGUUGGUGAUCAUCAUGGUAUCGUGACCAAAUCACUCGAUCUUUUGAAAUCAUUUAGCUUUUGAAACACGGUACAUCUCAAAAGUCCCUUAACUAAUCAUUUAUGCAUGGGAGCUUUGCUCCUUUCUCUAAUUUCCUUUGCUCUUACAAUGAUUUUUUUUACGUAGGCACUUGGACUUUGGUAAUUUUUCUUUCACAUAAGAUGCAACCUUUUGUCUCUUUUUCUUGACGGGCAUUGGUCUUGUUUUUAUCAGGCACAUUGCUUUUUCAUGCCCCCUAAUUUUGUUGAACUUUUUGCUCUUUGAACUUUUGGAGCUCUUAUGACUUUCGAGAUGUUUUUUCACGUUUUCUCGUAAAUAUCGAUUGUAUGUGGUCAAUCCUUAUGCUUUGCCCCAGUGAAGGGAGAUGAUCACCGCUCGAGAUUUAGAAAUGAACAAUUAGGCCCAAAUUGGUUUAAGUAACGGAUAUUAGUGUUUGGGUAAAGAAAGAAAUGCUCUUCUUCACCUUGUGAUGAGUCGAGCUUUGAUGAGAAUUCCUUUGAAGCUAUCACUAGAAGAUUGAUGCAAGUGAAAGUAAUAGAAUUUUUCUCAAUCAUUUGCUCUACAAUACGAUCGUAACCUCCUAUGCUGCCCCAAUGUAGGGUUUUCUUGACAGGCGUACUUUGAAGGAUUAUCCUUAUUUGGCCCAAAGGGGUAGCAAGAGAUUAGUGCAAUGCUUGGGAUUGAUGAAGGAAAUGCCUUUAUCAUUUCAAUCUUUCCGCUCAAUACGAAUGAAUCAUUCAUCCUAAGAGAAUGUCGCUCUUCACUAAACUCUCAAGAGUGUUUGAAGGACGUGUUUGGAAGUGGCUUACCUUUCUUCAUCCUAAGCACUUCUUGUUUGGCAUGAUUAACGUUUCACCUUUUACUCUACUAAGAUCAUUUGAUUAGAUCAAUCUCCAUCGGGAAAUUUGAUUCAAAAUGAAUAACCCACAAAACGAGAAAACAAUAUUGAGAUAAAAAAGAUGUUCAAAAAGUUUGUAGAAAGUUUUUUUUUCUUAAUUAUUCAUUUUUUUGUGCUUGUCUCUAGGAAAGCGCCAAAGGUUCUUUUUUGUAAUGGAAAUUCUCCGUUUUGUUUUCUUCAUCCUAAGCACUUCUUGUUUGGCGUAGUUAACAUUUCACAUUUUACUUUGUUGAGAUUAUCUGAGUAGAUCGAUCUCCAUCGGAAAAUUUGAUUCAAAAUGAAUAAUCCACAAAAUGAGAAAACAAUUUUGAGAUAAAAAGGAUGUUCAAAAAGUUUGUAGAAAUUUUUUUUUCUUUAUUAUUCAUUUUUUUGUGCUUGUCUCUAAGAAAGCGUCAAAGGUUCUUUUUUGUAAUGGAAAUUCUCCAUUUUGUUAUUUGUUUUUUGUUUUCUUUUUUUUUUUUUAGUUAAUUUUGAGAAGAAUGGUACUUACCUGUGGCAUGGUGACUCAGUAACCCUAUAAAUGUGAAAGAAUAUGUUAGUGCAAAAAUCUUUAGGGAUUAAAAUGUUGGAAACGAUACAUUAUUACCAUUCACUCGCUUUUAUCCUUUGGGUGCUAACAUUCUUGGAUUCACCCUCGUGGAUAUUUGGUAACUUGACAUUACCUUUCACUUGCAUUUACCUUUAAUUGUUUGAUGUUUUCCUAUCAAAGGAAAAAAAAGGAUUCAUGUCAGUGACGCUAUCAAAAUGAGCAAUUGGAAUCGACACAAUUUACCAUUCAUGUGUUUUCGUUCUUCAAGUAUGAACUUUGCCCAAAGUGGCUAGGGUUGAUUGAAAAAUGGCUAUGUGGCCCUGAUUUUAUCCAUGAAAAGCAUCUCUUUAUUGUAUACAACAAUUUAUGAAGUUCAAUUCUUGUUUUUUCAAGUGCUCUUUUCGAAGAGACGUUUAAUUGAUAAAGAGCUUGAAAAAAUUAAAUAAGGAUAAUUAGAUGUGUUUUUCAAGAUCUUGCUUUGAAAAGAGAGGAAUUGCUCAUUGUUUUCACAUUUGAGGAUAUUGUUCUUUAGAUGCUUUGCCCAUUUAUUGCCUACAAAGAAAAGAUUAGACAUAUUAUUUCCUCGCUCGAGUGGGAAGCAUUUAGGAACUAUACACAUCCCUUUACGCCAAAAUGGAUAGUCAGGUCUUAGCACGAUUCCUUGAUGGAAGGCGCUACUUCUACAAUCAAGGUGCAACUUUUUCCCAUUUAUCACCUUGUAAGAAUAGAAGAUGAAACAUGUCAUCUCAUACUUAAUUAGGUUCAAUUGAGGAACGAUACAUCAUUUCUUGAUGAAUUUGAUAAUGUUGUUCUAGCACACUUCAUUGGUGGGGAAAUGAGAGAUUUUUUUUUCUAAAUCAAACGUUGCUCUUCCACUAUUUAUUUGACAAACCUUUGUUCUAUUCGAAUCUUUCUUGUACCAAAGAAAAGGAUGUGUCAUUUUUUUAUGCUAAAGAGACUCAAGUUUAGGAACGAAAUACAUCGUUUUCCAAAGUCGGAUGAUCAACAUCCCAAGGUAUCUCUUAUGGAGGAAGGGAUAAUAUUGCCCCUUCCGUCUCAUUUGAUUUUUUUUUUUUAAGAUGAACAUGACUUAAUAAUGCUCCAUCGCGUUUGUUGGAACGUUACAAAACUUGGUGCUCUUAAUGUCUCCUUGACAAUGAAAAGAAAGUCAUGUCAGAAACGGUAUCAGAAAUGGAUAAUUGGAAUCGAUACAGUUUCCUAUUCCUUCGAAUUCGCCUUUUUGGAUGCUUGGUAACUCCCUUCAUUUGUCUCAUCAUGCAAAGUGAACGAGAUCAAUAGGCUAUUUUGGCACCUAAGGCUGUUGACACCUAAAUAUUUGCCAAAAAAAAAAAUUCAUUUUCGAAAAAUGGAAAAAUUGUUUUUCCACAAAAAUAUUUCAUGUUAAAUUCUCGCAUAUAGAUUACCUAGGUGUUUAGUAUAUUUUUUUAAUGGAAGAUGUUUUUCCUAUAAAAAAAAAAAGAAAAAAAUUAAUUAUAUUAAAAAAGAAUAAGAAGAAAAAAAAAAGAAGCAAGAUGGGGCCAAUGAUCUAAAUGUGACUAGCCAAGCCUAGAAGGUCAAAUUGUAAUUAAAACGGCAAGUUGGGGCCAAAAUGCAAUUUUCAAAAGUUGAGGGACCAAUUCGAAAAUUUUGUAAAAUCUCGCCCGAGCCCUUAAAUCAUCAUCUUGGUCCUCAAUUAAGUUGAAAUUGAACUUGCGCCAGGUCGAAUCAAUCAAAUUGGGCCAAAAGGACCAAAUUUGCAUUGAAUUGCAUAUUUUCGGAUAAGAAAAUUACCAACUUUAAGGGACUUUCUUGUAAAAUUGGGUGGGCAAAAUUGCAAAAUCUAGUCGAGAUCUUAAACUACUAUACAUGAGCUUGCUAAUUGAUCAAAAAGCAUAGCCAAAUUCAUGGAUUAAAGUGCCCAAACCAGCUAACAAAUUCCAGUCCACAAGUUGGUCUGAAUUCGGAGUUGCUGAGUAAGCAACUUGGUGGCCCCAUCAUAUCCUCCUCAGUUGCCCAAACAGCCUGAUCUUUGCACGUGAUAGAAGACCAUAAUUAGUAGUGCAAGUGGACAAAAAUUUUCCAAGGAUAAGCUGCUGAAAGCACGGGAAAGUCAUAGCAAAAUCGGCACACUCAACAUUUGCAAAAUUUGAAAAUUUUGACUAAGUUAGUGGACUUCUUAGUGGGUAGGCUUGGCAGGAGGGCAAAAAGCCAGUCAAGUGUGGCAUCCAAAAAAUUUUGCUGACCCUUAGAUGUGCAAUGGUAUGUAGCUAAGUGAUGGAGGUAUCAUUCGGACUAUGUCAUUGGUGCCAUUUACGGAUAUUGAUUUGUAUUAUUGUUGGACCGAUACGCUACUUUUGGUAAUGGUCCGACCGUAAAAAAUUAUCCAUGUGUAACAUCACUACUGAGACCCUCUUCCACCUACAUUCGUACCCUACGAACCGAACCUCCUAUGUACAUUGCUGCUGCCCCGUAUAGUCACGUAAAUAAAUAUAUUUCAGCCCACGCACUUGCUGAAAUUAAGAAUUUAAUUUUGGAGAAGUUGGAUCAUGCACGAGGACCCUGCACGCCUCUCCAUUUUGUGAAUCAGCAAGUAAAGAGAUGAAUUUGAAUCACCGUACAGUCUUGUCAGGUUCUUUCCCUAUGCAAGAAUUUUAGUCAUGAACAAGUACAUUUGAUGGAUUGAAUGAAAGGAAAAUGGUUGGACCACGAAGACCAUGGGAUCGACAAUGCUCCAUGCACGUUAUUCCUUCAAGAGUCAAUAAACUUGGAGAGGUUGACUUCCUUGCCACGUUCACUGCAUGGAGAUGGGUCUGCCAACAAAAGCCACGCAACCGAGACCUCAUGCCAGUGGGGAAUUCAAGCGAGGACAGCUGCACGAAGGGGCAGCCAUCGAGGCCCAUGCGGCCAAAGGAGAUGGACACGUUUCCUCCACCUGCCACGUUCACCAGCUGGCUUCGUUGGAUGAUGCCACCAAAUAACCUGCAUGCAGUAAUUAGAUUAAUUAAAUAAUUGAAAAGCAAAGUGCUUGUGUGAUUGAGAGAGAAAGGAGAGAGAGGAACUGAGCAAAAUAACCAGCAAGCGAGAGAGAGUUCGAGCGAGCGAUCUGCGAGAGAGGGCAGCUAUUGGAGUGUUAUGCCUUAGUGCUGCUGAUGUUGCUGAUGUUCCUCUGUUCUAGUUUUUUCUUCUGUUUGUUUUUAUAGCUAAGUUUGUUAAAUUAUGCAGCUGGUAUUUUCGUUACUUUUAGGAAGUGAAUUAACACGUUUAUGUGCGGUUAUAUGUUGCACUUAUGUAAGCAGUUAGUGCUUGUAUUUAGGGACCAGACUCAACAGUUUCUCUAAGAACUGAUGUAUGCAAGUCUUGUGCUCUGUUUUUCUGUGCUAUCUUCCUUUGUCGGAGACCAUAGCCUCUGCUUUUUGUUUUGUUUAUUGCUUUGAUUAGUCAUAACAGUGGUAUCAGAGCAUUUCGAUGAUCUUGAGGGACUGUGAAGUGAGGUAAGCAACGAAGCAUGAAGAAGUAAAAGAUUGAUGGAGGCAGGAUCGAGUGGAUUCUCUGCAAUGGCUGCUCCAGUAUUUACUGAAGAGAAUUAUCAAGCUUGGGCUGUUAAGGUGAUAGCAUUUCUGGAGGGUCACGAUCUAUGGGAGGCUGUGGAGGAAGAUUAUGAAGUUGCUCCACUUCCAAAUAAUCCGACCAUGAAUCAGAUCAAAUUCCAUAAAGAGAGAACCACAAGGAAAGCCAAGGCAAAAUCUUGCCUGUAUGCUGCUGUCUCGCCUACUAUUUUUACAAGGAUCAUGAGGUGUGACUCUGCAAAGGCUAUAUGGGACUUCUUGAAGAAAGAAUAUGAGGGAGAUGAGAAGAUAAGAAGUAUGAAGGUGCUGAAUCUCUUGAGAGAAUUUGAGAGACAGCAGAUGAAGGAUUUUGAGUCAGUGAAGGAAUACUCUGAUAGGCUGGUUGGGAUAGCUGAUAAAAUCAGAGUUUUAGGGACUGACUUGAAUGAUGAAAGGCUUGUUCAGAAGAUCCUGGUGUCUCUUCCAGAGAAAUUCGAAGCUACCAUAGCUUCUCUGGAAAAUACAAGGGACUUAGCUUAUAUAAAACUUGUAGAGUUGUUGAAUGCUUUGUAGGCACAGGAGCACAGAAGACUAAUGAGAAGAGAAGAUCAUGUAGAGGGUGCAUUGCAAGCUAAAGUAAAGCCAAAUGAUGGAGGCAAAGGGAAGAAAUGGAUUCAGUUCAAAGGAAAUACUGGUGAUUCGAGGUUUGUACCAAAAGAAGGAACCUCUGGUGGGUCUAGCAAAUGAAAGAAGAACAAAAAGCCAUGUCAGUACUAUGGUGGAACCAAUCAUCGAUUUUUUAGAUGUUGGAGAAAGCCUAAUGCUAGGUGCAGAAGAUGCCACAAGUUGGGUCAUAUGGAAGCCAUUUGCAAAGAGAAAAAUUACUAGAAAGCAGGAAAAGCACAAGUGGCAGUAAAUGAAACUGAGGCAGAGCACCUGUUUGUAGCUUUAGUUUGUGAAUCUUCAGUCGAGAAUGAUACAUGGCUGGUAGAUAGUGGCUAUACCAAUCACAUGACUGGCAAUUUGAAGCUAUUCAGGAAUCUAAACAAGACAGUCAAGUCCAAAGUCAGAAUUGGCAAUGGAUAGUACAUUGAAGUGCAAGGUAAGGGUAUAGUUGCUAUCGAAGGAAAUCGGGAAGUGAAGCUAAUCAGGGAUGUUCUCUUUGUGCCAAACAUUGAUCAAAAUCUGUUAAGUGUUGGUCAAUUAGUUGAGAAGGGCUAUAAAGUGAAGUUCGAAGGAAAUGAAUGUCUCAUUAAUAAUGAAGACAACAAAGAAGUGUUGAGAAUUCCAAUGAGGGACAAAAGUUUUAUGCUCAAGCCACAAGAGAUGCAACAGAUGGCUUUGAAAUGCAAAGAAGAAAAUGCAGAGCUAUGGCAUAAAAGAGUUGGGCAUGUUCACAGGAGGAGUAUGCUAUUUAUGCAGAAGAAUAGCUUGGUAGAUGAUUUGCCAAGCUUGGAGGGAGAACUUCCACAAUGCAGAACCUGUCUUCUUGGCAAACAAGCCAGAUUUCCCUUCAAAGAAGGAGGCUCAAUGACAUGUAAAAAGCUGCAGUUAGUUCACACAGAUGUAUGUGGAACUAUGUCUGAAUCCUCUCUUAAUGGUAGCAGGUAUUUUAUUACCUUCACUGAUGAUUUGACUAGGAUGAGUUGGAUUUAUUUUCUGCGAGCUAAGAUUGAAGUAGCUGAUGUGUUUGUGAAGUUUAAAGCCUUAGUUGAGAAUCAGAGUGGGAAGAAAAUUAAAAGUCUUAGGUCUGAUAAUGAAUCUAAGUAUACAGCUCACAAGUUUAAGCUGAUUUGUGAGCAAGCAGGAAUUGUGCAGCAGUUUACUGCACCUUACUCACCUCAACGGAAUGGGGUUAGUGAGAGAAAGAAAAGAAGUAUUAUGGAGAUGGCUAGAUGUAUGAUGGAAGAGAAGAAAUUGCCUAAGAGGUUCUGGGCUGAGGCAGCUGAUACUGUUGUGUUUCUGCUAAAUAGACUGCCCACAAAAGCCUUAGAGAAAUCAACACCUUUCGAAGUCUGACAAGGUGUUAAACCUUCUGCAAAUAAUUUGAAGGUUUUUGGGUGUUUGUGUUACACUCAUGUUCCUAAGGUUAAGAGGGACAAACUAGAUAAAAAGGCAGAGAUUGGGAUCUUUAUUAGAUAUAGUCUUCAAUCAAAAGCUUAUGGGAUUUUCCAUCCCAUGACAGGGAAAGUAAUUGUGAGCAGAGAUGUUAUCUUUUUAUAGGAAGAUGAGUGGAAUUGGAUGGAAGGAAGGAUUGCAGAACUGCAGCACUUCGAAAAACAACCUGCAAUAGAUGUGGAGGCUAAUGAAAUUACAGAGGGAUUGGAAGACAGUAUAGAUGACUUACCAGUGAGAGGCACAAGGUCAUUUGCUGAGAUCUAUGAAAGAAGCAAUGUGGCAGUGCUCGAACCAUCUAAUUUUGUGGAAGCCAAAGAAGAUUAGAGGUGGAUUGUAGCAAUGCAGGAGGAGAUUGCAAUGAUCCAGAAAAAUCAUACAUGGGAACUUGUAGACAGACCACUAGAUAAGAAUGUGAUUGGGGUUAAGUGGGUGUUAAGACAAAGCUUAAUCUUGAUGGUUCUGUCAAUAAGUAUAAAGCAAGACUGGUUGUGAAAGGCUAUGCUCAAAUAUGGGGAGUAGACUAUUCUGAAACAUUUGCUCCAGUUGCAAGGCUGGAUACAAUAAGACUUCCAUUAGCUGUUGCAGCAGAGAAGGGAUGGCCUAUCUUUCAGUUAGAUGUCAAGUCUGCAUUUCUAAAUGGAGAGCUUGAAGAGGAAAUUUUUGUUGAACAACCUGAAGGUUUCAGUAUUAAAGGGCAAGAAGAAAAUGUGUACAGACUGCGCAAAGCUCUAUAUGGACUGAAGCAAGCUCCAAGAGCUUGGUAUGAAAAGAUAGAUCGAUACUUAGAGGAUUUUGGUUUUGUAAAAAGCUUAAGUGAGUUCACUCUUUAUGUCAAGAAAGUGAAUCAUAGUGUGGUAAUUCUGUCACUCUAUGUAGAUGACUUAUUAGUGUUUUAUCUAGAUUUAUGAGUAAUCCUAGUCAGCUACAUUUGAUUGCAGCAAAGAGGGUCUUGAGAUAUCUAAAAAGAACCUUGUUCUUUGGUGUGAAGUUUUAGAGGGGUCAAAAGUUUAAUUUACAAGGAUUUUCUGAUAGUGAUUGGGCUGGUUCUAUGGAUGACAUGAAAAGCACAUACGGAUAUUGUUUUAGUCUUGGUUCAGCUUGUUUUUCUUGGUGUUCCAAAAAGCAAGACAUUGUAGCUCAAUCUACUGCAGAAGCAGAAUUCAUAGCUACUACUGCAGCUGCAAAUCAAGCUUUGUGGCUAAAAAAGAUAAUGAAGGAUUUGUGGUUGAAUUCCAGUGGCUGUAUCGACAUCAAUGUGGAUAAUCAAGCUGCUUUAGCAAUAUCACUGAAUCUAGUUUUUCAUGGCAAAACCAAGCAUUUCAAGGUUAAAUUCUUCUUUCUGCGUGAGGUGCAACAAAAUGGUGAAGUUAAGCUAGUUUAUUGCAGAUCUGAAUAUCAACUUGCAAAUAUGUUCACAAAGCCACUUCAAGCUGGAAGAUUUGAGUUAUAAAGAAAGAAAAUUGGAGUUUGCAGCAGCAACUGAUCCAAGAAGGAGUUUGUUGGAGUGUUAUGCCUCAAUGCUGCUGAUGUUGCUGAUGUUCCUCUAUUCUGGUUUUUUCUUUUGUUUGUUUUUUAUAGCUAAGUUUGUUAAAUUAUGCAGCUGGUAUUUUCAUUAUUUUUAGGAAGUGAAUUAACACGUUUAUGUGCGGUUAUAUGUUGCACGUAUGUAAGCAGUUACUGCUUGUAUUUAAGGACCAUACUCGACAGUUUCUCUAAGAACUGAUGUAUGCAAGUCUUGUGCUCUAUUUUUAUGUGCUAUCUUCCUCUGUCAAAGACCAUAGCCUCUGGUUUUUGUUUGUUUAUUGCUUUGAUUAGUCAUAACAGCAGCGAAGGAAGAGGGAAAGGAGACCGCCCUCCGUCCGUGCUCGUGUGAGCUACCGCCAUCGGUCUUCGCCGCCGUUGAGCUGCGUCCAAAGGCUUGCGAGCUUCUCGUUCAGUUUGUCAAUUGAGCUUAGGAGCGAGGCAAGUAGAAGUUCGUUAAUCUAUGUUAUGCAUGCUGUGAUUAUCUGGUGAAGUACAAGUAGACCGGAGAAGGUCUGAAUUUGAUAUUGCAUGUUGCAUUUGAGGCUUGCAUGUCUUGAAAUCUAAGUGUGAGUGAGCUGUGAUUGUUGAGUAAGGUGUGAUGGUGUGUGCCGAGUGAAGAAAAGGUGAUGCAUGUUGAGUUAUAAGAGCUGAGAUGCAAGUAUGUGCUUUGUACCGAGUUGUGAAGGAUUCUAGGUGAGUGAAAAUGUACUAUGACCACUCAUGGACGUUGUGCAAGUGUGUCAAGAUGCUACAUGAUGAAUUUACAGUAAAACAAAUGGUUUGAUUGAGCUGGAAAUGAAGAGAAAGGCAUUAGAUGUUUUCCGUCUUAAAGCAACAUGGAUAGAAAGUCGUUUAUAUUGUGUCGCUUUAAUUUCUAGAGAUGAAGAUGAGGAAUAUAAUCAUUUUACUUAAGACAACAUCCAUUAGAUUGAGUUUAACUCAUAGUCAUAGCUAUAUGAAUACAAGAACGUGUAGAUAGAAGCAAUUCUUUUUAAAACAGAAAUACUGUUCCGCAGAAAACGGCCUGACUUUGAUGAUUCCACGAAUUUUAUGUAUUUUUCUAGAUAGAAUUAGACUUCAAACCCUUAAUGAAAAUUGUAGGAUACAUCCUUAGGAAUAGCAUAUCAAAAUUUGAGAAUAAAUGGACAAGGUUUGGUCGAUGAAACGUUUUUCUUUGUAAAUGUUAAAUCUGGAAGUUAUUACAGAGUGUUAGUAAGGAAUAUCAAAAUUAAUACUCUUGAUAUAAAAUGAAUCUGACUUAGUGUUCUUCAUGAAACAUUUUCCUUUAGGUCUUGUUUAUAACAUAUCCAAAUUUCAAAAUUUUCUGAGUUCAUUUAUGGGUUAUUCCGAAAUUUUCAUUAAAACUGCACAUUCUGGUUUUUAAGCUGUUUUACUCUGACUUUGCUCAACUAAUUUCAAAAGUGAAUGCAUCUUGAGUAGUUAUGUGACAUGAUGAUACUGGCAUUGGCAUAUCAUGCAAUUUUGAGAUUUGAUGAGACUCAAGGGACAUUUUUUCUUUGCAUUGAAAAGUGUUUUUGGAAAUUAAGAUGCUAAUUGUUGCCAUUGGACCCUCGGGUCAACGAUGCCCCAGGAGUCAGGAUGCCCAGAGGUUCGAAUGAGUCGAUGCCCUUUGGAUGCCUGGUUGUAUUAUGAAUACAUGCCCAAAGAUUUUUCCCCGGGAGUGUCGGGAUGCUCGGUUGUAUUAUGAUACAUGCCCGAAGGGUGAAGGGUUAUAUUAUGAUGCAUGCCCGGAGGUUAGGGGUAACCAUGUAUAUGGUCCCCAGUGAUUUCUCGUGAUGCCAGGUGGGGUGUGAGAUACCCUAAGGUUCAAAUGAGUUGAUGCCCUUUGGAUGCCCGGUUGUAUUUUGAAUACAUGCCCGAAGGCUUCUGCGACGCCAGGGAUGGGUGCGGAAUUCCAGAAGGACGCAAACAUUGGUCCUCUGGGGGGUUAAAACCAUUUGAAUGAUUAAAUCUGAUGAUUAUAUUAAGCGUGAGUGUGGUCUAGUUAUGGGACUAAAUUGUACGGCAUUGAAUGAGACGUGUCAUUACAGUUUGCCCCUAUGAUCGAGACUUGUGUAAUUAGACAUGAUGCAUCUUGAGGGUUUCGAAAUUUCAUGAUUUUGAUGCUUGCUUAUCCAUUGAUUACCUGUUUUUGUCUAUCUUGCAUGAAUAUGGAUAUUGAUGGUAUUGCGUGAUAUAGCUUAAUGAAUCUUUUACUACUGAGUGGUGUACUCAUCCCGUUUUGGGACUAACAUUUCAGACUAAGUCAUGAUACCUCUGCUGCCACCGCUACCAGCAGAUGGACCGAGUGAUUGAAUAUGACAACGAGGAGGAGGAUAGUAGAGGAAGGAACUUUUGGACGCCGACACUGAUCAAUGAACUCUAAGUAUACGACUAUUGGAAAAUAUGUCGGUCAUCUUUUGAAAUAUAGCCGAGUAUAGAAAACCUUGGUUUUUUGGUGUACCGACAAAUGAUGUCCAUCUGGUUUAAGUAAAUAAAAGUGUUAGGCUUUAUCUUAUAAAAAUGUUUUGUUUGUGUGCAUCGUUUUCUGAAUAUAGGGAAGGGAGUUGUUAGAUACGCUUUCAUCAUAUUUCUGCGCAGGGACCGAUCUAAAAGAUAUAAACCCCCAGAAGUUAUGGACCUAUUAUAAUUCUAUGAUAUCAAAGUGAUAUAUUAUUAGGACAAGAGAAAGGUAAGAGCACUGUGGCAAACCAAACGGAUCGGGGGCCGUUCGAGGGGUGCCACAUAAAGAGAUUGCUUAAUGCAGUGGAUAAGAUCUAUGAAGCAUGCUUGUUUGAGGGAUAAGAGGCAGAAGACAAGAAACACAAGGAGGAGCUCGGGAUUGUGCCCAAAAAAACCCCUCAGAAUCAACUCCAGAAAAACAAGAACCCAGAAAUUCCAGAUCAACCUUCAGAGAGAAAAGUGAGAUUUUCACAAACUUGCAGCAAAAAUUUUCCAAAACCUUCAACUAGAGAUUGAAACUUCACUCAAAUAUCUUUCCAACCAUAGGUCACACGUCCAAAAUGGAGAUUGGGAAGACUUCCUAAAGCCCCCCCGAAAAGAUACCCUCCUGGCGGGCCAAGGGAGUCCUAAGAUUUUUCUAAGUGUUGAGCCCGGUUGGUCUUGAGUAAGGAAAAGCGAGUGUUUUUCAGAAAAUGGAGAGAUAAAUGAGGAAAGCCAUCAAUUACAAGACAAACUAUAAUAUAUAUAUAUAUAUAUAUAUAUAUAUAUAUAUAUAUAUAUAGUUUGGGUUGGUUUUAAGUUGGUCAACAAAAGAGGUUCAGAAGCCUAAUUUUGGAGGUCAACGAAAACCUUCGUUAUUAACUUUUUCUUCUGUAGACCUCAUUUUCAGUUUGAAGGAGCCAUUUUCCAUGUGCCCCCCGGAUGAUAAUUUCUCGUUUCCUCGACUAGGAGUCACUUGAAAACGAAACUAGGAAGCAAGGUAAGCAUCUUAGUUGUAUUUUUGUUUGAGUUUGAACAUGUUUUAAACACAAAAAUCAAGAGGAAAACUAGUCUGAAGAACUAAUUUUCGAGGUUGAAAUAUUUCUUAAGUGUUUAAAGCCUCUGCAAUACCCCAACAUGCUUGACUUGUUCCUCUCCCUUUGCAUGCGUUUUUUUGUCGUUGUCACUUUGAUGAAUGUUACAUGGGAGUAUAAAUAAUGCAUAGGACAACCCGGUUUAGUCUUUAAAUCUCCUUGUGAAUGAUGAAAUCGUCCAUAACGUGAGCCAAAAACCAAGCCACUCCAUAUUGAGACAUGGUUGGCCAGCAUAGAUCAUGCAUGUACGCUUCUUGGAGAGUUCGUUUUGAUGCGUCCAGUUAAUCGUUUUCAGUGAUGUUCAUUGCAUUUGAAAGUAAAUGUUACCUAUUUUCAUCCGGAUGGAGUAAUAUUUCAUAUAGAUGUUGCAUGUGAUGGUUGUCAGGGCUUCAAUCUGGGCAUUUGACAUGGCUGUUUGACUUGGGUUCAACACCAGAUUUGCAAAACGGCUCCAACCCGCAUAUUGGAGGCCGUUUUCAGUUUGGUUCUUGCAUGUUCUAAGCUGUGAUUUCUAGCUAAACUUGUUCUUUACAUGUUAUAGUAUAUCCUUGAUACUUUGCUUUCACAUGAGAUUGCUUAUGGGUCGAGAUUGAAGGCCACGAACAUGGCCCGAGGAAGCCGUUUUGAGGUGAUUUGAUGCAAGCCAAGUAUUCGACAAAAUGUUUGAACCAAAUUUCGAUCUUAAAAUAGUUUAUUUGAGCUUGAUUAUUGUGAUAUUCAUGUGCUGUGUUACUCCAUGUUAGCAUAGAUCGGUUUAAGGAAUUAUUAUUAAUAUUUUUUUAAAAUAUAUAUAAUAAAAAAGAAAAAUCUGAAAAUUUCAAAAAAUAUAAAAGUGAUAGAUAGUAUCAAAUUAAGGCAAGAAUGACAUAUAUGAAAUUUUAUUAAUUUUAUAAGGUCCUUUUUCCUAAUUUAAUGCCAUUUUGAUAUUUUAUAAUCAUUUUUGUAAAUAAUCCAUUUUCCAUAGAUUAAAAUUAUUUAGAGUAAUAUCAUGCAUAUUUAAAUUCUCAUUUCGCUCAUAAGGGUCCUGCCCCGGGGCGUAAUAACAAGGCCAUGUAAUAUUAUUUGCCCGACUUGUAUCGGGUCUUUCUUUUCCGCAUUACUUUCAAGCCCUUCAAUUUCUUGGAUGUUUAUUUACCGCACCGCUUUUCAAUAAUUUGAGUGUAAAUUUCUUUUCUAAAUUAUGUUAGGAUUAGUUUAGACAUUAAAAAAAAAAACUUUAAAAACUUACAAAAACAUUUAUAUGGACACUUAGUGGUUUCAUAAAGAUUAUAAUUGGUAAUCAAGAUUGUGUGGCCAUUUAGAUAAACAACCUUCCAAGUUAGUGGUACUGCAAGGGCGCUAAUAGAAACAUUGGUGUAAACAAGUCCCCGUUCCUAGAGGAAAUCUCCGGUUGCGUAGAAAUCGAGACAACACUCCCGUGUCUUAAUUGGUUUCUAGCCGACUUCAAUAGGCUAGUGGCGACUCCUAGAAUUACAUAAGUUGUUAAGAACUAAAAAACAAAAAUCCAACGUUGCGCGAGGUAUGGGCUUGGGAGAGCCCACACCUAAUUUAGGGCCAUUGGUCCGCCUCUUUGGGCAAAUACCCCUAAACCUUCUUCCUUUUUCCCCCGAACAAGAAAGAGAGGUCGCGACAAAGGCAUUUGCGUCAUUUCCUCCAAAUAAAAAAAUUUCCUAGAACGGAAUUCACUUCUCUAUGUGGUCAAACAUGAGAAUGUCAAGGAGCAUUGAGAAUGACCUGCAAAAAGAUGACAAUGUUAGUAUGUGAUUAAGAGAAAAUGAUCUCUCAAUGAGGUCGCUUCUUACAACAAAAUUGAGGCGACAGUACAUGCCCCAUAGUCCUCAUUACGGGGUUUUAGUAUUUCAUCAAGAUUUUAUCAUAAGAGAAGACAUCAUUGAAAAAAUCGAUCCAUGGCCAUCAAUCGAAUGUCCACUCUUAUUCGAAAACUUUCAUAUGCAAAAGUGACAUUGAUUUUUGAAAAAUUGAUUUGUGAUUUUACUCAUGGAAAAAAGAGGUGACUUUUAUUUUAGGAAAUCUAUACACAAAAUACUAUAUGAAUUUCAAUCCCAGAAUGUGAGAAAGAAAGAAUUUGAUCGAAAAUAUGACCUCAAUUUUUUUGUGCACCAAAAUAUAAUCUUGAUUUGAAAGAAUCUUUAAACAAAAAGUGGUUUUGAGCCCAUAAUUGAGAAUUUAGACAAAGUCAUAUGUUCAAUGGGGCUAGAUCAGAUAGGCUUGAAAUUUAUAGUCAAGGUUCAUUAUCAAGAGUGCUUACCAAUUUUUUUGAUUAUAACCCUACAUCACUAAGGGAAUUCGAUUGAUUUCCGCGAAUUUCAAAAUGGAAGUUCAAUACAAAAUGAGCAAAUAAAAAGGAAAGUGAUACUUACAAUGGGGGACGACUUUUCUCUCCCUUUAUUUUUUUUUUUAAUUACAUAGACAUACACAUGGGAUGUGAUUCGAUUUUUACUCUAAAUGACUCAAAAUAGAGCCAUAGGAUCACUGGACCAAACUAACAAGAUCGCGGCUAGAUCGUGUUACGCAUGACUCUGGCUUCGUCAAAAGGCUGACCUGUGUCUCGUUGUCGUAGACCAAGAUAGGGACCUUUGACAUCAAGAAAGAAAUUUCAAGGUUAAAAUGGGUGACUCGUACUACAUGAUUGUAGUUGGAGUGGUAUUUAUCUCAAUACCAUCCUAAGUGAUCCUAUGCAGCUCAGGUCCGACGGCAGGUAGUGUGUCAUGGCGUAGUGCAAUGCAAAGAAUAUAUGCACGACAGUCUAUAAGCAAACAUCAUUUCAAAACUUCAAAAUAUAAAUAUUUAUUUCCAACUCCACACCUACAAGACAAGGGGCUAACAAUCAUUCCUCCCUUUAUAACUCCCAUCUUACAAAAACAUUUAACACUCACAUUAGGAACAUACCUAAUAUCCUCAUUGCUAAGCAAAAAUGUUUUUUGAACAAGAUCAAUUCCAGUCUAAGUCCUCUAAGGUCAAAAACUAGUUUCCAGCGGAGUCGCCAAGCUGUCGCGACCUACCCCUUGGGGGGAGGAAAUAUGUUCUGGGGUAUUGCCUAAAGGACAGACCUAAGGCCCAUGAUUAGGCGCAGGCUUUCCCAAGCUCAUACCUCAAGUGACAUUGGGGUAUUUUUAAGAAUUUUGCAAUAAAGAGUCGCCACUAGCCUAUUGGGGUCGGCUAGAAACCAAGCGGGGCAUGGGAGUAUGCCCCGUUUCCUAUGCAAUUAGAAAAUCUAGGGUCGGGGACUUGAUUACACUAAUUGACCAAUUAGUGCCCUUUCAGUACCUAAUCUUGUUCAUUUUAAAAGAAAAGAUUUUUGUCAGGUAGUUUGGAUUGAUUUUAUACCUAUCCACAAACAUAUGAGGUGAUCAUGCAGGUGAGCAAUCAUUAAAAUAAUAAUUAUAGCUACUGAGAUCCUAAUUGCAAUAAAAUUAAGCACGUGCAAUUAAACAUAAUAAAAUAUGCAAACUAAACAUGCGAUAUAAUCAAAAUACGAGCAAAUAAAGGCCUAAUUACACUAAGAAUGCAAGAUAUGACAAUUCAUAACCAAACCCUACAUUUUUUAAUUUUCAAAAUUUUUAAGUUUUACUUUUUAAAUUUUUUUUCGAAAUAAAAUUAUUUUUUUGGGCGAAUUGGGUCGGGUUUGAUUUGACCCGGUAGGGGGCGGGUCAGGCCCGGUUCGGGUCAAACCCACUUGGGUAUGACUCGCUUGGGGGCGGAUUGGUCCGCUUGCCCAUAAGGGCCAAGCCCGACCAGAGAUGGUAGGGCCUUUACCUGGUUCAAGGUUGGGCCUGAUCGACGGCCCAACCCCCCUAAAAAGUGCCGGUAGGCCCAGUCAACUAACCCAGGCUUUCUAAAACUAAAUAGGGCCCAUGGAAGAAACCUAAAUUAAUCCUAAAGCCUAAACCCAAAUUUAGCCCAGACUUGACUCAGGUAUGCCCGGCCCAAUUCGCCCAAAACCCUACCCGGUUGAUUGCACUCGGUCUGGCUCUUUUGACCUAGUUCUUGCCUCCUCUCUCUCAUGCUCUUUCGCGGCGCUGAAGGAGGAUGGUCGGGACGUCGUCGGGUGAUGGCUUUGUGUUGACGGCGACGGUGACGCGGGGGGUGGUGGCCGCGAGGGGCAACGACGUCGUUGAGGUCUGCGAGGACAGGUGGUGGUUAUGUUAGAGGCAACACUGACAAAGUCGAACAGCAACAGGGACAGCUGCGUUGGGGAUGGAGUCGAGACGGAGGUGACACCGAUAGGCCAGCGAGUAGCAUGAUGAGGCUCGUGUUGAAGGCCGUCGGACGCGGUGGUGAAUAACUUGGCACGGCGUCGAGAGGAUGGCAACGACGGCAUCAGGCCCAGGCGUUGCCACAGUCGGGGUCGGACGACAAUGGCUCGGUGAGCAACGGCACUUUUGCGCGGUUGCACAGCUUGGGGCAGUUAGUAACUCCCGCAGAUCACCAGAUCUGUCCUCAGCUCUCGACUUCUCCUCUGGUCGACUGGCUUGACGUCGGGACUACGCUGAAGUAGAUGGUGGUAGGCGACAGCGACGUGGCGGAGAUCUAGUGUAGUGGCAUUGUCCUCAGAUUUUCCCUUUCUCGGUCUGCUUCCCCCCUCCGUUCUCUCUGCUUUGCUCUGCUCCUUUGCUGUUGCUCUUGGUUCCCCCUUCCUCUCCUACGGUGCCCCUCCCCCUUCUCCUCCUCUCCGCUGCUUUUCAUCCUUUUUUGCUUUCCCUCUCUUUUUCCUUUUUCUGCUUUUUUUUUCGUUCUCUCCUGUUGCUGUCUUUCCCUUAUCUUCUCCGCUCUACUCGAUGUCCCCUAUUGUUGCUACUUUUGCUUUUUGCAGGUCUAUGUGCGAAGGUGGCUAGAGGAGGAAGAGCUAGGGCGUGGGCUGGGCUGAGGGGAGAGUGAGGCUGGGCCGGGCUACAGCAUGAGAGAGAGAGAGAGAGAGAGAGAGAGAGAGAGAGAGAGAGAGAGAGAGAGAGAGAGGAAAAGAGGAGGGUCGGGUUGGGCCAAGGCCAGAUUCGGCCCAACUCGCCCCCUCUCGCGUCCCUUUUUUGUUGUUGUUUUUCCUUCUUCUUUUGUCUGUUUAAAAAUAGGUGUCAACACCCUUUCUAAAGUGAAUGAAGGAAUCUCCUAAUGUCACCUCGUAAGUUUAUUAUUUGUAUGGACAUCAUUGUCUUUUGGCGGGUCUGCAUUUUCAGACCUUCUCGUGUAACCAGAAUUUGACCUUAUCAGUAGGAAAAUCAAUGGUUUUUGAUGCCCUCAGUCUCUUGAGCUCAUUCAAGGAAUAAUUUUAUGUAGUGGAGGAUUGGUGGUCAAGGGCAGAGAUUUGAACAAGAUGUGACCGUUACAAUUCUUUUUAAGAUGACGAAAGAGCAAACGUGAAUUAUCUCACAUUGAAGAGAGUGUAGCUAGUCCAACCACAAGCGGACCAAACGGGCAACAUAUAUUUUCUGUAUAAUAAAUUCAGAUGAAAGUUCUAUAAUAAGCCUGCUCAAAUAACAUGAUUCUAGACAUGCCACUGAUUUAUGGAUUAUGUUUGAAUGAUUACCAUCCCAAGCAAAGCAUGUGUCUCAGUUCAACAUAACAAUUAAUUUUUCCUCGCCAUGGCUAUCAUCUAGAGAGUGAUAUUAGCUCCUGAUUUGUUUGUGCACAAGUGACCAACCUUUAUCUUUGGAUAUCUUUCACAUUUUAUGCCUUUCGUCAGUAGAUUUUUAACAAAAACUUUCUGACAUCACUCCCACUAUCCAAUUAAAUCAUUCAUAUUGCAACUCUUAUGCUUCUCCAAGUAUUAUGAAGUUCACCUCCAUGCAUUCAUAGAAAUAGGAAAUGUCAGUUUGUGACAUUCUUCCCCACUUGAUAGCAUUGCGGGCUAAUUUGUUGCUUCUUUGCAUUCCCUAAUUGUCACUGCCUCUCCCUAGGUCCUAGAUGAAUGGCCAAUGCUCACCCAAAUGAUAUUCCUUUUAUAAAUAGAUUCCUAACAUAAAUUCUAUUCCACCACUCUAACAAUUUAGUUGCUUCUCCCGAUUUGAUUGAGUUAUGUUAUGUACCUUUGUAAGAUUGGGAAAUGGCAGACCGAGGCAUACAUGAUAGCAUUAGUUCCACAUGUGAAACAUGUUAGCUGACCUUUUUUUUUUUUUUUUAUUUGGUCUUGCCUUUUCUUUGUCAGGUUAACUUCAUUAGAGAUGAAGAUUUUUUAUGCAUAGGACAGAUUCAUGUGGUUGUAAAUAAAGCGUUCCAAGCUCUGUCCCCGGUCACAUGGGUGUCCUCUCUGUGCGGCCAUUUCACCUUUUUUUCCGAAGAGUUUUGAUUUUCAUAUUUGCAUUACAACCUAAAGUUGAACUACACCUAUCCUAAAACGAAUUGGAUUGGUUAGCUUUCUUAAUUGAGUUCCUUUUUACGGUGGCUCCCCUUUUCAUGGUGCUAUCUCCAUUUACCACGUGAAAGCGUGCCUUUUUUCAGCACAUUGUGUUGUUUCGGGCUACGCCAGGUGAAUUUUUUAAUCAACCUUUGCCCAUUCUUGUAACUGUUCAUCUUCUUCGAGUGGGGAUGGUUGGCAAGGCCAAAUUUGGUUGGCGAGGGGCUGGCAAAGGUCGCCUUAAUCAAUGACUAUCGAAUUAGAUGUGUCUUUCCGGCGGUCGUAGCCCUUUGCACGCUUUAGCAAAGGGUUUGAGUUCUUUUUUAAUAGAAAAUUAUAUAAAAUACGUCUAAAGCCCAUAGCCAAAGUGUUUUUUGCAAAAGAUUACUUUAACCUAAAGGUCUUUUGCAAAGAGUUUUCAUCAAACAUAAUUUGCAUUUUUUCAAAGAGUUUUGAUUUUCAUAUUCGCAUUACAACCUAAAGUAAACUACACCUAUCCUAAAAUGAAUUGGAUUGGUUAGCUUUCUUAAUUGAGUUCCUUUUUAUGGUGGCUUCCCUUUUUGUCUCCAUCUACCAAGUGAAAGCGUUCCAAGCUCUGUCCCCGGCCACAUGGGUGCCCUCUCCGUGCUGCCAUUUCUCCUUUUUUUCCAAAGAGUUCUUAUUUUCAUAUUCGCAUUACAACCUAAAGUUGAACUACACCUAUCCUAAAACGAAUUGGAUUGGUUAGCUUUCUUAAUUGAGUUCCUUUUUACGGUGGCUCCCCUUUUCAUGAUGAUGUCUCCAUUUACCACGUGAAAGCAUGCCUUUUUUCAGCACAUGGUGUUGUUUUGGGCUACGCCAGGUGAACUUUUUAAUGAACCUUUGCUGUCACGCCCCGAUCCUCGGACGCGCGCACAUCCUUCUACUUGGUCGAUUUUAGAAUGCGAUAUCCCAGGACUAUGUAUCGCCGACCCUUUCUUUUUAUUAAGCACAUGCGGAAGCAGUUAUAAAUCCCCAGACAAUAAAAAAUGGGAUAGGAAAGUAGGCCAUAUUUUUCAUAUUGAAAUUCAUAACCACACUUUCAUUAACAGCACAACUCAUAGUAUAUUUACAAUACUAUUCACAACAUACUUGUCUCACACCUAUCUAUGCUAAGACAGGGUUUACAAAAGGGAUGGGAUCUCAGUCCACAUCCGGGUUAUAUUCAAGAUCCCUCUCUGGAUCGUCUUCUUCUUCAAAAGUCUUUCUCCCCUUCAGGUUCCUCUUCCUUAGCUUCUCCUCAGGGUCCUGAAAUGGUUAUUCAAUAACCAAUGAGACCACGUCUCAGCGAGUCCUGCCCCCUAAGACUCGAUUAGAAAGCCAAUACACUAUAGGCUGCCUAAACACAGCACGAGUUGGAGGACUUACCUUGGCCUCAGAUUCCAUCUACAUAUUAGUACAGUUCAAUAGGCAUUCAAACAAUCACAUCACCGAUCGAAGCAUCGAUCGAAUCGACCUAGUCAAUUUCAUAUCAGUCGGACCCUUUCUAGGUCGUUCAUCCUACUUCAAGCAAUUCCUUAAAUUUAGUGGCUUUACGGUCCCACCCGACCCUCUCAAGAACUAGUGGCUUUACGGUCCUACCCGACCCUCUCAAGAACUAGUGGCUUUACGGUCCCACCCGACCCUCUCAAGAACUAGUGGCUUUACGGUCCCACCCGACCCUCUCAAGAACUAGUGGCUUUACGGUCCCACCCGACCCUCUCUAGAUUCAAUUUAGGAAUAAAUCUUAAAUUCACUCAUAAAUUACUUUAGCACCAAAUAAAGCUCAAAUAAAUAAACGGACUGCACCACGACAAUCAGCACGAAAUUCCAGUCACCGGCCAUCCCGGUUGAAUUUCCAGAAAAAUAAAUAAUUAAAUAAUUAAUUUCGAAAAUUAAAUAAAUAAUUAUAAAAAUCCAAUUUAGGCUCAUAAUGCCGAAUUGAAUACCGAGACAAGCCCGGAAAAUUACCGAGACUCGUUCCAUAAAUAACAUGGCAUGUCUACUUGCUAAUAUCUAUUUCUAACCACCUAUCAUGCAUCAUUAAGUCUCUAAUUUAAUUGAUCUAAACUAAUCUAACCACCUAAUUGCAUUUAAUUAAAUCUAACCAACCUUAAGUAUAAUUAGCAAACUAAGAAAGCUUUAGUGAGUAAAACUCACUUGAUAAGAACAAAGACCAGAUCACCGCAACGGCGACGCGACGGCGGCCGAAAUCGGGCUUUCGAAACCACCGGCGGACUUGGACCGGGCCUUAAGCUUGGCCCCAACAAAUCUCAGCCCAACUGAGAUUUGUUCUUGCUUUUGGGCCAGACCCAAGUUGGGUUGGGCCUGCUGAAUUUCUGGACUGAAUUUACUUGAGCUUCAAAUUGCGGGCUGGACUUCAAUUGAUUGCCGGAAACUGGGCCUAGAAAAAGACUGGGCUGUUGGACUCUUGCGGGCUUGAAAUGGCCCUCAUUUGGACUGAAUCUUGCUGGGCCCGAAUUGCUGAAAGUGCUGGACUGGAGACAUGGCCCAAAUCGCUAGAGUUUGCUGGGCCGUUUGCGGGUGGUGGGCUGCGCUUUGCUCGAUCCCACGAGCUGGCUUCGAGGAUGACGACACGCCCGAGGAAAGUGCAAGCCACGAAAAGGGUGCAGCUGGCCGAGACGGUGGGAUUCGAUUGAGACAGCCUCCGCGAAGCAGGGAUUUGUUCGUUGAAGGCGCAAGCUGAAGGAAAGUCGGACGCGUGGGCUGGCGUUGCGGACGAGAUGCAGUCAACGAAGGGGCUUCGGCGUGGCUUGAAGUUGACUGAGAGAAGUUGGAUCGCGGACAGAUGGCGCGGAUGAGGGGCAGUUUCGCUGGACUGCUGGUUGCUGACUUUUGGUGGAGGCUGGCGUGAGUGGCCGACCAAAGUUGAUGCUGCCUUCGGUGAACUGAUUUUGAAGGCACGAAGGAAGACCGAAGAUGAGUGGUCUUCGCUGGAGAUGCUGGCGUGCGACGCUGAAAAUGGGCAGCUUCGGUCUUUGAGAUUCACGGGUGUUGCUCAGUCAACAAACGAGGCCAUCGAGGAAGGCUCUGACCGAAGGGGACCAACGGUAGUGGGGGCUGGCGUGAACUUCAGUUUUCGAAGAGAAGAGCUGCAGGUUCUCCACCGAAGAAAAAUGAAAGCGGAACGGCAGAGAAUCAAGAAAUCGAGAGGAAGAGGAUGGGGAUGAACGGUGGGGUAGGUAUGAGGGAGAUAUUAGAGAUAGAUAAGAGAUGGAGGGCUCCACCAAGGCUUGAUAUUUUGCCAAAUAUCUUUCAAGGCUAUCCUAAGCCAAGUAUAAUCCCAUGGCCUCCAAUGAUCCACCAAGACACUCUCCUAGACUUUCCAAUUGGUCCAAAAUGGCUAGGAGGGAGGGGGCUACGAAUUUUAAAAAUCUCAGCUUCAAUUGGAAAUUCAUCCCAUCCAAAUUUCAUCUCAAUUGGCCCUCAUAAAAUCAAUUGGUCCUCCAUCAAUUAUUUCGGCAUUUUUCCUCACUCAAGUAUCCUUCAUGUUUCUCAAUUUCACAAUUGAAAACCAUCUUCAACAUUUUCUGCACUAAAAUAACCCGGCGACGACUUUUUCCCAAAAAGUGUCAGUUGUUAGAAAAUUCUUCUGAGACUGAGUCGACACUCCUAGAAUUUAUUGUGACAUGACUGAAACUUCAAUUUCUGAAAUCAGACUUGAAUUUUCAGUUAAUUUCAACUUGGCGUGUUUUUAGCGUGACCUAGACUAUCGGGUAGUUUUCAUAACUUUUUAAGGCAAAUGACCCGUGGUCGAUUUUCUUCGAGCCACUAUGAACCCACUUGACUCAAUGGCGACUCUUGAUUGUCGUGAAAAUCUCGAGGAUUCAAUUACGGACACAGGGUACCAAAACAAUAAGAAAAUCAGUCUAGUGUCGGCCGACGAGAAUUUUCUAAUUCAGUGGUGUCACCCACGAUUAGCCACACAUCUCUGUUGAUCCAGUCUAUCUCUGAUUUCAAAUCGAUUUUGAACUGCGCCGUAAUGGCCUCUAAAGAUGGACACAGUCGAGAAGCCGAUUCUUGAUCGAGUUCUCAAGUCUAUUGCCUUAAAAUUCCUUAAUAAUUUUCCCAGAUAGUCUAGUUAUCUCGAGAGUGAUCGGCUCUGAGAAUAACCCUAUAGACGCGUCAAUGAAAUGCCCGAUUUAUUCAGUAGAAGACAGGGUUGAAAAUUUGGGAUGUCACAUUUGCCCAUUCUUGUAAUUGUCCAUCUUCUUCGCGUGGGGGUAGUUGGCAAGGCCAAAUUUGGUUGGCGACGGGCCGGCAAGGGUCGCCUUAAUCAAUGACUAUCGAAUUAGAUGUGUCUUUCCGGCGGUCAUAGCCCUCUGCUGGCUUCAGCAAAGGGUUUGAGUUCUCUUUUAAUAGGAAAUUAUAUAAAAUACAUCUAAAGCUCAUAGCCAAAGUGCUUUUUUGCAAAAGAUUACUUUAACCUAAAGUUUUUUUGCAAAGAGGUUUCAUCAAACAUAAUUUGCAUUUUUUCAAAGAGUUUUGAUUUUCAUAUUCGCAUUACAACCUAAAGUUGAACUACACCUAUCCUAAAACGAAUUGGAUUGGUUAGCUUUCUUAAUUGAGUUCCUUUUUACGGUGGCUUCCCUUUUUUUGUCUCCAUCUACCACGUGAAAGCGUUCCAAGCUCCGUCCCCGGCCACAUGGGUGCCCUCUCCGUGCUGCCAUUUCACCUUUUUUCCAAAGAGUUUUGAUUUUCAUAUUCGCAUUACAACCUAAAGUUGACUACACCUAUCCUAAAACGGAUUGGAUUGGUUAGCUUUCUUAAUUGAGUUCCUUUUUACGGUGGCUCCCCUUUUCAUGGUGUUGUCUCCAUUUACCACGUGAAAGCGUGCCUUUUUUCAGCACAUGGUGUUGUUUUGGGCUCCCCUUUUCAGCACAUGCUUUCUUAUUUGUUUUAUUAAGUUACCAUGUGUAAUGUAUAACUCAAUCAUUUCCAUUAACCAUCAUUCAUUUUCACCUAACCCCUCAAGAAAAUAAUCUAGCACGACAGUUUCAUUUCAAACUUUGAUAUCCUUCCUCUUCAUUCUAUGCUACCAAACAUGAUAAAUUAAAGGAGUAUCAACUUUAUUCUCAUUAGAAAAUGCUAGAUUUACUAUAGCUGAAAAUUGAUUUACUAACUAAUAUGUCACACUACUUGUUUGUUGCUUGAGGCCCGCUUGUCUAAAGGGUCACUUAUAAUCCUAUACGUUCUUUAGUAAAUUAAUUUUAUAAAUUAGUUUUAUUAAAUCCAGCAUUCCCUUUCCAUUAAAAUCCAGUCAUAGUUUGGAAUACCAAACGAGGCUUAAAUUAUUCUCUAUGGCCCACUUCUUAUGCUUUUGACACGGCUCUGAAAAAUUACCUUAGGGUUUUGAUAAGUUAUGUACAAAAUGGACACCAAAAUGGGGUGUUAAAGAGUGCCAGAUGAGUUGCCUGGUUUGUCCAAACGCUGGGCGAGCUAUCUUCUUGCAUUCUCCGAUAGUCCGUCCCCAUCUGCAAGGCUCCACAAACACUUAGAACAUCACGAUAAUCAUAAACUUGUGCCUAUAUCAAAUUCAAUGGGAAACUUCGAGCAAUAAUCAAACAGCUUAUUCAUUUGCAUUUUCUUUUUCCUUCUCAAAAGCCAUUCUGCUAUGAAGACCAAAGUAAAGGCAAACGAGAGAGGUAGAUUCGACACUCGUGGUUUGCUUUAGACAAUGAGGGGAAGAUGCUAUUAUAGAAAAUUUUCUGAUUAGAAUUUUUUUUUUUUUCCUUUCGCUUAAAAGUUGUGUUGGAGGAUAGAAGCUCUCGGUUUGCAAACUCUUUGAUCGUCUGACCUAAUGAUUAGUUAAGUUCGGUAGAUGGGGCAUCGCGGCAUUUAAGAGCAAAUUAAUAACCAUGUCGGCGUUUCCGUUGAUUUUUCUAGCUGCAGGAUCAAUUUGAACGAAAAGGUAUAUAGUCCAUAAAUCCAAUUGGGCAACAAAGAAAUUCCAAAAGUGGAUUACUUGCAAAAGUUUGAGGAGUACAGGUGCGGAAGUAUAUAGUGUAGGAAUCCAACUGGACAAAAAAAGAAAUUCCAAAAGUUGAUUACUUUUGCUAAAGUUCGAGGAGUACUGGAGCCUUCAUCAUUUUUUUUUUCUAAUUUUUUAGUUUGAUAGCUCUGUUGGCCGGUGCAAUCUAAUAAAGGUAAAAAUUUUCAAGAUAUUCACUCGAAAAGUUAAUAAUUUAAUUUUUCCCCCAUUACUAAGCCUCUUGUUGAUGACUUAUACAUGUGGAAAUCUUUUACUUUAUGCUUGACUUAAAUUUAUAUGUAGGUGAUAUUCAUGUUAAUAUAACCUACCAAUAAGAUGUUUAGUUUGAGGAUAAGGAAAAUAUGGCCCAUUCUUUUUUGGAAUUUCAAGAAUUAUCACAACAAUCGAUCCCAAUUGCCUUGUAUGGGCUUUAAAAUUAAGCAAAAAAUAGGAUAUGUCGCUAAUGUAAAGGUAACUUUAAACAAGUCGAUUUCAGAGUUUUUAACUUCUCAUUCUCUUACUAAUCAUCAAAUCAAGAAUGGAUAAUACUAAUUUUAGAAAAACAUAUUUAUAUUGAUAAUGCAUUGUUUAACUACUCUAAAAUUAAGUAAUGAUUUUGAUUGCUUUGCUAAAAGUAAUUUACUUUGAAAGUUCAUAAUUCUCUCAUCGCUCGGCCAAAGCAGCAUCAGUAAAAAGGGACCUUAGAGCAUCACCUAUGUUGUUUCACCGCACAUUCAUCUGCUCUUCACAUUAUAAUAAGUACAGAAGAUCCUUAUUCAUCAUUGGCAUCGGUGCACCAUUUUCUUGGCUCUCUUGAGAGGGGGUUGAUGAUCAUGGACGAAUCCAUUGUCACACCCUAAAACUACAUAGAAUGGGGAUGACACGGCCGUCCUUCCACAUGAAGGACGCAGCCUCAAACACAACUAAUAACAUGAUAUCAAAUUAUAUAUAUAUAUAUAUAUAUGUGGUAUAUAUAUAUAUAUAUAUAUAUAUAUAUAUCUCAACCACAUAUAUAUACAUAUCAGAUAAACCAACAGAUUGGUUGCAACAUCAGAGUUUCUAUAAUCCACCAAAAAGAAAUUUACAAUUAGAACUCAACCGGUCCAACCAUUAGCAAGAAUUAUGUGCACCACUUCCUUAAACCAUACCCAAAAAUAGAACACCUAAAAGUUUCCCAACUGUGCUCUCAUCCUACUAGUUGCUAACUUUGGGACCUAAAAACAUGAAAGAUGAAUGGAAUGAGCAACCACAACUUAGUGAGUAGUACAUACCAUAAAAGCAUAUCAAACUUCCACAUUACAUAUUUAAAACUCAAGACAUGGCUCAUUAUCGCCAAACAAAAAUUUAAUAACUUGCUUGAACAAAAUGUGUUAUAUGUUACCUCAACCUAGCUAUAUCAAAUAGCAAAAUUUCUCAUUCAUCCAUAAUAAAAAAACAAGCAUCACCAAUUUGAUUCAUUAAUCGGACUCAUCCUAUCUCAUAUCGAUGGUUCAAUCCACGUUUAAUAUCCAAACUCAAGGCCCUAGAGGUGGCUCCCACAAAAUUACAUUAUCAUGUAGCACUUAGCCCUUGACCAAAUAUAGCAAUAGUACAAGGCCCUAGACGUGGCUCCCAUGAAGUUACGUUAUCGUGUAACACUUAGCCAUUUAUUAUGCAUGUCAAUAGUGCAAGGCCCUAGAGGUGGCUCCCAUGUGACUCGAGUCACCAUGUAGCACUUAGCUCUUGACUACAAGGCCCUAGAGGUGACUCACACGAAGUUUCGUUAUCGUGUAGCACUUAGUCUUUUACCUAUUCACAAUACAUUUGAUUUUUUCAGCACAACACAUAUCAUUUUUCAAUAGUCAUCACAUGAUCACAUAAAUCAAUUGUACCAAAACAACAUGCAUAACUCUUCAAGGGAGAUUUGUCAAAUCAUCUGCUAAUGUUGUCUUGAAUUCCACAAUAUUCAAUCGGAAAAUCUAGGAAGGCUUUAAGAUUGCAGGCUAUUUGUUUCCUAAUAUAUUUCCUAGAUUUGGGUUUCAAAUUUGGUAAUAUCUUUAUGGUGGAAUUCCUUUCCUACUAGGUUUAGGAAAGUGGGGAUCUAAAGAUCUCUUUAUUGUAGCAUUGUACCUUGUACUCUUGACAUACGCUCAAAUAAGAAAUCGUCUCUCUCUCUCCCUUGGACGUAGGCGGAUCUUUCGCCGAACCAUGUAAAUCUCCGUGUUCUUGAUUAUUCUUGUUUACUUUUUCUCAUUUAGUUAUGGUGUUCUUCCACACAACAAUUGGUAUCAGAGCAAUUCAGGUUAUCUGUUCCUGUAUUGCGACUUCUAACUAGAUGGCUGGAAAAGGUUCAACCAUUUGAUUUGAUAUUGAACGAUUCACUGGGAAGAAUAGUUUUACGCUAUGGCGGAGAAGGAUGAAGGAUUUGUUGAUUCAACAAGGUUUAUCAAAGGUUCUUCUGGGAAGAUCGAACAAGCCGGACACCAUCACUAAUGAUGAUUGGGCCGACAUGGAGGAGAGGGCGUGCAGCGCAAUCCGAUUGAACCUAUCGGAUGAGGCCAUUCAAUAUGUAGCAAAAAUCAAAUCUGCUUUGGAGGUAUGGCUCAAACUCGAAAGUAUUUACAUGACAAAAUCUCUUACGAACAAGUUGUUUUGAAGAAGAGAUUGUAUUCACUUCAGAUGAGUGAAGGAGGAAAUAUGUUGGAACACCUCAACGUGUUCAAUCAGAUGACUAGUGAACUUACAAGCUUGGAGGUAAAGUUUGAGGAUGAAGACAUAGCGCUUCUACUACUGGCAUCGUUGCCUGAUUCGUUUGACCACUUGGUGACUAUGCUCCUUUAUGGCAAGGAAAUCUUGGAGAUUGAAGAGAUGACUGUUGCCCUAAUUUCAAACGACACCCGGAAAAGGGCAAGUAGUUCAAAAUCUUCGGGAGAUGGACUCUUUGCAAAGGAGAAAAGAAAUCAAGGAAGAGGAAGAUCAACGGAUCAAGGAUCGAGCAGUAGGGGUCGAUCAAAAUCCAAGGGAAAGUUAAAAGGAAGAUGCUACGAGUGUAAUCAGGAAGAACAUACCAAGAGAUUCUGUCCAAAUAAGAACGAGAAAAAGAAGAAGAGCUCGGAUGAGGCAAGUAUAGCCAACAACGUUGAGACCAAUGAUGGGGACGUCUUGUCCAUAUCGUCGGGGAAGGACGUCUUUGAAGAUUCAUGGAUCAUGGACUUCGGAUGCACUUUUCACAUGUGUCCUCAUGGAGAAGCCUUCGAUGAGUACAAGGCAUAUGAUGGUGGUUCAGUUCUCAUGGGGAAUGAUACUUCGUGCAAGACUGUGGGUGUUGGAACUGUGAAAAUCAAGAUGUUUGAUGGCAUGAUUAGAACCUUGGCAGACGUGCGUCAUGUUCCAGGUCUAAGGAAGAAUUUGAUCUCAUUGGGAGCACUUGAAUCCAAUGGAUGCGAGUACACGGCUCAAGGUGGAGUCUUGAAGGUGAUUAAGGGAGCUCUAAUUGUUCUUAAGGGACACAGGCACGGGAACCUAUAUCGACUUAUAGGAACCAUAGCGCAAGGUGGAGCAUCUGUGUCCACGGAUGCUAGCACGGAGAUAGAUAACACCUAUCUAUGGCAUAUGCGUCUCAGGCAUAUGGGAGAAAGAGGAUUGAUGGAGCUUCACAAGAGGAAUGCACUCCAAGGUAUAAAAACAUGCAAAUUAGAUUUUUGCAAAUUUUGUGUGUUUGGAAAACAAUGCAGAGUUUGGUUCAAUGCUACAACUCAUACAAGCAAGGGCGUGCUCGAGUAUGUACACACGGAUGUAUGGGGUCCUUCACCAGUAAAGUCAAAAGGAGGGAAAGAAUACUUCGUGACAUUCAUUGAUGAUUUCUCUCGCAAAGUUUGGGUCUACUUCAUGCGACACAAAAGUGAAGUCUUUGAAAAGUUCAAAGAAUGGAAAGUUGAAGUUGAGACUUCAACGGCGGGGAAGAAGGUUAAGUGUUUGAGAUUGGACAAUGGAGGAGGGUACAAAUUGACACUAUUCAUGGAGCUUUGCAAGAAUGAAGGGAUUAAACAUCACUUCACAGUUCCGGAUAUGCCUCAAUAGAAUGGCGUAGCGGAAAGGAUAAAUCGAACCUUAUUAGAGAGAGCUCGAAGCAUGAGGCUACAUGCAGGACUGAACAAGGAGUUUUGGGCAGAAGUUAUUUGCAUGGCAUGUUAUCUUGUGAAUCGGUCUCCAUCAACUGCAAUUAAAUGCAAAAUUCCUGAAGAGGUAUGGACCGGUAAAAUUGUCGAUUAUUCUAAUUUCAGAAUAUUCGGUUGUCCUGCUUUUGAACAUUUGCAGAUCUUGAAGCGCUCGAAGUUGGAUCCAAAAUCAAAACAAUGCAUAUUUCUUGGUUACGAGAAAGGAGUGAAAGGCUACAAAUUAUGGGAUCCAAGUGAGAAGAAAGUUCUAACGAGCAGGGAUGUUAUAUUUGAUGAAUCUACAAUGUUGAAGUCAAGCUGCGUGCCACGCGCGGCUGCUGAAGAGAAGAGUGAUAAAUCUAUCAUUAAGGUGGAGCUUGAACCAGAGAAUCUGCAGAGAAUGGUGAGGUCAUCCAAUGAGGCUUCGGAAGUCAAAGAAACAAUAGAAGUUCUUCGUUACCAUUGCGACGGGUCGAGGAAUGUGCACNNNNNNNNNNNNNNNNNNNNNNNNNNNNNNNNNNNNNNNNNNNNNNNNNNNNNNNNNNNNNNNNNNNNNNNNNNNNNNNNNNNNNNNNNNNNNNNNNNNNNNNNNNNNNNNNNNNNNNNNNNNNNNNNNNNNNNNNNNNNNNNNNNNNNNNNNNNNNNNNNNNNNNNNNNNNNNNNNNNNNNNNNNNNNNNNNNNNNNNNNNNNNNNNNNNNNNNNNNNNNNNNNNNNNNNNNNNNNNNNNNNNNNNNNNNNNNNNNNNNNNNNNNNNNNNNNNNNNNNNNNNNNNNNNNNNNNNNNNNNNNNNNNNNNNNNNNNNNNNNNNNNNNNNNNNNNNNNNNNNNNNNNNNNNNNNNNNNNNNNNNNNNNNNNNNNNNNNNNNNNNNNNNNNNNNNNNNNNNNNNNNNNNNNNNNNNNNNNNNNNNNNNNNNNNNNNNNNNNNNNNNNNNNNNNNNNNNNNNNNNNNNNNNNNNNNNNNNNNNNNNNNNNNNNNNNNNNNNNNNNNNNNNNNNNNNNNNNNNNNNNNNNNNNNNNNNNNNNNNNNNNNNNNNNNNNNNNNNNNNNNNNNNNNNNNNNNNNNNNNNNNNNNNNNNNNNNNNNNNNNNNNNNNNNNNNNNNNNNNNNNNNNNNNNNNNNNNNNNNNNNNNNNNNNNNNNNNNNNNNNNNNNNNNNNNNNNNNNNNNNNNNNNNNNNNNNNNNNNNNNNNNNNNNNNNNNNNNNNNNNNNNNNNNNNNNNNNNNNNNNNNNNNNNNNNNNNNNNNNNNNNNNNNNNNNNNNNNNNNNNNNNNNNNNNNNNNNNNNNNNNNNNNNNNNNNNNNNNNNNNNNNNNNNNNNNNNNNNNNNNNNNNNNNNNNNNNNNNNNNNNNNNNNNNNNNNNNNNNNNNNNNNNNNNNNNNNNNNNNNNNNNNNNNNNNNNNNNNNNNNNNNNNNNNNNNNNNNNNNNNNNNNNNNNNNNNNNNNNNNNNNNNNNNNNNNNNNNNNNNNNNNNNNNNNNNNNNNNNNNNNNNNNNNNNNNNNNNNNNNNNNNNNNNNNNNNNNNNNNNNNNNNNNNNNNNNNNNNNNNNNNNNNNNNNNNNNNNNNNNNNNNNNNNNNNNNNNNNNNNNNNNNNNNNNNNNNNNNNNNNNNNNNNNNNNNNNNNNNNNNNNNNNNNNNNNNNNNNNNNNNNNNNNNNNNNNNNNNNNNNNNNNNNNNNNNNNNNNNNNNNNNNNNNNNNNNNNNNNNNNNNNNNNNNNNNNNNNNNNNNNNNNNNNNNNNNNNNNNNNNNNNNNNNNNNNNNNNNNNNNNNNNNNNNNNNNNNNNNNNNNNNNNNNNNNNNNNNNNNNNNNNNNNNNNNNNNNNNNNNNNNNNNNNNNNNNNNNNNNNNNNNNNNNNNNNNNNNNNNNNNNNNNNNNNNNNNNNNNNNNNNNNNNNNNNNNNNNNNNNNNNNNNNNNNNNNNNNNNNNNNNNNNNNNNNNNNNNNNNNNNNNNNNNNNNNNNNNNNNNNNNNNNNNNNNNNNNNNNNNNNNNNNNNNNNNNNNNNNNNNNNNNNNNNNNNNNNNNNNNNNNNNNNNNNNNNNNNNNNNNNNNNNNNNNNNNNNNNNNNNNNNNNNNNNNNNNNNNNNNNNNNNNNNNNNNNNNNNNNNNNNNNNNNNNNNNNNNNNNNNNNNNNNNNNNNNNNNNNNNNNNNNNNNNNNNNNNNNNNNNNNNNNNNNNNNNNNNNNNNNNNNNNNNNNNNNNNNNNNNNNNNNNNNNNNNNNNNNNNNNNNNNNNNNNNNNNNNNNNNNNNNNNNNNNNNNNNNNNNNNNNNNNNNNNNNNNNNNNNNNNNNNNNNNNNNNNNNNNNNNNNNNNNNNNNNNNNNNNNNNNNNNNNNNNNNNNNNNNNNNNNNNNNNNNNNNNNNNNNNNNNNNNNNNNNNNNNNNNNNNNNNNNNNNNNNNNNNNNNNNNNNNNNNNNNNNNNUCUAUUUAUUGUAGCAUUGUACCUUGUACUCUUGACAUACGCUCAAAUAAGAAAUCGUCUCUCUCUCUCCCUUGGACGUAGGCGGAUCUUUCGCCGAACCAUGUAAAUCUCCGUGUUCUUGAUUAUUCUUGUUUACUUUUUCUCAUUUAGUUAUGGUGUUCUUCCACACAACAAUUGGUAUCAGAGCAAUUCAGGUUAUCUGUUCCUGUAUUGCGACUUCUAACUAGAUGGCUGGAAAAGGUUCAACCAUUUGAUUUGAUAUUGAACGAUUCACUGGGAAGAAUAGUUUUACGCUAUGGCGGAGAAGGAUGAAGGAUUUGUUGAUUCAACAAGGUUUAUCAAAGGUUCUUCUGGGAAGAUCGAACAAGCCGGACACCAUCACUAAUGAUGAUUGGGCCGACAUGGAGGAGAGGGCGUGCAGCGCAAUCCGAUUGAACCUAUCGGAUGAGGCCAUUCAAUAUGUAGCAAAAAUCAAAUCUGCUUUGGAGGUAUGGCUCAAACUCGAAAGUAUUUACAUGACAAAAUCUCUUACGAACAAGUUGUUUUGAAGAAGAGAUUGUAUUCACUUCAGAUGAGUGAAGGAGGAAAUAUGUUGGAACACCUCAACGUGUUCAAUCAGAUGACUAGUGAACUUACAAGCUUGGAGGUAAAGUUUGAGGAUGAAGACAUAGCGCUUCUACUACUGGCAUCGUUGCCUGAUUCGUUUGACCACUUGGUGACUAUGCUCCUUUAUGGCAAGGAAAUCUUGGAGAUUGAAGAGAUGACUGUUGCCCUAAUUUCAAACGACACCCGGAAAAGGGCAAGUAGUUCAAAAUCUUCGGGAGAUGGACUCUUUGCAAAGGAGAAAAGAAAUCAAGGAAGAGGAAGAUCAACGGAUCAAGGAUCGAGCAGUAGGGGUCGAUCAAAAUCCAAGGGAAAGUUAAAAGGAAGAUGCUACGAGUGUAAUCAGGAAGAACAUACCAAGAGAUUCUGUCCAAAUAAGAACGAGAAAAAGAAGAAGAGCUCGGAUGAGGCAAGUAUAGCCAACAACGUUGAGACCAAUGAUGGGGACGUCUUGUCCAUAUCGUCGGGGAAGGACGUCUUUGAAGAUUCAUGGAUCAUGGACUUCGGAUGCACUUUUCACAUGUGUCCUCAUGGAGAAGCCUUCGAUGAGUACAAGGCAUAUGAUGGUGGUUCAGUUCUCAUGGGGAAUGAUACUUCGUGCAAGACUGUGGGUGUUGGAACUGUGAAAAUCAAGAUGUUUGAUGGCAUGAUUAGAACCUUGGCAGACGUGCGUCAUGUUCCAGGUCUAAGGAAGAAUUUGAUCUCAUUGGGAGCACUUGAAUCCAAUGGAUGCGAGUACACGGCUCAAGGUGGAGUCUUGAAGGUGAUUAAGGGAGCUCUAAUUGUUCUUAAGGGACACAGGCACGGGAACCUAUAUCGACUUAUAGGAACCAUAGCGCAAGGUGGAGCAUCUGUGUCCACGGAUGCUAGCACGGAGAUAGAUAACACCUAUCUAUGGCAUAUGCGUCUCAGGCAUAUGGGAGAAAGAGGAUUGAUGGAGCUUCACAAGAGGAAUGCACUCCAAGGUAUAAAAACAUGCAAAUUAGAUUUUUGCAAAUUUUGUGUGUUUGGAAAACAAUGCAGAGUUUGGUUCAAUGCUACAACUCAUACAAGCAAGGGCGUGCUCGAGUAUGUACACACGGAUGUAUGGGGUCCUUCACCAGUAAAGUCAAAAGGAGGGAAAGAAUACUUCGUGACAUUCAUUGAUGAUUUCUCUCGCAAAGUUUGGGUCUACUUCAUGCGACACAAAAGUGAAGUCUUUGAAAAGUUCAAAGAAUGGAAAGUUGAAGUUGAGACUUCAACGGCGGGGAAGAAGGUUAAGUGUUUGAGAUUGGACAAUGGAGGAGGGUACAAAUUGACACUAUUCAUGGAGCUUUGCAAGAAUGAAGGGAUUAAACAUCACUUCACAGUUCCGGAUAUGCCUCAAUAGAAUGGCGUAGCGGAAAGGAUAAAUCGAACCUUAUUAGAGAGAGCUCGAAGCAUGAGGCUACAUGCAGGACUGAACAAGGAGUUUUGGGCAGAAGUUAUUUGCAUGGCAUGUUAUCUUGUGAAUCGGUCUCCAUCAACUGCAAUUAAAUGCAAAAUUCCUGAAGAGGUAUGGACCGGUAAAAUUGUCGAUUAUUCUAAUUUCAGAAUAUUCGGUUGUCCUGCUUUUGAACAUUUGCAGAUCUUGAAGCGCUCGAAGUUGGAUCCAAAAUCAAAACAAUGCAUAUUUCUUGGUUACGAGAAAGGAGUGAAAGGCUACAAAUUAUGGGAUCCAAGUGAGAAGAAAGUUCUAACGAGCAGGGAUGUUAUAUUUGAUGAAUCUACAAUGUUGAAGUCAAGCUGCGUGCCACGCGCGGCUGCUGAAGAGAAGAGUGAUAAAUCUAUCAUUAAGGUGGAGCUUGAAACCAGAGAAUCUGCAGAGAAUGGUGAGUCAUCCAAUGAGGCUUCGGAAGUCAAAGAAACAAUAGAAGUUCCUCGUACCAUUGCGACGGGUCGAGGAAUGUCACGCCCCAACCCUUAGGCACGCACACAUCCCUUACUUUUGGUCGAUUUUAAAAUGUGAUAUCCCAGGACUAUGCAUCGCCGACCCUUUCAUUUUUAUAUGCACCUGCGGAAGCAGUUAUAAUUCCCCAGACAAUAAAGUAAUGGGAUAGAAAAGCAGGCCAUAUAUUUUUCUUACUGAAAAUUCACUACUACAUCUUUUUACAUGCAUCUCAUAGUAUUCUACAAUACUAUAUAUACGCAACUCUGGUCUAACGCCGAAUCACAUGCAAACAAGGUCUGACAAGACAGGACGGGAUCUCAGUCCUCAUCCGGGUCAUACUCGGGGUUAUCCUCGGGGUCCUCCUCCACGUACUCCUCUUCGGUUUCCUCAUCAGGGACCUCCUCAUCAGAUUCAUGCUGACGUGCGGACCCCUCAAGUGCCUUAACUUUGCCCAAAGGGACACUUAAGUGCCAUAACUUACGAAAGGUACACUUAAGUGCCAAAAUCGGAGCAAAAGGGAUCACUUGAGUGCCAAUCCGGCCAAAAUCCGGCCAAAUUGCAUACGUGGCAUUUUCCGGCGAUUUUCGGCGACUUCAUUUACUGAUGUGGCAAAUGUUUUUUUUUUUAAAAAAGCCGACGUGGGCGACAAAAACGACGUCGUCCAUCCACAUUGUGCGAUGACCUAAUCGUUGUUCCUCCCCAUCCGCGUUGACAGUCAAUCUCAGGCCCUUCUCUCCAUCGCCGUUCACGCCCAGAGCUGGUCAUCGAUCGCCGUCGUCAGUCGCCGCUGUUGGUCGCCGUUGCCGCUCACCGCUUACCAUCGUUGGUCGUCGUCACCGCUCACCAUCGUCGCUCGUCGAGGUUCGAACCCUUCUCCCCCUCCCCUGUGAUGAAAUUAGGGCUCGAUUAUUUAAUUAGGGCUCGCUCGAUUAUUUAAUUAGGGUUGGCUGACCUAAACGCCGUUCCUCGCCGUCCGCGUUCACAGUAGAUCACAGGCCUUUCUCUCCAUCGCCGUUCACGCCUAAAGCUGGUCAUCGGUGGCUGUCGUCAGUCGCCAUAGUUGGUCGUCGUUGCCGCUCACCGCUCACCAUCCUUGGUCGUCGUCACCGCUCACAAUUGUCGAUCAUCCAGGUUUAGCCCCUUCUCCCCCUCCGCUGUGAUGAAAUUAGGGCUCGAUUAUUUAAUUAGGGCUCCACUCGAUUAUUUAAUUAGGGCUCAAUUAUUUUAUUACAGCUCCGAUGGAAUUUGUGUUGAUAUACUUCAACUGAAACUUGCUGACAUUACACAAAGAGACCAGAUUUCUCAUUAUUUUGGUGAAUUUGUCUUUCAAGCCAACUGUCAGAGUAUGUGAUUGUUAACUGUCUAUGCAUCUCCUUAAGAGCAUCCUAGUAAAGCACGUGACUAAUGCCAUUCUGAGAAAAAAACUAAGUUCUUGAACCACCCUGCUUGUGAGAGUAUAUAGGGUAUGUCCUUGAACCACCCUGUUUGUGAGGCUGUAUAGGGUAUGUCCUUGAACCACCUUGUUGUGAUUGCUGUAUAGGGUAUAUUUAUAAAUCCAAAACCCUGCUGUGAUUGCUGUAUAAGGUAUGUUUAUCAAUCAAAAAUCCUGAAUAAGAACAUAAUCCUGUUGUGAUUUGAUUAAGUUGAUGUCAGAGUAUGCUAUGCUUUGAUUUGGUUAAGUUAAUGUACAUUCUCUCACAUUGCACAUUUAGUGCAGUAGACAUGCUUGGGCUGUGAUUGCUGUGUGGGGACCUCUGUUUUUGGUUAAUAUUUUAAGGGAAGGGAAGACAAAUAAUUAAAGUGCCGACCUCUUUUUUGGCUUUUUUGGCUGUCAUGUAGGGGCAUAUUGUCAGUGUGGGGACCUCUAUUUACUAAAGUCCAUGAGAGUGGGGGGACUCCCAUGUGCAAUUGUCUAGUGGUCCCAAAAACUAAUGAUUAUUUUUCUUGUUCUUGGUGCAGUAAUGGCGCAUGAGAAGGAUUAUGUCGCUGUUAUAGUUUGCUACAAUGGGGAAUUUGUGAUUGGGGAGGAUGAGUGGGAGUAUGAGGGUGGAAAUGAGGGCACCAUCUUUGUGGAUAUAAAGAAGGCAUCUUAUAUAGGAUUUCUUAGGGAUAUAAAUACUUAUUUGCCUUGUAAAGUUCAAAAGCUGCUGUAUUGUAUCCCUGGGAAAGACUUAAGAGAGGGUUUGAGAUGCUUAGAAGAUGAUAAUGGUCUUAGGGAUGUUCUAUACCAUUAUCUUCAUGGUGAAGAGGUAAAAAUAUUUGUUGAGUACAAUAGUGAAAGUGAGGAUGAAGAUGAUGAUGGAGAGAGCGCCGGAGUAAGACAAGAAGGAGAUGGUAUUCAAGGUAGUACUGACGUUAGGGUCGAAGGAGGGCAGGAUAGAUAUGAUGGACAUGAGAGAAGCGCAGAUGUAGUUCACCAAAGUGAUGAUGACAUAGGUGAUGUCACAAUCUCUGGAUUAGAUUGGGAAGUAGCUGAAUCAACUGAUGAUGAUGAUGGAGGGUUGCCUGCUGAAAAUUUUAUAAGCGAUGACGACGACGAGGAGCUUGUACAGUCAAGAAUACAGCGAAGGGAUUUUUUAACAGCUAAGUUUGCAGCUUUGCAAGUAGCCGAGGAAGUUUCAAACAGACCCGAAGGCCCUACAGAUGCUGGUGCUGCUGGCGAGGAGACUGACUAUGAAGAAAGCGUCGAGAAUGCUACUUCCCAGGAUGAGCUUGAAGAAGAUGAAGGACCUGUGCAUAGAAGGAAAAGGAAAAGUAAGUUUCCUUCUUAUGAUCCAUCCGUUGCCUCUCCCACUUUGUCGGUAGGCAUGAAAUUUCAUGAUGCUAAACAAUUUAGGGAAGCUAUACUGAAGAUCUCUAUUGCUGCACAAAGGAACAUUGACUUCAUUAGAAACACUAAGACCUUUGUAAGAGCUAGGUGUUCGCAGCAAAAUUGUCCAUGGAAGAUCUAUGGCGCAUUUGUUAAGAAAACUGGAUCUUUCCAUAUUAGAGCCUACCAAGAGGAACAUACUUGUUCCAUUAAUUUUGAGAAUAAAAGGGUAACAAGUGCAUGGUUAUCGAAGCAAUUCUUUGAAUUGAUUAAGCUGAUGCCUCAGAUGAAUACUACUCAGUUCAGGAUGCUGGUGAAGGAGCAGGUAGGCAUCAAUAUAUCUAGGAAUCAAUGUAAAAGAUCGAAGCAAAAGGUGAUGAAGAUACUCAUUGGUCAGUACAGCGGUGAAUAUGGACAGUUGUGGGACUAUUCUUGGGAGUGUAGGUUGCAAAAUCCUGGAAGUAGAGUGUAUCUCGAGGUCGUGGAGAGACCACUUCCUGAUAUUGGGAUGAAGUUCGAUAAAUUCUAUGUUUGUUUUUAUGCAUGCAAACGAGGUUUUUUAUCUGGCUGUAGACGGAUUAUAGGAUUGGACGGAUGUUUUUUGAAGGGCUUGUGCAAGGGAGAAUUGCUGGCCGCAAUUGGAAGAGAUGCAAACAACCAAAUGUUUCCCCUGGCUUGGGCUGUUGUGAAGGUAGAGAACAAGGACAAUUGGUCCUGGUUCCUAAAAAAUUUGAUGACUGAUUUGGAGAUAACAAAUGGGGCAGGGUGGGCAUUCAUGAGCGACCAACAAAAGGUAAUGUUUGCUUUUUAAAAUAUUAACAUACUUGUUUGUUUUUCGAUAUCAACAUGUCAUUUGCUUAUAUUUUUUUAUAUUUUCAAUUAUUGCAGGGACUUGUUCCAGCAAUAGCUGAGCUGUUGCCUUAUGCUGAACAUCGAAUGUGUGCGCGACACAUAUACGCAAAUUGGGCAAAGACCUAUAAAGGGGACAAAUUGCAGUCGCAAUUUUGGCAGCUAGCAAAGAGCACGAAUAUGGCCGACUUUAGGACGGCUAAAGAAAAGAUGCUUCAAUUGACAAAGGAUGGUUAUGAUGCACUGUUCCAAACAGACCCGAAGCAUUGGUGUAGGGCGUUCUUCAGCGAGGAAAUCAAGUGCGAUAACAUUGAUAACAACAUCUGUGAAGCAUUCAAUGGGAGGAUAAUAGAUGCUAGAUGUAAACCAAUUAUCUCGAUGCUUGAAGACAUACGGCUUUUGGUCAUGACUCGGCUGCACAGACAAAGAGAUGAUACUGCAAAGUGGACUAAGCAAUAUGGUCCUAGGAUUGCUAAGAAAUUGGAUGACAACUUGGCUGCAAGUAGGUAUUGUCAUCCCAUUUGGAAUGGGGAUGAAGGAUAUGAGAUAAUGAAGGGUUCCGAUAAGUAUGUUGUCCAUUUAGGUACGAUGAAUUGUUCAUGUAGAGCAUGGCAACUCAGUGGAAUUCCUUGUGCACAUGCCAUAUGUGCAAUUCAAUUGAAGGGCCACAACACAGAAGACUACCUUGAUGAUUGGUACAAGAAAUCGAAAUAUCUUGCUUCGUAUCAAUUCAUGUUGCAGCCAAUUAGAAGUAGCAAGUUCUGGGAGCCAACAGAUCGCGAAGCACCUCAACCUUUGCCACUAAAGAAGUGAAUGGGAAGACCAAAGAAAAAAAGAAAAAUGACGGAGGGAGAGGACUCAUGUCACCGUAGGAUGAAUAGGAUGGGUGUACUGAUAAAGUGCUCUUUUUGCCACAUAGCAGGGCACAAUAUUAAGGGUUGUCAAUUAAAGAAGCAGCAGGAACAAUUGAGGCCAGCCGAAGGGCCUAGUGAAGGGACAGUUGGAGAAGGAGAAACAGAAAGGCGAAGUGAGUCGACUGUUCUUCAGUCGACGACAAUAAACCCAGUAAGUCAUGACAAUUAUGUUUAUGUUGCUUUAUGGUUUGUUAUGAAUAUGUACAUAGAUAUAAGUGACAUGUAUGUAAUGUUUUUGUCUUUGUCAGGUCACGGUGACACGUGAAGAAUUGGCCGAAGCCCCUGCUAUACCUGAAAAUGAAGGGCCUGUUCAAAGAACCGAAGGUGGAAGACAGCCAGCUGCAAGAUUGGCUAAAACAACUGGAGGGCCAGUUAAGUCGACUGUUCUUCAGCAGCAACAAAGAAAAAAAUACCCGGUCAGUUAAAUGAUUUGAGUUUACUUUUCAUUUAUGUUCUAAUAUGGCCUGAUGUUAUAUUUAUGAUGUCCUUUGCCUUUUUCUCAGUUCGAAGAAGACAAGCUAGAGCUCAGCUGCUAAUAGAGGGCCUAACUAAAGGGCCACCACAAGAUCCAUCACCAAGGUCAUCACAAAGGCCACUAGAAGGGUCAUCACAAGGGCCACCACCAAAGCCUACCGAAGGUGUCACUGAAGCUGAAGGCGUAACUAGAAAAACAACUAGAAGAAAGCCAAAGCCAAAUCAAGAGCCACCUAUAAGAAGGCCAUCUACAAGAUGCCUAGCUGAAGAAUUGGCCGAAGAAGUCCCUUCUGUAGCUGAAUAGCCACAAGAGCCGAAGAAAUCACAUGCGAGAAGAAGAGGCAACCAAUCACAAGUACCUGAAAGUGACGCUCCCCUUCGAACAAGAGGGGCUCUUGGGAAGAGGCUUAAACAAUAUGGUUAUGGCCUUUAUACAGAUGACCGUUCUGGAACAGUUAUUCUUAAUGUAAGUUUUAUAAGCUGCAUUUAAUUUAAUUUAUAGUGCAAACUUUUGUUGAUAAUUGAGUUUUCUUUUUGAAGCCUGGGAGAAGUUCAGAGGUUCUUAUCUCUCAAGGCCGAACUCAAGAAUCAACGGCUGCGCCAACAAAGAAGAAGACAUUGCCUGCGCCAACAAGAAAGAAGAGUGAGAAGAACCCAGUUGCAGGUCCAUCCGAAUCAGUUCAGCCUACAAUAGUUGCAGCUCCUUCUGAAUCAGUUCAGCCUAGGACAAUUGCAGCUCCAUCAGACUCAACGCAUCCGAAGACAGCUGAAGAAGAAGUCUCACGUCCAGUUAGAAAAAGUGCAAGGAUUAUGAAUCAAGUGCGAAGUCCAUCAAAACGAGCACGAACAGGAGGCAUUGUGCAUAUUGAUUGAUGAAAUGGGAUGUGAUAUGGUUUAUGGGGCUGAGGAGUCAGUUGUAAACAUCUGUGGAUGUUUUUUUUUUUUUUUUAUAAUAGUUUGUCGUUGAGUUAGUUGAGUUUGUGAGACUUCAGUCAUUGAGUUUGUGAGACAGAUGUUCAAAAUCAAUGGAACAACCGUUGUUGCUUAUCAUUUUUGGCAUGCCUUUUUCUUUUUUCUUUUUUGAUUUUGUUUUUUCCUUUACUUAUUGCUACUUCUGGUGGUGGAUAUGUUGUGGUGACUGGGGUGCUCGUGUGGCUGGUGGUGGCUGGUGGUGAAAAGCCUGGUGGUGGUGGGUUGGGUUGGAGGUUUUUGCUGCACCUGGUGCAAGAUGUAUGUGCAAUAUGCACAGCUUACACCAGGUAGUGCUGGUGCAAGCUGGUGUAAGACACCUUACACUUGCAACUUAUGUAGCAACAUACCACCAGCAUAGUGGUGGCUGGUGGCUCAAAUGGAUGCUUGGGAUGCCUGGUGGUGAUGAUGGCUGGAGAUGGUGGCCAGUGGUGAGCGGUGGUGGUGGCUGGUAGUAGCCGAUGUGUACAAAAAAAAAUGCCACUUAACUGAUCACAUUCUAAAAAACCUAGCACUUAAGUAUUCACUUUUAACAACAAGUGACACUCAAGUGAUCCUUUUUAAUAAUAACUUGAUACUUAAAUGACUCUUUGUCUAUCACGACUGGCACUUAAGUGAUCACUAGAUACAAUUUAUAGUACUCCAGUAAUCACUCGUGUCUGUUCUAUGUAUAUGGUGGUUUGUAGCAAAACAGAGAAGCUGCUGGUUUACACAUUUGCUGCAGGUUUACACAUUUGCUGCUGAUUUACAUUCCAUUCAAGUAAAAAUAGUCACCACAACACAUCGACCUAAUAUACAUUCCAUCAUCACUGAUUUAUAUUUGAGAAUAAGCAAAAAUUGUUGAAAUCAUUCAUUCAUUCAUUCAAAACAAGUACAUUUCCCGACACAUUUACAACUAUGGCAGUUGAAGAAACUUCUUCUCAUCUUCCAGUCCUUUACAUUUCAUCAUAAAGUAGGAUAGACAAAGAAACAACAACACAAUAAACGCUUGGUAACACUUCCGUUCAUUUUUCAUUUUUGAAACUUCGUUCUUCAAAUGGUUGACAGAAGAUGCUUGAGCUUGAGCUUGCAUUGAGUCAACAUCGUCCAAGUCGUCCACAAGCGUAGAUGGAGGUUGAUGACAUCCAUCAAGUAGGUCCAAUAUUACCUCUGUGGCUCGGUGAGAGAAUUUCGUAUCGACCCAUUUGAAGUAUUUGCACUUCGAGCCUUCUCUGUAUCGGGCACAUCCAUAGAAUCUUCUCCCGGGAUUCGUUCGAGUCCACGAUGUUCUUCUUGGACUUGGUAACCCACAGAAACAGAAAUGCUCGCCUUCUCCUUCGCUUCGGCGAGAGAAAUUUGAGCCGCUGCUGAAAGUCUUGCUCUCCAUUUCCAAUAUUCGGUGGUAGAAUUUGGGGCAAAUCGAAUUAGGGUGCAGGAUUAGGGCUCCAGCGCUUCAAUAGCAUUUUGCCCGAUUUAGGGUUUUAGAUUUAGGGCAAAUGGGGAAGACGACGGCGUUUUCGCUGAAAUAAAGGGUCUAUUUUGGGCGAACACCCGGAACGACGUCGUUUGGGGUUAAUUCGAGCUGACUCAGCUCUCCGGCGAGACACAUUGGCGAGAGAUAUUAAUAUUUUAAUGCCACGUAUGAUUUCCGGCCAGCUUCGCCGGAGAUGGCACUCAGGUGUCCCACUUUUCUUAAAAUUUGGCACUUAAGUGUACCUUUCGUAAGUUAUGGCACUUAAGUGUCCCUUUGGGCAAAGUUAUGGCACUUGAAGCGUUCUUUUGCCGAUUCAUGCUCCUUAGGCUCCUUAUCCAGGUCCUGAAAUGGUUAUUCAAUAACCACUAAGACAACGUCUCAGCAAGUUCUACCUCCUAAGACCCGAUUAGUAAACUAAUACACCUUAGGGCUGCCUACGCACAACAUGAGUCAGAGGACUUACCUUAGCCUCAGAUUUCACCUGCAUAUUAGUACAAAUCGAAUAGGCACACAAGCAAUCACAUCACAGAUCGAAGCAUCGAUCUAAUCAACUUAGUCGAUUUCAUAUCAGGAAGACCACUCACGAUCAUCUCCCUUCAAUCAUUCAAUUCACAACAUCAAACCAAGGCAAUGAAUCACAUUAAGUCACACUCAGAUCGAUUCAUCGAUCAAUCGACCUAGUCGAUUACAAGCCAGUCGAAUCAUUUCUAGGUCAUUCAUCCCACACCAAGCAAUUCCUUGGAUUUAAUGGCUUUACGGUCCCACUCGACCUUUCCAAGAUUUAGUGGCUUUAUGGUCCCACCCAACCUUUCCAAGAUUUAGUGGCUUUAUGGUCCCACCCGACCUUUUCAAGAUUUAGUGGCUUUAUGGUCCCACCCGACCCUCUCAUGAUUUAGUGGCUUUACGGUCCCACCUGACAUUUCCAAGAUUUAGUGGCUUUAUGGUCCCACCCGACCUUUUCAAGAUUUAGUGGCUUUAUGGUCCCACCCGACCCUCUCAUGAUCUAGUGGUUUUACAGUCCCACCCGACCUUUCCAAGAUUUAGUGGCUUUAUGGUCCCACCCGACCCUUUUUACAAUGCCAUACUAUGUCAUCGAGCCAUGUGCAUUCUCCAGGAAGACAUACCGAGUCUUCGAGCCACGUGCAUUCUCUAAGACUACCUUUUCGCCAAGAUGACAUAUCUAAUCAUCGAGCCACGUGUCUUUCCCAAGUAACAUUCCAAUUCACUGGGCCACGUGCAUUCUCCGGGUGAUUUACCAACUCACUUUCGAUACUAACAACCGAUACCCGACCAAUUCUCAAUCACAAGGCCAAAAUUUCAUUAUUUAAUAACAUAACUCAAAAAUGCACCAUUAAAUCAAUUCGACACGAAUUAAAGCUCAAAUAAAUAAACGGACUGCUCCAUGAUAAUCAGCACGAAAUUCCGGUCACCGCCAUCCCGGUUGAAUUUCCGGAAAAUAAAUAAUUAAAUAAUUAAUUUCGAAAAUUAAUAAAUAAACAUAAUAAUUCCAAUUUAGCACAAUAUGAAGCUCAAUUAAAUAAACGGACUGCGCCACGAUCAUCAGCAUAAAAUCCCGGUCACUGACCAUCCCAGUUGAAUUUCUGAGAAAUAAAUAAUUAAAUAAUUAAUUUCGAAAAUUAAAAUUUAAUUCUUAAAAAUUCCACAUAGGCCCGAUUUGCUUAAUUAACACCCGAUAAGGGACAGGAAAAUUCCCAAGAAGCUUCCAAAAAAUACUAUAGGCAAUUCUCUAUCUAAUUACACUAAUCACACAACUAAUAUGCAAAGCCAUUAACUAAAAAUCACUAAUCAAUUCUAAUCUAACCACAUAAUUACACUUAAUUAACACUAAUCAACCUUUAAGUAUAAUUAGCACACUAAGAAGGCAUUAGUGAGUAAAACUCACUCAAAACGACGGGCUCAACGCGAGGAUCAACUUUCCUCAAAGCGGGCCGAGCAUCCGGGCUCGAGAAGGCGGCCAAAACGGGCCACGAAGGUGCUACCAUACCCAUUUCUGCACUCUCUGUGCGCUGCUGGUUGGGGGCGAAGGAGGGCGGAUCCGAAGCUGGGUUGGGUCGGAAAUGGACGGAGGGGCCGAACCAAACCUGGGCAGGGCUUCACGGUGGCCGGAGGUGGGCUGAACAGCUUCGGCGGAGCUCCACCAAGUCUGAAAUGUCGUUGGAACAGAGGGCUGAGCGAGGGGGAGGCCGAGGCAGGCAGAGCACGGGACGGCAGCUCAGUGAUGGUGGUGGACGGCGGAACGGCGGUGUGCGGUCCAACGGCGUGCGACGGCGACAGGUGGUGCUGCUGGCUGCUCUUUCGGCUUCCCUGAUCUGCUGGGUUUCGAACAACCCAAAGAAGAAGAAGAAGAAUUCCACGGCAGUAGCAGGGAAAGAGGAAAGCGAAGGGUGUGUGCGCAGCGGCGGCGUGCGGCGUGAGGCGGCGAUGACGGUCUUGGCUCCGAUGCGGCUGCAGCUCCUUCAACGCUGCUGGUCUCUAUUUCUGCUUCUGCUUUGUUCGAACAAGAGGGGCGGAAGAGAGAGGGUAUCGAGAGAGUGAGAGCAAGUACCGAGAGAGAGAUAGAUGAAGACAAGAGAGAGAGGAUAAGUUUGAAAAGUCAAAAAGUAAAAGAAAGGAGAAGCAAAGUUGAAGACAGCAAGAGGCCAGUCGGUGGAGGGGGUUCACACACGAGGGAAAAAGAAUAAGAGGGAGAGAGAGAGAGAGAGAAAGAAAGAGAGAAAAGCGGGAAAAAGAGUGUUUAGCCAAAAGGGGAAAAAGAAAUGGGAAGAAAAAGAAUUUCCUCAAAAUACAAAAAUUCUUAUCCCAAUUUCUUUUGAAUUAGCUCAUUUAAUCUCAAAAGAAUUUCCAAGCUAGAGUUCUUGGUCCCCUCUUGCAUUUCUGCAUACAAUUUCCCUCUUGAAUUUCUCUCAAAUAACUCUCAAAAUCAAUUGAUGUCUUACUUAUCAAAUUGAUUAUUUUCCUCAUCCAAGAAUUCCCUCAUGCUUCUCAAUUUCACAAUCUCUGGCUUCAACUGAACGAAAACGGCUCUAUUUAUCCAGUCGAAAUUAGAAUCCAAAAAUCUGGAUGUCACAAGGAAGGCGCACUCCCAAAGCACUGAGAGGUACGGUUUUGAGGAUAUGGUUGCUUAUGCUCUUACCAUAGGCUCUAGCGAUCCAAGCUCCUACCAUGAAGCUUUGAAAAGUGAUCACAAAGAAAAGUGGAUGACCACAAUGAUGGAGGAGAUGGAGUCGUUACAAAAGAAUGAGACAUGGGAACUUGUGAAGAAGCCCAAGGAUCAGAAUGUCAUUGGUUGCAAAUAGGUUCUUCAAAGAAAGGAAGUAGCAACGAAGAAAGAGCAAGAGAGAUCAAGGCCCGACUUAUUACUAAGGGCUAUGCACAGAAGGAGGGGAUUGAUUACGACGAGAUAUUUUCCCCGGUUGUAAAACACACAUCAAUUCGUUUUUUACUAGCUAUGGUAGCCAUGUAUGACUUGGAGCUUGAGUAGCUAGAUGUGAAGACGGCAUUCCUUCAUGGUGACUUGGAGGAGAAAAUUUAUAUGGAGCAGCUUGAAGGCUUCAAGGUGGAAGGAAAAGAGGAUCAUGUUUGUUUGCUCAAGAGAUCACUUUACAGUUUGAAGCAAUCUUCGAGGCAAUGGAAUAAAAGGUUUGAUUCUUUUAUGCUUCGUAUUGGCUACAUGAGGAGUGUGCAUGAUUCUUGUGUCUACUACAAAGUUUUGGAUGAUAAGUCGCUUAUUCUGUUGAUGCUCUAUGUUGAUGAUAUGUUAAUUGUUGUAAUAAAAAUGAGAGACAUUAAUUCCUUAAAGUCUCAGUUAAGUAGUGAGUUUGAUAUGAAGGAUCUUGCUGCUGCAAAGAGGAUCAUUGGCAUGGAAAUCUUUCAAGAUAGACAUGCAAGUAAGCUUUGGGUAAAUCAAAAGAAGUAUGUUGAGAAGGUCUUGGAGCGGUUCAACAUGGGUAAAGCUAAACCGGUUAGUACACCCUUAGCAAAUCACUUCAAAUUAUCUAAGAAACAAUGCCCUAUUUCACACGAGGAAGUUGUAAAGAUGUCUCGAGUACCCUAUGCUAGUGCAGUAGGGAGCCUCAUGUAUGCUAUGGUUUGUAGCAGACCGGAUUUGGCUCAUGCGGUGAGUCUCAUCAACCGAUACAUGAGCAAUCCGGGUAAGGAGCAUUGGGAAGCUAUUAAGUGGAUCUUUCAUUAUUUGGCUAGAAUUGCCGGAAUGGGUUUAAUGUUCAGUUCCAAUGGAGGAUCAAUCGAUUUGGUAGGUUAUGUUGAUUCGGACUACACUGGUGAUUUGGACAAGCGAAGGUCCAUCAUGGGAUAUGUCUUUACUCUUGGUGGUGGAGCUAUUUCAUGGAAAGCAAUGCUUCAACCUACUGUAGCAUUGUCUACAACCGAAGCUGAGUAUAUGGCAGUAACUGAGGCUGCGAAGGAGGGAAUAUGGCUGAUUGGUUUGGUCACAGAGUUGGGUAUAAAGCAAGAAAGUGCUACAUUAUAUUGCGAUAGCCAAAGCGCAAUAUGUCUUGCGAAUAAUCAAGCGUUCCAUUCUAGAACGAAAAACAUUGAAGUUCGGUACUGCAAAAUUCGAGAAUUUGUGGAGAAUGGGAGCAUUGCUUUGAAGAUAAUCCAUACUAAAGAUAAUCCCACAGAUAUGCUCACGAAGACGGUUACUUCAGAGAAGUUCAAGUCCUACAGGGACUUGAUUUCUCGCACUCAUCAUUGAAAUUGAUGGAGACCGCACCAAUCCAGGUGCAGGCGUACCUUUGCGAAGGUACAGUGGAGGGAGAGAUAUAUCCGUUUUCUUAGUUCAAGUGGAGGCUUGUGGUUUAUUCAAGCCAAAGUUGGAGAUUUGUUGAUGUUGUCUUGAAUUCCACAAUAUUCAAUCGGGAUAUUUAGGAAGGCUUGAAGAUUGCAGGCUAUUUGUUUACUAAUAUAUUUCCUAGAUUUGGGUUUCAAAUUUGAUAAUAUCUUUAUGGUGGAAUUCCUUUCCUACUUGGUUUAGGAAAGUGGGGAUCUAAAGAUCUAUUUAUUUCAGCAUUGUACCUUGUACUCUUGACAUAUGCUCAAAUAAGAAAUUGUCUCUCUCUCUCUCCUGUGGACGUAGGUGGAUCUUUUGCCGAACCACGUAAAUCUUUGUGUUCUUGAUUACUCUUGUUUACUUUUCUCAUUUAGUUAGGGUGUUCUUCCGCACAACAUCAUCCCACAAUAACUCAAAAUUACCGAGCACUAUAUCCAUCUUUAUACAACAAAUAUGUCAUCACUUCCCUACACAAGUAUAUGUCGAUUACUCUUACCAUAGUACAUGAGUUUCACAAAACCAAAUGAGACAUUAGUACUACUCACCUGGGGAUGCCCCAAAAUCAAAUGUGUAUUAUUUGAUCCUUCUAUCUCGCGAUCCUAUCAAAUAAGCGAGAAUCAACAUUAAAUUUAGGUAGCACGCCACGUCAACCACGAAACGGCUAUAUUAUGGCUAAAUGUUAACAAAACAAUUCCUAUGCGCUAAUAAAUCACAUACUCAAAAUAAUUAUUCAACAUGUUCGUAAUGUGACACUUGAGCUUAAAACUUAGUUACGCUAUAACUUUCUUUAUUGAACCUUGUUCCAAACAUACUUAUUGUCAAUAGAAAUUCCUUCUAACAUACUAUAAUAAUCCCAACUUAAUCGUCCCAAAAUCAAAUCGAAAACUAACAAAAUAAGGGCCCAAAGCUACUGGACGCACAUUGUUCACUACACUCGGGAAACUUCGAAAUUUUGUUUCGAGCAAACCAUAAGUUCAAAUCACGAUUCGUAAAAUCCCACGGCUCCACAACAACCUAAACUAUCAUUUCUACAAAAAUACGCGGCUCAAUGACUCCAAAAUCGGAUUUCGCCACUCUAUUUUCCAAAAAUUCCGAAUUGGAGCCCUAAACCUGUAAAUUACUUCUAUUGGAUGCAUAAGGGGCCUAAUCUCUUACCAGGUGCUGCGUUAUAAAGUUGAGUCAGCUUGGCGAGGCAUCCGUGGCAUGUACAUGCCAAAACCCCUUUUCAUUUCCUCCCUCUUCUUCUUCUUCUUCUUCUUCUUCUUCUUUUCUCUUUUUGGUCGAGGGAGCUCUCAGCUACUUUUUAGCUGAGCCCCCUCCCCUCUCCUUUUUACUUUAUUGACUUUUCAACUUAUUUUUCUUUUUCUUCUUUUGGGCCCCACUAGCCAAAUAUUACAUCCAUGUUCUAUCAUGGCUCCGGAUACUUGAACGAAUAGCGGAAUUGUAGCAACCAGGCGGACACGCUCGAAAGUCUAGAGAUCCGACUACUAAGAAUUCCGGCACUGUUGGCCAUCACUGCUUCAAUGCUAGUCUUUGGGCUAUUCAGGCGACGAUGUGGCAGCUGGGCAUUGGCAUUAGUCGCAUCUGGGGCCAAUGUCCUUUCACCUGCUAUCAUCGCAUACACGCUUGGCCCCAUCCAAAGUGCAUCUUUCAGCAGUCCGUAUUUCCCUGUGUGGGCAGCAUAUCUUGUGGUGGUUCUCAGAAGCGUGGAUUCCUACACUGUGCACAGCAUUGAAGCAAUGAACAGUGGAAGUCAUUUAAUCUCGACUCCACUGCUAAAUGUUUCAUGACAAGUUGGAUGAUCGCUUCAUACGUUACCCAGUCAAUGUCAACAUUGUGCAUAGUGCUUCUUUUCAUCAUUCUACUCAUGAAAGUCGACAAAAGAGCAUGGGCUUAAUGUUGGCAAGCAAUUCUGUGAUGGAGAAGAAAUACAAGUUAAUAGCAAACUACAUGAGCAUCGAGCACCAAUGCAUCGAUUCAGGCGAGAUCCUAACUCACAUGAAUCAAUCGACAAGGAAGGAGAUUUCUUUCACUCUCAACUUACUUGGAUAAAGGGCAUAAUCAAGGCCAAAUCGGGGUGGGUGCCCACCAAGAUAGGUAGAUUUUAUCAAUUUGGUUUUUUUUUUUUCCCUUUCUAAAAAACCUUUUUGCUAUGAAGAGCAAAGUCGAGGCAGCUGAGAGAGGUAGAUUCAACACUCAUUGUUAGGUCUAGAAAUUGUCUAAAUAUAAUCUUUUUUCCUUUCGCUUAAAGCGAGUUGGAGGAUGGAAGCUCCCUUUUUGCAAACUCCCCAAUCAUAUGAUCUAGUGGUAAGUUAGAUAAAUGAGGCAUUAGGUGUAAUUGUCACUUCGACGUAGGAUGUCACCCAGCAUGCCAGUGUGGCGCUUAGCAGCAUAUCAAUAGCCGUUUAUUUUUCUAAGGGCGGAAUCAAUAUAAAAGAAAAAAAUACACGGUUCAAGAAUUCAAUUGGACAAAAAGAAACUCAAGAAAUUGAUGUAAUUUAGAGAGUAAUGUACAUUUAUCACUUUUUUUAUACUUUUUUUUUGGGGUCAAAACUUUUCUUUUUUAACUCGAUAGCUUCAUUUGCAGGUGCAAUUAAACGAAAUUUUUUCAAGGUAUUCACUUCAAAAGUAAAUCAUUUUGGGCUGCGUUUUUCUCCAUCACUAAACCUUUGAUUGAUGAGUUAGAAACAUGGACCUCCGUUACAUUUUUUUAGUUAAAUUUGCAUAUGACAAUGUCCAUGUUAAUAUAACUUAUAGGUCAAAGGUUUGGUUUGAGGACAAGAAAAAUAUGACCCAUUCUUUAUUGGUUUUUCAAGACUUAUCACAACAAUCAAUCCCAAUUUUCGUGUAGGUGCCGUACAUUCGUCCCCUCUUCACAAUAAAAGAAGUAUAAAGAUCCUUCCUCUUCUUCAUCAACGCGUGCAUGUUAUUAGCAGAAGGCCAUAAAAUAGGAAAGAAACAAAAAAAAACAGAGAUGGUAGGUCUCGUUAACAAGUUCCUGCAGAAGCUCGAGGAGCGCUGCUAACUGAUGAGCGACAAAGAUAUUGAGAUCCAAAUGGCAAAAAUUGAUGCACUGCUGGCCAUCACUGCUGUAACCUCUGUCUUUCUUGGGGUCUCCUGGUCAUUCAGGCAAUGCUGCGGCAACCGCGCAUUCGUGAUGGUCGCAUUUGCGGCCUAUACCCUUAGGCCUGCUGUCAUUGUGUAUACGCUUGGCCUUAUCCAAACCGCUCAAUUCUGUAGUUGGAGUUUGCCUAUCUGGGCGACUUAUUUGAUGGUGUUUCUUGGAAACGCGGAUUCCUACACUGCUCACAGCAUGGGGGACAUUGAGAGGUGGAAGUCAUUUAAAGUCGACUCUGCUGCUAAAUUUAUCCUGACAAGUUGGAUGAUCGUUUCAUAUGUGUGCCUGUACACUGACCUCCUGUCCAGGGCAAUACUGGGCGUUCUUUUCGUCAUUCUAUUCAUGAAAUUUGACGGAAGAGCACAAGCUUUGAAAUUGGCAAGCAAUUCUAUGAUGCAGAAGAACGACAGGUACAUAGCAGAUUACAUGAGCACCGAGCACCAAUGGAGAGAUUCAAGUGACGAAGAUCCUGCUACAAUGCGUACGUAUAGGUACUAGGUGAGAGGGGCAGAAGAGGCAAAAGUGCACUCAUUGUGCUCAAUAGCGAAGUGGAGGCGAAAGGCAGCUCCGUGGCGUGAUGGGGAUGCACCGGACUAUCGACAACUGUUGGAGGUGACGGAUGAAGUUAUCACCGUCGAGCAGGUUUGGAAUUGCAAAGGUAGACUUUUAAGUGUAAGCGGAGGAGACUCGGAUGGCCGACUCAAGGAUCUUUGCCUAUCUUUUUCACUCUUCAAGUUCAUUCGCCUGAGAUUCACUAGCUAUUCGUUGCCCAAAGAAGCUCACAACAAGUUAUGGCGCUUAAUUCAACAUAUGCUUUCUGAAGAGAAUGGUUAUGAGCAAGUUUUCCGAGUCAUCGAAGUAGAACUUGCAAUUCUUUUCGAUUUAUUCUACACCAAACACCCAGUGAAUCUCCAUCGGCCUCCUAUUGUGUAUAGAUUGCUUCUGCUUCCCGUUGUGGUUGCUAUCCCUGUGCUUUUUCUCUACUUUGCAAUUUCCAGCAAGUUGGUGCUAAUGGCUGUUGAAUACGCCUUGUUAAUGAUGUCGAUCCUCGUUGUCGAGCUUACAUAGUUUGGCAUCAUGAUUUUCUCGGAAUGGGCAAAGGUCACAUACAUAUGCAACUAUGUACGAAAUGAGUUGUGGCAAACGAACAUAUGUGCUGGGAAGUUGAUCGAGAUUUUGUGCCUAGUUUCGUUAGUGAAGCCUUUGGGAAGAGAAUUGCGUCAAUACUCGCUCCUCAAAUCGUAUAGCUAUUCUCCACCGAAGUGGAUAUAUAAUCGACUCACUGCUGCUUAUCUUGACUAGAAAAUAAACGGCCAGAAACAAAUUGCUCCGACCAAUUUGUCUAAGCAAGUGAAGAAGGCGAUUGCUCGGUCUCUAGGAAGGAUUUACCAGCAAUUUGGAGAAGGGACAAGCGUCUAUGAGGCGCAACGACUUGUCCGAUGAGCUUUCAUGGGCAUGUGAUCUUGAGACAACUACUCAUGUUAUACUGGUCUGGCACAUAGCAACCACUUUCUGCGAGCAUAAAGUGGCUUGUGCUCAACUUUCACAAGAACAAAGAGACAACUUUGACAUAGCGACUAAGCUAUCGCAAUAUCUUGCUUACUUGGUUGUUUUUGCCCCUAGGUUGCUCCUUGGUCACCCUUGCAGGACCGAAUACAUUUUUGCUCGUGCUAUCAGUGAAGCCAGAGAAAAAUUGGGAGGUUCCUCAGUUUCAAUGGAAGAGAGGAUUCAAAAGCUAAAGAUGGGCAUUGACAACGAACAAUGCCAGGAAAUGAUUGUGGCUCGAGGUGCACGGCUGGAAUGCAGCUUGUGAAUGGAGUAAAGGGUGAGGGGCGAAUUUGGAAGGUCUUGGCUGACUUUUGGGCGGAUAUGAUGCUAUAUGUGGCUCCUUCAAAUGAUACGGCGGCUCAUGCUAAGUAUCUCACCACCGGGGGCGAGUUUGUGACUCACGUUUGGGUUUUGGUCUCUCACACGGGCAUUACGAGAGAUCCAUCUGGUGGUGAGUAACAUGAAGAUCCAGAGAGGAGCUGAACUUGGCCUCAUUUUAUGAUAUUAUGCCUAAUCAACUGUGUAAAAUGUCUAUAUGGUUGUGUAUGUUUGUAGUAGUCCCGUUGUCUUACAUCCAUCCCUGGUCAGAUUCUAGAAAAAAAUUUCGUGUAUGAUGCAUGACCUCUUCCUUUAUGUGGUGUAAUGUGUUGCUUUAUCAAG
rnacentral:lncRNA from 1 species